rnacentral:lncRNA from 1 species
UAAUUUUAUUUUAUUUCUUAAUUUUUUCCUUCUAUUAGUUCGUCAAAGUUGUACGGACGGAUAUUCCGUUGUAACGAGACUCUGUAUUUUUUCUGGGCAACAAAAAAGAAAAUACUAUCGGAUCUGAGAUGGGUUUUGUUUACUAGAUUUUAUGUGAUCAUGUUUUGCAUGUUACCAAUAUUCUUUGGACAAAAAUAAAUUUAAUCGACUAAGAAUAUAGUUUUUUUUUUUUAACUUUAAUGCUCCAAAUUUUUAUACACGUUUUCCAGCUGUAAGUCUUCUCUUUCUCUCUCUUUUAUUUAAUUAUUCUAGCUUGGUAGCUUAAUUUACUGAUUGAUUGGUUGAUAAUUAGGAUUUCUUGUUUUUUUUGCCCUAAAAGUUAGUUUAUAUAUAUUUUUAAUUUUAUUUUUUGAUAUUUGUGGGAAUAUUUGAUCUGGGUCGGCUUUUCCUCGUAAUUUGAAAUUGGUUUCUUUGCUUGAAUCGAUAUUUACUAGAACUUAGUUGUGGGUUCUCAGUUUUAGGGAUUUACGGGCAUGGGUGAUCUGGGUGAUGUUUUGACCUAAUUUUGGAUUCUACUGAUUGAUUAUGAUGGUGGUGUGUUGUAAAAAAUUUUUUAUGGGAGGCUCAGUUUCGGGUGACUAAUGUUACAAAAUGACCUGGGUUUUAUCUUGUUUUUUGUUUUAGAUACUUGCAUUGUAGGAUUGUGGCUUCUAAUGAAAUAAAGUUGCUUUUUAUUUUAUGUCUAGGGUAUUAAUGGGGAUCUUUGGUUACAUUUGCACUUCGCCUGUUCAUGAUUGUGUAGGUUAAAAGUCAAUUGAGUGUUACAUAGUUUUGUGGGAGUUGUGUGGGGAAUUUUUAUGUUGCUUGUGUGUUUGGGGGUCUAUUUAGUGGUUUAGUUCUGAAGCCGGUAGGUGUCACAUUCUUAGGGAUGUCAUGGGGUUUUUAAUUUGCUUUUGUUUCGUGGAAGAUAUCGGUUUUAUCCCAUAACUAUGAUUAACAUGUAAAUUAUAUUGGAUGUAUGGUUUCCUUGUUGUUAGAGCCUUUUUGCAUACUUGUUUUUGGAGAUGAGAAUAUCUGUAUUUCUCCGUUAGCGCAUCUCUGUUGCCACUCUCUUGUUUAAGGAUAGAAUGACAGAAUUAUGUUAUUAGAGUUCUAUUUUAUGUUACCUUGACUUGGCUUUUUUGGACAUAGAAUAGAUCAAUUUUCCAUCCGCCAAAUUACUCAAAUUAAGUUUGGGUUUCACGCAUUUGGUAACAUUUGAUCUGAGGACUUUAGCCUGUUAUGCAUGUAUGGUUCCCCUCCUUUCUACUUUAUAUUUUGCAUGGUGCAUCGUGCCUUAAUUUUCUAUAGAUAGGUCAAUGUUUUCAUCAAACCUUUUGCCUUAUCUUUCUAUAAAUAGGUCAACGUUUACGUCAAACUUUCCACCUGCUUGAGUAGCCUGUAGCUUGAUUAAAUUGAAAAAUUUUGUGUAGCAGAAAUAUUGAAACUUUAUUGCUGCUUUUAAUCUCUGUUUUAUGCUUGGAAUAGGUUGAUCAUUUUACGAGGUUUGAAGUGGGUUGGAAGUUUCUUGUCAUAUGACUCUAGCCUUGUUGGCUGAGUUGGGAUGUUGCUUUGUAAUAGAAAUCAUUGUGGGAGUCUAUGCAUUUGUGUUAGACAUAGACAUGGCGCCUGGGUCUUGUGUCAAUAUUUUAUUAACAUACUUUAUCCUAUUCUAUUUCAGGGCUUUUGUUGUAAGGGAUCAUAUUUAUUUCUUUCAUUUCAUCUACCCUCAUUAAGUUAUUGAGGCUUUUGAGAUUGAGUUAGCACUGACUUUAUAUCAAAUCUGAGACUUAUCAAGAAACGAUCAAAUUAGGUCUCUACUGAAGAGUUAAAUAUCUGAUAAUGGUCGGUGAUAACAUAGUCAUCUUGAGAAUAUUUGCAAAGCAUUGGUAUUGACUAGAUGGCGUUGGUCAGUAUGUAGCAAGUUUUGAACUCAGUCUCCAGUGUUGUGCUUGGAGGCUUCAGUUACCAAAUUUGUUCAUGUCAAUUAGAUGUUGAGCUGGAGAUAAUUUUAAUUGAAAACAAUUUUUUGCUAGUAGGCUUUCUGGAAUACAUGUAGAGGCUCGAGUUUCUAGGUUUUGUUUGCGUAGAGGGAGGGAUGACAAUCUUGUCUGCAGAAUAGGCAGCCUUUUUGUUUGCCCUGCUGCUCUCUAAAAUAUCUUUACUGCUGAGAACCUAACCAAGAGGAGGGAGGAUUGUUGAGAACUACUGCUAUAUGGUUUAGUGAAAUAGUGGAAGUUUGUUGAUCAAUUGUUGUUUUCAUUGUGAGAUUGUUUGAACGAUUUGGACGCAAUCUUUUCUUUGUUUGGCCUGGGAUGGAGUUUUUUGUGUUGUGGAGGUUGUUGGCACUGUUAUCUGUGGUGAUAACACAGAAAUGUAGCUUGGAAGACUGCUCCUAUUUGAUUGAGUUAGUGGUUUGGAAUGAAAGGAGUGGCUGACCUUUGAGAGUAUCUUCAAUCGUUAUCAUGACUUGAAUCUGACUUAUUAGAAGUUUAUUUGGCUCUUUGGAAGGCUUCACUAUUUGGUUCUUUGGCAGCGUCCCCUUUCCUUUGGCCACUUGUAUUGUUGAUUUUCUUAGAAUUUCUCUUUCCUUAAGUUUUCCUUUCCUUGUCGCUCCGCACUCACGAUUUUUUAGAGGGCACUGAAAUUGAAAAUUAUCUUUACCUGUCCAUGUUAUUUUUUAUCUGCUGUUACUUUCAUUAUGUGACUUAGUCUUGUAAUCUGACAAAUAGGAUUAAAAAAAAUGUGCAGGCUCGAAUUAAAAAGAUAAUGCAAGCUGAUGAGGAUGUUGGGAAGAUAGCAUUGGCUGUCCCUGUUCUAGUUUGUAAGUAGCCGUGGCUGCUUGGCCUUAUUUUCUUGCAACAUCAAUGCUUUUGUGUUAUUUAUUCUCUUUUUGGGUAUUCUUGUAGCAAAAGCUUUGGAAUUAUUUUUGCAAGACCUUUGUGAUCGUACAUAUGAGAUAACCCUUCAGAGAGGAGCAAAGACAAUGAGUUCCUUGCAUUUGUAAGUGUCAAUAACCUUCCUUUGCUCAAUUCUUUUCUUCUUUAGCUGUAAAUGUGAUUAAUAUGUGAACUUGAAGUUGGACUCUGUAUUUCAAGAUGUUCUCGUCAGUAUCAAUUGUUAGGUUCUUGGGGAUUGUUACAUUCCCCUUUGUUUUGUACGAGCAACUUUAGAUUAAUAGAGGGACUAAUUAAAUAUAGACUUCAAUUGUUAUGUAGUUGCCGGGGAAAAAAAAAAAUGUAGUUGCUGAAUAAAUCAUCGAUCGAGGUAUAUGAUCUAAAGCUUUUGCCUUAAUGUUAGGUGUAGCAGAAUAAUAAGUUGUGUAAGGCAAAUUACAGAUUAAUACUUUUGUUUAAUUCUUGAGUUUCAGGUAAAAGGAAAUGUUUAUACAAUUGUCCACAUGGCAAAGAAUCUUCUGUAGAUAAAUUGCAUUUAAAAGUACGCGUUUAUCCUUUUUGCUUCUACUUUUAAAUUCCUGAGAAUUACUUACCUGCUAGACCAUUGAAAUUUGUGAAAAUAUGGUUAAAAAAAAUGGCCUACUAACUGUGAUUGUUCUCAGAACUAAAUUAUCAUUAAAGGUCAGUUUCUGGUGUGUAUGGUUCCACUAUGCCUAGAUGUCUUGGUCACUUGUAUCAAAGCUGAGUGCAUGAGAAGUAUUCUGAUUCUUGCAUAUGUUUUGACUGAGGAGGUAACUAUAGUUGGUGUUUUUGUUUCACUGGAUGUUAUGUCGUGAAUCAUGAAUUGUUUGAGGUCUUUUUUACACAUAUAAAUGACUUCUUAUUGUGUCAUGCAAUGUAACUUACCCAGAAUUAGAAAAUUGGUAAAGUAGAAAAGAAGAGACUAGAUUUGAUCUUAGCUUUCUCUGACAAACAUUUGUGAGUUUUUCCUUCAUAAGAAUUAUCAAUAUGUUUGAUAAUAGCACCUACCAGCCAAAGUAUGAUAAGAAACUGAGUCAAUUGAUAAUUAACCAUAGGAAGUGGUUCUUUAUUUGAGAAAUGUGCAUAUCGAGCUGGUAAUAUAUUUGAGAUUGAUAGCGCAGCAUGUUAUGUUGUUUGAUGGAAUCAAUAAUAUUCAUGAAGUUAAUCUGAGCAAUGCAAAAAGCUUGAAGUCAGAUGCCUUGGAUAAUGAAUUAAUUAAUGUUUUUUUUUUAAGUUAUCUUCCAAGACUCUUUUAUCUGAUUUGAGUCAUUUGUCUCUGGUUUAUGUCUGCUUGUGAUCAACAAUUCUUCAUUUUGCUUCAAUGUUUCAGAGUAUGAUCGAAGCCUGUAUAAUGAGAUUCAAUUAAACUAGGCAUAGUUCUUCAUAGUUAUACCGUAUGAAGAAUCUGUCUAAUAUUAAAUGGCGGGCAGUAGUCAACUUUUCUUAGCAUGCUUUGUCCUUGCUAGGGCAACUUAACAUGGUAUCAGAGCUAAAUUGACUUAAUCUUGUGUUCAGUCUCCUUGUUGAAUUAAUUAAUUUAUGAAAUUGGGGAAUGGUAAAAUUGUGCCAGCCACUUAAAAGAAAGUGAUGGAGAAAUUGUGUAAGACUGGCAGCCUCAAAGCUGUAAGAAUUCAGGAGUAUUUGGGGACUAUAUAUAUGAAGAAAAACCUCUUAUUAGUGGAAAGCAGUUUACAAAUAGAGGAUGUGUGUUGAGGCAACAUUAUUAUGGCCCGCUUGCUACUACGGUGCGGUAGCUUUUAAGCCACAGCUGCUGUAGAAAAAUGCUGCUUUUAAAUACUAAUUUUUACAAAAGUAGCAAAUAUAUUGUAGAUUUUUCAUCAUGACUGUAGGAUCAAAUCAACAUAGCUUCCAAGUCAUAGCAGCCACUGUUUACCAAACAAUUAAGAUUUUAAAAGAGUGUUUUAAGUGAAAUUGAGCGUGCAAAUAAGUGUUCAAAGUAGAUUUUGAGUACAAAUAAUCCACCAUAAAAAUAUCAUGCACUACAAGAUGAGUGACAUUGCUCACUACAAAAUUAAAAAAAAUCAUAUAUUCAUGAGAAUAUUAAUAUAGGCAUACCAAAUAGUCUCUCGAAACUACUAUAAGAUUUUCUUUGUUCAUUCGAAUUCUUUCUUAAUCAUUUGGGGAAAUAGGAGAGUCUGUUUAUUUAUUUGAUUUGAUUUGAUUAAUUAUUUUGAUAGAAAUUAUAUUAAAUUAUAUAGAGACAGUGAUGGGUUUUCCUUGCUUGUAAUGUUUGACAGGCUAACAGCAAGAAAAGCUAUUUAUAUUAAAGGCCACACCCUACUAAAUACAUUAAAGUUUAAAUUAUCAAAAAAUUUAACUGAUCAUUGUUAAUUGAACUUAACGGCAAUUCACAUCACAUAAUUAUUUACGUAUAAGUGUAACGUUUGGAUUACAUCUAAUAAUAUUUGAUUAAAGAUCCAACAUAUCAUUCCAAUUGAAACUUAGCAUAGAUAAGCUGAUUGAGUUUAUGAAAUUGUAUAAAUUCAACGAUGACAAGAACGGUAUCUCUUUAAAUUAACUUAUAAUUUCAAUUUGAUUAAUAUGGAAUAACAAGUGGGCCAAAUCAUUUGAAUGAUGUUACGAAAAUCAAUUAACUAUUUUUCUUAAAACGUACAUCAGAUAAGAUAUGUACAAGGUACCACCAAGUUUGUUUUCUAUGAUGUUAAAUUUCAUUUCAUCCUUUAUUUUCAUUUUUAUUUAUAGUUUAUUUGUAAGUUUAUGUGCUUGGGCAGGUGGCCUUCUAAAAUGUAAUUUUUUUUAUUUAAUAUUAUUUAUUUUUAAAAAAAUAAAUAUAUUAUAAUAAUAAGUCUAUGAUAAUAUUAAAUAAAAUAAAUAAAUAAUAUUAAAAAUAUUAAUGUUAAAUAAAUAUAAUAAGAAGCAUGUCACUGUAUAAUGUUAAAUAAAAUAAAAUAAAAUAAAUAAUAUUAAAAACUUAUUCUUUAAAUAAAAAUAAAUAUAUUAAUUAAAAAUGAUAUUUAUUUUUUAAGACCCACUACUGAUUAUUUAUUUUAUUUUAUUUUAUAUUAUUUAAUUUUUUAAAGAAUAAAUAUAAUAAUAAUUCUAUCACUAAAUAAAUGAAAAUAAAUAAUAAUAAAUAUUAUUUAUUUUAAUAAAAUAAAUAAUAUUUAAAAUAUAUUCUUUUUAAAUAAAUUAAUAAUAUUAAAUAAUAUUUAUUUUUAAGAGUCGCUACUAAUUAAACAACAUAAAUUUGAAACAAUUUAGAGAUCUAUCUAUGUUCCACAUUUUUUUGUCUUUAUUUGGCAAAGCCAUUGCAUGCUUUAUUGUUCAAUCCAACGACUGCAAAUAAUUUUUUUUUAAAUCAAACAGCUACUGGUUAUCAGCUUUUAGGCGGUUGCUUUAUACAGUUAGGUUCUCGCCUUGCUGCCAUCCUGGAGACGUGAGAGUCAAUGGCCACCAGACACAAAAUUCGUGAGCAAUCAAUGGCGCCAGAAGGCACCAAAUUAAUGCCAAGCACGCCAACAACACCAGUUAAUGGCAAGUUCAGUGUUUUAAAGUUAGAAUUUUGACACUACUGGUUUCGCUCGCCGUCAAUUCACCACCAUCACCGAUUUGGUUGAGAAAAAUAGAUGUUUCAGAAUUUGUAAGUUAAAAGUGUAAUUAGUUAGCAUUAUAAAAAAAUUGGAAUUCUGGUCCUUUUUAUAUUAAAAUGGAGAAAGUAGUUUAAUCUAUAGAAUUUCAUUAAAAUUAAAUUGAAAAAUAUAUUUAGAGUAUUAUACAAAUUCAAUAUAUUUUCAUAUGAAGUCUACUAACCCGCAAAUUAAUUUAAUUAAAAAAAUACCAUUAUUUAGAGAAGCAUUUGCUACCGUAUCCAAGUAUUGAAUCAUCAAAAAAUCAAUAUGUUUUGGACUCUUCAAUUUCAAUUUGACUCCUCCACCAAAGCCACCCAACAACUCAAACAAUUGAAUCACUCGUCCUAAUAGCAUAACAAUCCAGUCGUCGCCUGCACGUGAGAGGCCAUUUUCUUAUUCAUGAUUGGAAUUCUUAAAUCCAUUUUACAGUUCUCCUGCAACAAUUUUCAUCUUGUACGGUGCCUCAAGAAGUGAAGAUCGAUGUCGGAAUCACUUCAGCUUCAAUUGGAUGGUGUUUGCGGUCUUAUACAAUUUCGGUAUACAAUUGUUGUCGAAUCUUAUCUGUAUCAAAGCAACCCCCUAUGCCAUUGACCAAUAGUUGUCUGAUUUAAAAAAAAUAUAUAUAUUUGCAGCCAUUAGAUUGAACAAUAAAGCAUCCAAUGGCUCUAUCAAAUAAAGAUAAAAAAAUGUGGUACGGUGCAACUAUUGUAACACAGGUGAAUCCACAAUCUAGACUUAUCUAUUAAAAAUUUAACUCUUUAACUUUUUGAGUUUUCAACAAAUAUUAGGAGUAUAAUGUUAAUAUUCAAAUAGACAAAUCUCUACCAUUGAAAUUAUCUUUUUAUUAAAAAUCCAAUGAUAAAGGAUUGAAAUCACAUAAAAACAAAAUUGGUGGUAUCUUUCAAUUGUUGCAAGGGAGCUGAUUCCAUAAGAUAUAAUGAAGAUAAUGACGAAAGAAGAAAUAUUUUGAGAGGAAAAAAUAAGAGUAAAUCAUAGGGAUAAGGAUGAUAAAAUUCUCCAUGAAUUUGGAGUUCUUAUGUAGUCUCAUCCAAAUGAGAUGAAUUUUAAAUAAUUUUUGGGGAAUGAGGUGAAGAAUGAGAGAAAAAUAAUCCUCAAUUUUUUAAUGAGCUGGGAUUUAGUUUCGUAAUCUCAACCAUACCCCCCAAUCCCUAUUAUAUGUAAAUAUUCUUUUAAUUUUUAUUUAGUAAUUUUUGUUUUAUUAAUUACAAUGUUGAUUAAUAAAUUUUCUUUAUAUUUUUACCAAAUAUAAAUAAGUUAUAAUUAAAAGAAAACCCUAUAAUAUAAUUCUUACUUAGCCCUAAAAUAUUGUUAUUUUUUUCUUUUUUCUAUUAAGGUGCCAUUCGCUUCAAACAAAUCAAGCCUCAUUCAUCAAGAACUUUCAGCAAAGUUUAACAUGUUAGAAAUAUUCUAAUAUAGACUACCAGCAUAAUUGUAGCUUGAUCUUGACAUACAAAAGUAUAUGCAAUAUAUUCGUCUUUUUUUUUCCUCCUCAUAUGUUAGUUUGUUUAUAUGAUUAGGUUCUAGUUAUGGUUCUUUUACAAGAAAAUAGAUGCGACUCAUUUUAUAAAGAUAUAUAUGAGGUAAAGUUUUAUUUGAACGAGUUUUAUCAUCUUAUUUGUUACAAAUGUUUAGAAAUGACAUACAACAAAACAUUUCUUUAAACAAAUUUACAUUCAAAAUCUCUACUAUGCUUGCACUGUGUUGUGUUGUGCCACAUUCUGCCCAGCCCAUUAUAGCCUCAUUUUGCAAGCCUUAUUUUCUAUAAUAGGAAAUCAGACAAGUAGAGCCGGAACUAUGCAUUUAAAAAUAAUGAAUCUCAAACUUCUAAAGAAUUUAUUAAGGACCAUCCUUCUCAUCAAAAUUGGAAACAACUUUGGCCUAUUUUCUUUCUUUCUUUUGCAAAGUAAUAAAAAUUGUUAUGGAUUGGAGACAGCGAAAAACUACCCAAAAAAAAAAAGAUUGGAAAAUGGGUGGAUUAAUUGAAGUGGAUGGAAAUGAUGAUAAUGAAGAGAUAGCUAUUUAAGGAGUUUUGACUUUUGAAGAUGAGGGCAUGUGAUCCUUCUAAAGUGAAAUUUAAACAUUCACAUGAUUCAUUUUCCUAACAGAUAAAAUGUUUCAAGAGAAUUGAAUUAUUACAAAUUUACAAUUUGAUUCAAGCAUAAUUGUCACUUUAACUUGAUUGAGAAAUAUAGUCCUAUGAAGUUUGAUAAUAAUUAAAUUGAUAGAUUGAAUUGAUUUGCAAGUAAGAAAAAGAAAACUAGCCUAAUUGAUUGCUGACCAAGUUUGAGUAAUGGCUCAUUGAUCACUUCGACUAGGAGAUAGGUCAUCGCCCAUCCAUCUCCAAAUGAAAGAAAACCAAAAUUCGAUAAAUUCAAUUUAACAUAAUUUGAAGGUAAAUAUUAUUAUUCUAAUUAAUGUUGAUCACAUCUAAUUGGCCAUGCCAAAAUUGGAACACCAUAACCAAUUGCUUCUACAGGCCAACAAGUGGUAUCAGAAAAUCUCUUGCAUGUUAGAGUAUCUGAUGAUGCUGAUGAUAUUGUACAGUGAUGAUGAGUUGAUGAUGCUAUGUAAUGGUGCUGAUGUGGUAUUAUGCAAAGUUCAACAGAGUACGAUAGAACAUGAUAAAGAUGGUGGUUUAGCAUGUGGCUUAAUAUACCAGUUGAAGAAUUAGUUAUGAUGACUUGGCAAGGUUGUUAUAACAGUUUUAGUAACAGAUUAUGUAUUCUUUAACAAUACAUGAAGAUUCCAGAAUAAUCUAGCUAUUAGAUUCUUGUAAUAAAUUUGUAAUAUAAAUAGUGUGAUCUGUACACAGUAUGAUUACAAUGCCUUGAUUAAAUAAAAUACAUUUUCCUUUCACUUUCCAUUUUAUUUUCCUUAUAACCAAACACUAAAUUAGUUGUAUUCAAUCAUGGUAUCAGAGCCUUCAGCACUUUCUAAUCAAACAAAGACUUCGUAUAACUUUAUGACACCUGUGAAACUAGAUCAAAACAACUUUAUCAUCUGGAGAACUCAAGUGUUAACUUCGAUUAAAGGCAAUGGCCUAGAGGGAUUCAUCACUGGAGAAAAUAAGUGUCCAGAUCCAUAUCUUGUUCAAGGUGAAAGUAUUGCUAGCUCCUCUAAUACUAGAUCUGGAUCAAGAAUUGAGAAUCCUGCUUUUUCAACCUAGAUAAGAACAAAUCAGCUUAUUCUCAGCUGGAUGAUGUCUUAUUCUCAGCUUUGCUUUCCUGCUCAAGUCUCAAUCCUCCCGUCUCUCUCUUUGUUCAUUUACCUAGUUCUGAUAUGUCAAGUUGUUCUGAUGUUGUUAGUCAUAUGUCCCAUUUGAAUAAACGUAUUUGUAUUGCAGCUGCUUUGACAGUCUCAUCAAUGUCAGUAAACAUAAAUUUACUUUACAAAAGGCUUGGUCAUCCAGCCAUUUAUACACUAAAGAGUGUUUUAAAAACAUGUAAUCCUUUUGCUGCUAUCAAUAAAGUGCAUAAACUCAAUUUUUUCAAUGCCUAUCAGUAUGGUAAAAAUCAUCUCAAAUACUUUAGUUCUGUUGAAUCCAAAACCAGUGAACCAUUACAACUUCUGUAUGGAGACCUUGGGGACCAUCAUCUACUUCAUCCAUCCAAGGAUACAACUAUUAUCUGUCCAUUUUAGAUGAUUAUAGCAUAUUCACUUAGAUUUUUCCUUUAACAGCAAAAUCUUAUGCUCUUCCUGUUUUUACCACUUUCAAAACAUUUAUAGAACAACAUUUGAAUAGGAAGAUCAAAACAGUUCAAACAGGCUAGGAAGGGGAGUUCAGGUCCUUUUCUUCUCUUCUUCUAUCUUCAGGCAUACACUUUAGGCAUCCAUGUCCUCACAUUCAUCAUCAAAAUGGUAGAAUUAAAAGGAAGCAUAGGCAUAUAGUUGAUGUUGGCCUUACAUUGUCAGCUCAAGCUAAACUUUUCUUAAUUUUUUGGUGGAAUUCCUCCUAGACAUUUUCAUCAACAACCUGACUAUAAUAGUUUAAGAGUGUUUGGUUGUUCCUAUUUUCCCUAUCUUAGACCAUACGACAAACAUAAACUUGAAUUCAGAACAGAGAGGUGUGUUUUUAUUGGCUACAGUCCACAUCACAAGGUCUAUCAAUGUUUACAUUCAUCAGGAAAGGUGUAUAUCUCAAAUCAUGUUGUGUUUGAUGAAAAUUCUUUUCCUUAUCAGCCUGGUGUUGAUUUUUCUUCUAUUCAAGAGUCUUGUUCUUCUCAGUCCACUUCAUCUUCUCACUCAACUACAGAAACUUCAUCUUCUAUGAUGCAAGCCUUCUUAGCACCCUCUUCAACAAGUAAUCUCUCAGCCUCCUCUUCAUCACAGGUAUCACAUUCAUUUUCUCUUGUUGAUUUACCAGUAGUUUCAUUUUCUAAUCAAUCUGAACACUCAUCUCCAACAAAUAAUACUUCACUAAAUAAUGCUCUUCCUAGAUCACCCUCUUUGCCACACAAUCUUCAUUUGCCUCAACCACUUGGACACCCCAUGAUUACCAGAUCAAAGGCUGGUAUCUUUAAACCAAAAAUAUAUUUAACAGCAUUGCUUUCUACUCCCAUAGAACCAACCUCUGUUAGUUAAGCCUUAUCAGAUCCAAAGUGGUUUAAAGUAAUGAAGGAAGAAUAUGAAUCCUUGCAAACUACCAAGACUUGGAUUCUAGCUAAGCCUUCUUUUCCUGUCAAAGUUAUAGGUAACAAGUGGGUAUUUUGAAUUAAAUACAAUCCCGAUGGCUCUAUUUCUAGAUAUAAGGCUCGAUUUGUAGCAAAAUGUUUCUCUCAAACUCAAGGGGCAGAUUAUAAUGAAACUUUCAUCCCAGUUGUUAAAGUUUCCACUGUGAGGAUUGUUCUUAGCCUAGCUGUGAUGAACAGAUGAAUUAUUAGACAAGUGGAUGUCAAUAAUGCAUUUCUAAAUGCCUUUCUUGAAGAAGGUGUGUAUAUGAAUCAGCCUGAAGGAUUUAUUGAUUCUUCUAAAGCACAUCAUGUCUACAAGCUCACCAAAGUUCUCUAUGGCCUGAAAUAAGCACUAAGGGCUUGGUUUGAUAGAUUUAAAAUAGCAAUGAUUCAUCAAUGGCAUUUCAUUAACAGCAAGUCAGAUUCCUCUCUGUUAUAUAAGUGGCAUGGUGGUCAUGUUUUGCUGGUUUUGGUUUAUGUAGAUGACAUAAUCAGUACUGGUUCUAGUCCAGAUAUGAUCCUUCAAGUUAUUUCUAAUAUGCAAGCUACAUUUUGGUUUAGAGUUUUAUCACAGUGGUGAUUUACAGCUUAAUUAUUUUACUGAUGCAGAUUGGGCUUGUGAUAAAGAUGAUAGGAAAUCUGUUGCUGGGUAUGCUGUAUUUCUAGGUUCAAAUUUAGUCUCCUGGUCAUCUAAAAAGCAGCAUGUAGUUUCUCGUUCCAGAACAGAAUCUGAGUAUAGAGCAUUGGCAUCAGCUACCUCAUAAGUGCUAUGGAUUCAGGCUUUACUCGCAUCGUUGAAGCUCAAAUCAGCAGUUAUGCCUCUUAUGUGGUGUGAUAAUCAAGGGGCCAUAAUCAAGGGGCCAUAGCUCUUGCUAAUAACCUAAUGUAUCAUGCCAAGACUAAGCAUGUUGAAUUGGAUAUUCAUUUUGUUAGAGAGGAGGUGUCAGCUAAGCAACUUGAUAUAUGUUAUAUUCCUAGUGUUGAUCGAACUGCAGACAUUUUCACUAAAGCUCUUCCUUAUAGUCAUUUUCAUUAUCUUAGAUGCAAAUUUAAUGUUCUUCCUGGAACAUUUCGCUUGAGGGGGGAUGUUAGAGUAUCUGAUGAUGCUGAUGAUAUUGUACGGUGAUGAUGAACUAAUGAUGCUAUGUAGUGGUGAUGAUGUGGUAUUAUGCAGAGCUCAUAGAGUAUGAUAGAAGAAGGGCUUGUUUGGUUGUUGUAUUAAAGCCCCUCAUUGUAUUAAUUUUAAACAAGUCCAUGUUUGGCAAAACAAAUGUUACAGUAACACCACAUUUUUUUUUUCUCCCUUUUUGCUUUUUGUUUUUGCAACUUGACUUUUGUUUUGCUUUUUGACUUUUGACUUUUGUUUUAUAAUAAUAAUAACUUUUAAUUUAAUAUAAUAUUAUAUAAAAAUUUUAUUUUUUAUUUUUACAUUAUAAUUAUUAAUAUAAAUUAAUAAAUAUGUAAUUUAUUAUUUAAUAUUAUUAUAUUAUAUUUUUUAUUUUUACAUUAUAAUUUAUUAAUAAAUUUAUUUAUUAUAACUAAUAAUAAAUAGUUAAAUAUGAAUAAAUUUAAAUAAUAUUACUUUAAAAUUAAUAAUAAUAUAAAAUAUUAAUAUAAUUUAAAUAUAUUAAUAUAAUAUAACAUAUCAAUAUAAUAUAGUAUUAUAUUUAUAUUUAAAUUAAUUACAAAAAAAUUAUUACAAUACAGUGUAGUACCAAACAUUGUAUAGUAUUAUUAUAAUACAGUGCUAAUGCAAUACAACAUAAUACAAUACAUCAGCAUUAAAAUAAUACAAUAUAGUAUAAUACAAUACAAUGUGUCAAACGCACCCGCACCCGAAGAUUCCAGCAUAAUCUAGCUAUUAGAUUCUUGUAUUAAAUUUGUAAUAUAAAUAGUGUGAUCUGUACACAUUAUGAUUACGAUAGCUUGAUUAAAUAAAAUACACUUUUCUUUCACUUUCCAUUUCAUUUUCCUUAUUACCAAACACCAAAUUAGAUGUAUUCAAUCAUUGCCAAAACUACACAGUAGACAUUGCCUUAUAUGUGCCAACAUUAUUGUUUUUCAUUAUCUGUAAAAUGAAAUAGAAAAUCCUUUGGGUAUAACUUUCAAAAGCCAAUUAAAGACGCUUACAACCAACCUUAGAUAUCACCUUUAGGCACUAAAAUUUCCCGAGCGAGCAAGCAAAUCCAUUAUUGAAAUUAUAAAUACCACCCUUAGGCACUUGUAUCUCUUUCAUACUACACCAACUUCUUGAAAUAAUGGAGAAAACAAGUCAACUUAAAUUGGCUGCUUGCUUUGUUGUUCUUAUGUUAAUUGCUUCUUCUGGUAAAUAUUCCAUGCCUUUAUCUCCUUCACUUAUUUUUAGAGUUUUAUGAGUUUUCCAUUCCAAAUACUUCUUGCAAAAAAAAAUAUAUAUUAUAAAAUUUUUAUUUCUUCUUCUAAAUAAUUUAUUCAUUCGACAUUUGGAAAGCAGUUGUUUAAUUCACGAAAUGCAUUAAAAGAAUUUGAUUUAGGUUUAAUUAUGCAAGGGAGCAGAAGCGAUAAAUAUUGGGGAUUGCAAAGAUGACAAAGAUUGCGACCAAUUUUGUAGUCCUCCCGGUUCUAGUAUAUGCAUGUUUGCAUUUUGUUACAAUCGUGGAGGAAUGCUUUGCGGAAAAAAUUUCUCUCCUGGUCAUCACUAGAAAAAGUGACGAUCAUUUAUAUUUGAUCAUAAUAUGUUGAACAUCGACAUUUAUUAAUAAUGAAUAAUCUGUUUUAUAUAUUUAUGGUUCAUCACGGAGAGGAUAUAUCUCUUUGAAGGCUAAAUCUAUGUUACAUGCAACGUAACAUACAUCCCAAAAUAUAAAAUAGCGCUAAGCACCCUUAAUUUUUAUGGAAACCACAUUAAUAGAAUUAAAAGAAUUACUUUUAAAUCUUAAAGAAGAAAUAAAAGAAAUAAAACAGGAAAUAGGGAAAAUAAAAAUAGAACUGUCAGUAAUACAAAAAGGGCAAAAGAAAAAUAAAAAAGUAGAGCGAUUUGAAAUGUUAAAAACAGGAAUUAUAGGAACAAGUUUUAAAAAACCUACACAGAAACCACAAACAGGUAGUUAUGACGCCUGGUUUAUGGAAACUCAAUACCCAAAAAUAUUAAAAGAAUCAGAAGAAUUAAAAGCAGAGAUAAACAAAAAAGAAAAAGGGAAAGAAAAAUUAGAAAUAAAAGAACAAACCCCAACUGAUUCAAACUCAGAGUAAUAAAAUAGAAGAUAUAUUAGAAAAUUAAACUGAAAAAUUCAGUGAUAUAAACCUUAGUGAUUUAGAAGAUUUUGAAAAAGAAUACCAAAUAAAAAUGAAUACAACAGGAGGACCAGAAAUGAAACCUAAUGUGGCAGAACCAAGUCAUUGAUAUACAACAUGUAAAAAGAAAAGUAGACCUUUUUAUGAAUAUAUACCUCAGGUUAAGAAUACACCUUGGAAAAAAGACUAUAAACCUAAUCAAGAUACAUUAAUCCCAAUAAGCAAUGCUGAAACAUUUUUUAAUUUAGAUUGUAAAAUAGACCCUCGCAAAAUGUUACCUGAAUGGGGAAUACAAAUGAAAUUAUUUUUCAUAUACAAUGGAGCUAAUGACGACUGGAAUGUAGAAACAGAAGAAGAAAAAAUAAACAUAUUUGUAGAUAUCCUAUUGGCUAGUUUUACAGGAAAUGUAUUUAACUGGUGGAGAGGAUUAAGUGAUGAUACACAGAGAUUAAUAAAAGAUUCAACUAAAAUAGCUUUCAGAAGAAGUAAAACAUUAGGCAUUGAAAGAAUAAUAGAAUAUAUUGCUAGUGAAUUUUUAGGAGAAGAUUGGCUAGAAAAUUCCGAAAAAGAAGCAAAUAAUGAGAAAUUAAAUGCUAGACUAAAACUAAUGAAUUUGACAAUUUGCAAUAUGUGUUAUGUAAAGGAAUACACUUGUGAAUUUAAUAAAUAUUAUUAUGAACAAUAUGUAAGUCUAGAAGACCAAGAAGUUUAUAAAAAUUUGUAUUAUUCUAAACUACCAUACCCAUGGAAUAGUUAUUUUAUUAACGAAUAUGAGAAAUACAGUUCUACAAAUAGACUCCCAGAUACAAUAGGAGCUAGGAUAAGAUUUUUAAAUACGAGACUUAGUGAUAUAUGUAUUCAAAGAAGUCUAAUAAAAAAGAGUAGAAAUAUAACAGAAAUAUGUUGUGAAAAAACAGAAAUGCCAACACAAUGGGGCUGUUAUAUACCUAAUAAGCGAAAAAAAGAAAAUCAUAUAGAAAAGAGAAAAAAUACAAAAAAAUAUAAUAAUUUUAAAAGAAAGUACAAAAAACCUGGAAGGAAAUAUUAUAAGAAAAAAUAUAAAAGCCAAAAAAGACAAUUAGAUAAAUCAAAAUGUAAAUGCUGGAAUUGUGGAGAGAUUGGACAUAUUAGUACAGACUGUACCAAAAACAAAAAAGUUAGAAUAUUACAAGAAGACUUUAAAACAAUACAAGACGAGUUAGAAGAAAUAAGCAAUAUAUCUGAUUAUGAAGGAGCAGAAAUUUAUAUGGUAGAAAAUUCUGAAAAUGAGUCAGAAUAGACAAGACUUAGUAGAAAAGGAAGAAGAUAUAGAAGAAAUUGAGGAAAUGGAAAGACAAGAAAAUAAAAGUGGAUAUAGUCUUGUAGCUACCUUUAAUAAAGAAAAAUAUAAUAAACUCUUAAAAUUGAAUGUAGAAAAACCAGAAUACGGAAUACUACAAAAACUAAGGGAUAUGUUUGAAAGAAAAAGAAUAGUACUACAUGAAUAUUAUGAACAAGAAAAAGCUGUAACUAUAACACAAGCUGAAGGAAAUAUUAGAUUCAGCUUGAUAAAUAAGAGAACAAUUGACUUAGCUUUAAGAAAAAUAAAAAAUGAAUCAACAAGAGAAAAAAUACAAUACGUAUAUUUAGCUGAAAUUCAGAUUUUAAUAAAAUCACUUUUCAAAGAAGGAGUAGAUAGCCCAAUAGUUUUGUCAAUACAUGAUCAACGGUUCCAUGAUCCUAGCAUAGGACAUCCAGGAACAGUAGAAGGAAACUUAUGUUAUACCAAACUACUAUUUACAUGUCACCCUAGAUAUUGUGUACAUAUAAAAGAUAAAAACAUAGAUGAGACAUUAAGUUUACACUUUAAAUUAUUAAAAAAGAACCUGAUGAAAGAAGGAAAUAGACUAAUGACCAUACACUACUCUGCAUUAUAUAGUUUUUGUAAUUCAAAUUAUGGAGAAAUCUAUGGAAACAAACCCUACAUAGAAAUAAAUAAAGAAUGUGAAGACAUAGCAACUCUUAUAGAACUUGUCAUUCAGGAUUAUAAAAUCCCCAUAACUUAUGAGCUAAACAUAGAUGACAAAAAACAGCUUUUAAAUGACAAUAAUGAAAACUCUAUAAUCCCUAUAAGUUUUGCAGGAAGAACUCUAAUAAGAGGAAGUUCAUCCAGAAGGCUAAAUACUGAUAAACAAUUAGUUAACAUAGAUAAACAAAUAGCUAGACCUAUAAUGACUAGUAACGUAGUAAAAAUACUUGGGCAAUAUUUUAAUGGAAUAGAUUAUACAACCAAGAUACCCAUUUUAGUAGACAUAGGAACAAGUCAUAAUUAUAUGAAUCAUACUAAAAAUAAAGGACUCUUAAUAAAAGAGAAAGAAAUUUCAUAUGAAUACACUGACUUUAAUGGCAAUAAACAUAUAUGUAAACAAGAAGUAAAAGUUCCACUAAUAAUUGAAGGAGUACGAAUAAUCGUAUCCUGUUACAUAGAUUCUUUUAUGACUACAGAUCCAGAAAAACAUAUAGUACUAGGAAAUAGUUUCCUAAAUAGUUUGGAAUACUAUAAAAUUGAAAAAUAUCAAAUAACAUUACAAAUAGAAGGACAAAAAUAGUUUUUGAAACAUGUUAAAACAAGCUUAUAUAAAAUAUCUUAUGUCUGUUUAUAUAUAAAUAAAUAUAAUAGAAAAAAACAUAGAUACUUGUGCCUUGAUAGACACAGGGAGUGAAAUUACAAUUAUGAAAACCUUUUUAUCGAAUCAAUGGAAACCAAAUGGCAAAAUAAAACUUGUAGGUAUAACAAGGGAUAAACAACAAAUCAAUCAAUCCUUAUUAAAUUUUGAAAUCCUUUUAGGAAGUAAAAUUGUACGAAUAAACCACAUCUUCCAAUAUGACCAAAUGGAUUGUGAUAUCCUUUUAGGAAAUGAUUUCCUCCAACAAUUUCAAUAUUACCAACAAACUCCUUAUACGAUCACUCUUAAAACCCCUUGUAACCAUAUCCUUCGUAUUUCGCGCGAAUUUAAACCUUACAGAGUUCAGCCAGCCCAGCGUGGUGAUAGUCUAAUUUAUGAAAAAUAUUUUUUAAUUUUUAAAGGAAAAAGCUAUAAUAUACAAUUAGAAACAAUAAAAUCUCAACUUGAACAAGUUUAUAAAGAAAAUCUGUUAGCAUUGUGGAAACCAGAUCACCUUAGAGCAAAUAUAGAAUUAAUAGAAAAUAGAAUUAUAAGACUUAAACCAAUGAUGUAUACAGAGGAAGAUAGAGAAGAGUUUAAAAUCCAGAUAAAAGAAUUAUUAAAUUUAAACCUAAUAAGAAAUAGUAAUAGUCCACAUAAUAGUCCAGUUUUUAUGGUUAGAAAGAGAGCAGAACAAGUUAGAGGAAAGACUAGAAUGGUAAUAAAUUAUAAAGAACUAAAUAAAUACACAAAAUUUGAUGGAUAUUUUUUACCAAAUAAAGAAGUACUGAUAAAUCUUGUGAAAAAUAAAACUUAUUAUUCAAAAUUUGACUGUAAAUCAGAAUUUUGGCAGAUAAAAAUGGAAGAACAUAGUAUUCCUUAUACAGCAUUUAGUACUCCACAGGGUUAUUAUGAAUGGCUAGUAAUGCCUUUCGGAUUAAAAAAUGCCCCUCAGAUUUUCCAAAGUAGAAUGGAUAAAAUAUUUAAGGAUUAUAAAUACAUAAUAGUAUAUGUAGAUGAUAUAUUAAUAGCAUCAGAAACAUUAGAAGACCAUAGAAAACAUUUGAAAGAAUUUGUGAAUGUUUGUAUUAGAGAAGGAAUAGUACUGUCAGAAAGGAAGGCAGUAAUAGAACAUAAGAAAAUAGAAUUUUUGGGAAUGAUUCUGGAUAGACAAGGAAUCAGACUCCAGAGUUACAUAAGCAGAAAGAUUAGUGAAUUCCCAGAUAAAUUAGAGAAUAAACAGCAAAUACAAAAAUUCUUAGGUUGUUUAAAUUAUGCUGAAGGAUUCAUAAAAGACUUAGCAAAGAAAAGAAAUACACUUCAAAAAUUACUUAGGAAAAAUAAUACCAGAGGAUGGAACAUAGAACAUACAGAGACUGUAAAAAGCUUAAAAGAAGAAUGUAAGAAUCUCCCUUCAUUAAGAUUACCAGAAGAAACUGAUAGACUAGUAGUACAAACCGAUGCAUCUGACCUGCAUUGGGGAGUUAUACUUAAAACAGAUAUAAACGAAAUUUGUAGGUAUACUAGUGGUACAUUUAACCAAGCACAGGUUAAUUACCCUGUACAUGGAAAAGAACUCCUUGCAAUAUAUAAAGGAAUUAAAAAGUUCUCAUUAUUUUUAUUACAAAAGCCAUUUAUUAUAGAAACAGAUAAUUCUCAAGUAAGCUCAUUAAUAAGCAAGAUUUUUCCAAAUGAACCCCAGUAUAGAAGAUUACACAGAUGGUAAGCAUAUUUGUCAUAUUAUAAUUUCAAAAUUAUACACAUAAAGGGAACUAACAAUUUCCUUGCAGAUUUCUUAAGCAGGAACAUAGAAUUUGGAGAUGGAUCCAGAAAUAAAUAAGAUCCUCUCAGGAAUAGAUGCCGAAUUACAUAGACUGGCAACAGAAGCAUCAGACAUAAUUGAUGCCAUAAACUAUAUAAAAGAGGCUUCAGAAGCCCAUGAAAAGGGAGUACAUUUGUUAGUAUCAUACAUAAACAAUCUGACAAAAGCACUCUCAAUAAACAAAGGCCCAAUAAAUGUUGUGCCAAUAAACACCAGCCCGAAAGGUGAAGGAAGCAGUGGUGGACCCAUCAGAGAGAAUAAACCAAUCUCUGAUCCAGUUCCUGGUCCUAGCCAAACCAUAACCACCAAAAUCAAGCCCUACAAAAACAAAAAGUUUAUCCAAAUAAACAGUCCCUAUACCGAAGAAGAGACAGAGCCUUUAAACCUAAAAGAAGAAGAGUAUAAACAGUUCUCUACAUGGGUAUACUCCACAUGUUCCCAUAACAGUAAUAUUUAUAAAGCACCUGGAAAAAAUAUGUAUCCUAGAAUGAUAGCCACAAAAGGAGCAGACCCACUCCUUGUUGGAAAAAUAGCCCGAUAUGGUUACCUAGACUUAGUAUAUCCUGACAUAGACCUCCGAGAAAUAGCCAGCUUAGGUGAAUUGUUAGUCAAAGAAGUGUCAAGAUUUGCCUAGAAAAAACCUAUAUACCUUAAAUUCUACACCAUAAGUCCAGAAUACCACCAAAAUAUAGAAUACCAAGCCUUUUAUAUGAUAUCCGUAGGUCAUCUCACAAAAAAUUUUAAAGUAGAAGUAGGAACUGAAUACACAGAAGUUCCUCAGAUAAACAAAGCCUGGAUCCAAACCCGAAGAGCCAGAGGAAUAAAAGCCAUAUGGAGCAUAGCAAAGGAUUUGUAUAAAAGAAAUUUCAGAACCAUCAUCAGAUUCCAGAACUAUAUACUCGUGACAGCAGAAGACAGCCAUACACAGUCAAACAUCCUGCUGGAGCUAAUAAAUGACAUAAGCACUAUGUGUUUCCCCAGUAGCAGUGAAACCAUGCAGCAGGCUUGCCAGCUCAUGGAGAUAAGCCAUCCAAACAAGUAAAAAGAAGUAACACGCUUAGCAGACAGAAGAGAUAGAAAGAUAAAAGAUGCUGGUAGAAGAUGCUCGUGGCAGACAAAAUAAAGAUACUGAUAGAAGAUGCUCGUGGCAGAAAAAAUAAUGGAGAUGCCCGACAAGACAAAAAGAUAAAGCAGAGGCACGUGAUUGCCAAAGAAAAAAGAAGAAUAAAAUAAAGGCUCGUGAUAAUCAAAGAAGACACGUGGUUUGAAAUAAAAGAUGUAAAAAUGUAGUUACGUAAGGAAUGAUGUAAGAGCCCAAUAAAAAAGGGGCAGUAAUGUAAUUGUAAAAGAUAAACAAUUUAAAUAUAAAUAAAGGAGAAAGGAGAGAAGGCUCUCAGAGCUUAUCAUUACCAGAACUCAAUCACUUUCUACAGUUCAAAAAACUCUCUGAAACAAUGAACAGCUAAACCACUCCCCUGCUCUAAAUCCUAAAUCAAUACAUCACUGAUCAGAACAAAUAAACACCACAGGAAGGAAAGAGAAACCUAAAAUUAUUCAAUGUUUCUAAGCACAACGAUCAAGAUCCAUACAGUAAGGCCGCUCGAGUCCGCUGAUCCCGUUGAGGCAAGGAGGCCUUUGAGGGAAUAAGGACAACCAGGCUGCAGGUCACUGGAGAAUGAUCGAAAGGCAAAGAAACAAGAAUAACUUAGGUAAUGAUUCUCAAUCUUUAUCUAUUGGUGGAAGUUUGUUGAUGAUUGAUGAUGAAGAGAUUUAUGGAGGAAGAGCAAAUUCUCAGAAGAGAAACUCUUUGAAUAAAUUGAUUCAACAUGAAUAACUAUAUUUUGUUAGGAAAAUCUAAAAAAUAUAUGGUAAACCCAACAACUAGAAUAACAUAUAAUAAUUAUAUGAUGAUAAUAGAUUUUAACUUAGGAUCAUUUAGACAGGGCUCAUAUCUUGUUAGUAAACAAGAACUUGUUAGAACAGAAGACUUACAAGCAGUAUAUAGUCUUAAUCUACCACAAGAAAUAAAACAAAAAAUUAUAAAUCAUAUCAAAAUAGAGAAUCUGAAACAUAACAUAAUCAUGUUAACUGUAGAACAAGCAAUUAACAUAGCCUUAGCAUAUAUGGAAUAUGAAAGUCUAGGAAUAGGACCAUCUUACAUAACAGAUAUAGAAAAUUCAGAUAAUGAAGAACUGGACAUAUAACUUGAAAAAUAUAAAGAGGUAUAUAGGCGGGAAUCCAUCGACGUAAGUUCCAGAGGUGAACCCGAAUGGGCACUAGUCUGGUCCGCAUUGAUGGUCAACAAGCCACGUACUUCUGUUUGAUUUAAUUUAAUAAUAAACACUAGAAUUAAAACUUGUAAAUCUAUUUUAAUAAUAUUGACAUAUUUUUACUUUCUCAGUAGCCGUUUUUAAUUUGAUUAUUUUUAUUUAAUUUUUAAUUUCAGUUAUUUUCUGUUUAAAUACACACACCCAAAAUGGUAUCAGAGCCAUAAGAGUCCGAAAAGAAUCAUAAAAAUUCUAGAACUAAUAUAUAAAAAUUUUGCAAUAAAAUUUUAAUGGAUCCAAUAAAAGGCAUCUGUAAUAAUAAUAAUAAUAAUGAUGAUGAUGAUGAUGAUGAUGAUAAUAAUAAUAAUGGAUCAUUAAACUGAAAAAAAAAAUUAUCCUCUAUUUUCUAAGUAGGGAAAAUGGUAAUAGAAUAUGUCAAUAUGAGAGCUAAUUAUUUUCAUUUCUUGGAAAUAUAUUAUCUAAAAUUCUUCCUUCCAUCUUUAGCUAACUAGAAAUGUUGGCUUGGGAGAUGAGCUCUAUUACAAGUAUAAUUUUUUCUUUUUUUUUCUCUCUACAUUUUAAUUGGGACUUGAAAGUACUCUCUUUUAUGUUCUCAGUUUUAGAGUCUCAUUCUCGUCAGUAAUUUGUAACUUUAAAAGUGCUUUUGUUUAUGAAAUCUAGAUUUGGCUCUUUUGGGUCACACAAUAGGUGGACUCCACUUCAAAAGCUCUGUAGUUUGUACAAUUUUUCAUUUCUCUUUUCUUCAGCGCAUAGAAGAUUUUAAUUUUAGAAUUUUUUUUCUUCUUUUGUUCAUAAAAUAGAAAACAAAUUAUAGAAGCGCACUUAUUUUGCGAUUUAAUUGUCUAAGUUUUUCUUGCUGUUAGCCUGUCAACCGUUAUAAGCAAGGAAAACCCAUUACUGUCUCUAUAUAAUUUAAUAUAAUUUCUAUCAAAAUAAUUAAUUAAAUCAAAUCAAAUAAAUAAACAGCCUCUCAUAUUUCUCCAAAUGAUUAAGAAAGAAUUCGAAAGAACUAAGAAAAUGUUUUAAUAGUUUCGAGAAACUAUUUGGUAUGCCUAUAUUAAUAUUUCUCAUGAAUAUAUGAUUUAUUUUUUUCAUUUAUAGUGAGCAAUGCCACUCAUCUUGUGGUGCAUGAUAUUUUUAUGGGUGGAUUAUUUAUACUCUAAAAAUCUACUUUGAACACUUAUUUACUUUGCACACUCAAUUGAUAAUAUAAAAAUAUAAGUUUUCACUUAAAACACUCUUUCAAAUUCCUAUAUUGUUCCCAUUCACUACUAAAAAAUGUUGAUUUAUGACAGAUUUUAUAUGAUGGAUAUCGUUGUGUCACGAAUCCAUCGUAGAAGCAUAACAUUUUUGUGACAUACAAAUAUAUAUCAAGAAUUUAUGACAUAUUUGUGACUCAUAGCUUAAUGACAUAAGCUGAUGAUAUAUAAGAGUCAUGCUUGAAUUUACUAUUAUUAAAAAAUUAAAACGACAUAUUUAAAUUCAUAAUAGAUAUCGUCGUUUGAUGAGCAUGGUAGAUAUUUAUCAUGAAUUGAAACGGUGCAAUUUUUAUGAGCUAGUUAUUUUAUUUUUUAAAGUCUAAGAGUUUGUUUGGGUUAGCCUUUGCUUUUACUUUUACUUAAAUUAAAACAUAAGUAAAAGUUCUACCUUAUUUUUUCUGUUUGGAUGACCAUAGUAAAAGAUAUUUUUUUUAAUGAGAAGUUUUUUUUAAAGUAUUUGGAUGUCCAUUUAAAAAAGACUUUUUAAUGAUUUUAAAGUCAUUAAUAUGCUUAAAUAUUUGAGUCUAACAAAUACUUAUCAAAUUUAAAAAUCAAUGACAAACAAAAUAAUUAUUUGAUCAAUCUAGCUAAAAUUUUAUAAAUUAAAGUACCGUUUUUCUUUAAAAAAGAAGAACAAAAUAACUAGAUUAAGUUUUAUCUAAGCAUAAAUUCCCUACCAAUAUUUUCGCAAACCACUCCCAUUUCACUUGCUUCAUUUUCAUCAACAUUAAUGUUAGUUGAUGAUUCUUCAUCAUUUGGAACAUACUCUUCUUUUCUCUCUUAAGACUCGAACUCCAAAUCUACAAUAGCUUCUCUCCUUAUAAAGUUGUGUAAAGCCAUUGAUGUGACAACAACAGCUACUUGCUUAUCAAACUUGAAAUUAGGCAUAAGUUGCAAAAUUUUCCACCAUGCCUUCCAUACUCCAAAGGUACGUUCAAUAACACUACGCAAUUAUGAAUGUGUAAAAUUGAAUGUCUCUUGACUAUUCCUUAGUAGGCCACUACUGCAAAAUUCAGAAAGAUGAUAUCUAUCUCCUUUAUAAGGAGCUAGAAAAAUUUUCAUAUUUGGAUACUCCCAUAAACCAAGUAAUAUUUACCUACAAAUUAUAACAAAAUUAAUUAUUCUUAUUUUAAAAGAAGUAAAAAAAAAGGUACAAAAACACUUAUAAAGUGAAGAACUUACCGUUUGGUGGUUUAGGAAAUUUUACAUUAUCAUUUUUUAAUGUCUCCAAAAAUAUACGAGUAUCAUGUGCAGUUCCUUCCCAUCCAGGCCACACAAAUGUAAAUCACAUGUCAAAAUCACGUUGUGCCAUUAUAUUUUGAGUAGGAAUACAUUUUCUACAAAUGUAUGGAAUUUGCUCAUCCACCGGAAGCGAGGCAAAAAUAUGAGUCCUAUUCCUAAAAUGUAAUAUAUUAAUCCAAUUUGAAUAGAGGAGACAUUAGUUGACAUCCUGGAAUUGUAGCUAACUUGUCGAGAACCUCCUGAACACUACAAUCGGGAAGAUCAGUACGUAUCUAUGAAUCCUUGUUCUUAACUGCCUCAAAAAGUUCAUCAAUUCAUUAUGGUUGACUUCUUCAGAAUUUGCACUAUCCACCGGAGCAAUGCAUUCUCAAUAAUAUUUUCAAAACUACAAUGAUUGUAUAAAGGAGGUGUUACACCAGAAGUUGGUGCCUAAUCUCUUCCUCAUGUUGCUGUAACAUCACGAAAUAAUUCAUCUAAUAUAAAAGCAUGGUCUAGGCCCUUAAUCCAAAAUUUUACAGCUUUUGGGUGUUUAUGUUAUUAUAAUUUUAGAAUUAGCGACAUAAAAAUUUAAUACAUGAAUUAAACUUAAAAUAACUUGAAUGUAAAUAAUCUAACUUUGCCUCCCACCAUUCAUUUGUAGCUUCUAUUAUUUGUCUCUCCACAUUCCAACCUAGCCUUAUUUCUCCCCUCACCAAUGCAUCACAUAUUUGCCAUUCUUUCUUCACAAUAUCCCAACGGUUCUUAUGUUGCUUUCAAUCAAAAUUUUUAUUGGUUGCCACUAUAAAAUUUUCUAUAAGAUUUUUCCAACCUUGCUUACUUAAAUGUGUUUCACUUAUAUUACCAACUCUCACUUGCUCCACAGCCAAAUUAACCCAAAUUUCAUGUGAUUUUGGAUCCUAAACAACUUGGAUUUACUUAGGAGACACUAUAAGUUGUCAUCUAAUUCUAGCUAAGGAUAAUAGAUAUUUAUCAAUAGACAUAUCAACAACACCAAAUCAGAGAAAGAAUAAUAGAAAAUCAAUAAACACAAAAGAAUAUAAAACAAUUCGGCAGUAACUGAUAUCACAGCUACCAAUAUCUUCAAAAUAUUAAAUAUCAAUUGUUGUAACAUUAAUUUCAAUUACUUGUUACUGCACAUGCAUGUCAUAUAAUAUGCAGAUCAAACAAUAUUCUUCAUUCUGAACAAUUCGAACUAAAUACAAUUCCUCACUUUACAUUCUAAAAAAUAACACUUCUAUAUGCCCACAUGAAUAAAACCUAUGUGAAAUAAACAAAAACUUUAUAAAUUAACAAUAAAAAAUUAAUUAAAUUAAAUUCGGCAACUUAACUUCUAAUUCAUAUUCCACCAAUUCACAAAACAUUAUUCUUUGUUUCAAGUCAAUUUUAUAAAUUUACUUCAAAAAAUAAUGAAAUAAAGCAUAACCGAAUGGACAAAGAAUCAAAGCAAGAGAUUUCCGUAUAUAAACACAUUAAAAAAUUAAAAAUAAGAUACAAAUCAAAGCAUGAGAUUAAAAAAAAAAUUUCUUACUUGAAAGAAGAUUGGUGUGGUGAUUGUGUUCCUUAUGUUGUUUUUUUUUUUUUUUUGGGUUGAACAAUGAAGAGCAAAACAAGAAAAAUACGUAAGAAAUAGGGUUUAAAGGUUUGGAUAUAGAUAUAAUUUUUUUUGUUCCUUUAUUAAUUUAAGGUUAAUUUAGAAAUUAUGAAAAGUAUAAUAAAUAAGAAAAUAGCUUCUCAAAAUGUGUUUUGGGAAAAGCAGAAAUCUUGGUUUCUCCCAAAAGACCUUUUGAAUUAAAAAAAAAAACUUUUAGUUUGACAUUCAAAUAAUUUCAAAAGAUCUUUUUUAAUUUUAAAAGCUAAAAAAGAGCUUAAUUAAGCUAAUCCAAACAGCCUCGACAAAAACGACGUCAAAUUAAAUUAAACGACAUCGUUUGCAAAGCCUAGGCCUAAGGUUUUCAAUGCAGCAAAUUUUUUCUGAAGUGUUGAAUGCAUCUCUUCGCUACACUCUCUCCCACUCAACUUAGGAAAGCCCUUCAAACCCUAAGUCAAAAUAAAAAACCGCCGCUCACUGAAGAAGGUGCAAACGGAUCUCUUUUCCUGUUAUUUGAAGAAAAUGAAAACAGUCGUUGCCCUCUGAAGUCAAAGUUGCUGCUCUCCUCCGUAUCCGUCACUGGCUAUUGAAGAAACCCACUGCUCAUCGUUGCUUUGGUAAAAAAGGUAAAGACAAAAAUAGCUUGUUUGAUUUUGAAAAUUAAAUUCAUUACUCCUCAAUUUUCCUUGAUUAAUUGGGUUUUUCCAUUUAUUAAGCAUCUUUAAAAUCGAAAUUGAUCUCUCAAUGCCUUGGGUUUUGACCUAAUUAAAAUUGGGGUUUUUUAAAAUUGAAAUUGGAGGUUAAUUUGCCUCAUUUUGGAUGAUGAAUUUAUCACUUAAGAAUCAAUUGAUUGAGUUGAGAUAAAAAAUAUCCCAUCUUAUUGUGUGUUUUCUCUCUUUAAAGUUUAUAGCAAAUUCUUGUAAUUUUAGGUUCAAAUAUGCACAUGGUAAAAAAUUAAGUUAACUGAAUGUUCUAAUGGAUUUGUAUGAUCAGUUUUUGCACAAUAUAUAUUAGGUUCGAUUAGGCCAAUUACUCAAACUCCCGUAAGUGACUUCGCAUGACUCCAAGCUUCGGAAAUGGUUGGCUUUUAAUAUUAGCAUUAGUGGAACUUAAUAAAUGCUUAACUGAUAUUAAUGAAAGUAUUUUUUAGAUUUUAUAUUUGAAGUUUAGUUGUAUAUGAAUGUUGUGAGUAAUAGCUUUCAUGGAAUUUUAUUGAAUGUUGUGACAAGUAUAGAUUUUACUAAAUGUUGUGCGUAAUAACUUUCAUGGAAUUUUAUUUUUGCUUCUGAAUUUUAAGUAACUUUUAAUAUGCUAUUUUUGUUCUUAUUGUGUUGAACUGACUAUGGCAGAAGAAUUCAAGUUUCACAAGAUGUGGCUAGGCUCGCAGCUGUAUUAUUACUGUUGGUAAAUGCUUCUUGCAAGUGUAGUUUGCUUUAGUAUUGAAUUUUUUAUUGUGACAGUAUUAUCUUCUAGAGUAUGUUGGAUUAGAGAAAGGAAUCUAUAGGAGGUAAGAGCUAGCUACUACUAAUACUUCUAUCAAUUCUAUUAAAAUGCUAUUACUUCUGUUGCUCAUCGUAUGUUUGUUAAAUGCUUGAAUGAAAGUUAUCUGCAUUUCUUAAUAAAGAGGAAAAAGAAAAUAUAGAGUAGUGUUAUUUUGGAUUUAACUUACUGAUUUUUUGGAUGCCUAUAUAUAUUGUUACUUGAAACCAAAUUUUUGUUUUGCUACUUUGGAAUUUCUAAGUGCUUGUUAAUGGAUUUGUGUUUUCUUUAUUAAUCUGAACGUAUUCUAAAGCAGGUCUAUAGCUACAAGUUGAUUACUUAUUUCCAUAACCUGGGGGUUUUUAUUUGAUUAUAAUUCUUGAUCAUCUUUUAUUUAUUCAUUUUUCAAUGAAUGAUAAUAGGUUUUAUCGUUACAAGACUUAGAUCUUUGAAAUAUCAAAAUUUUAGCUAGCUUCAUUUUUUUAAUUUUUCUUUUUGAGCUUUCAAUUUUCUUGAAUCAGUUUAUUAAUGCAUAAUUUAUCAGGUUUGCUUAAUAGUUAUUGGCAAUAAUACUUUGGUUCUGGCACACAUGGUAGAUGGCUUUUCAUCCACUAUUCUAGCUCUAGAAUUUAUUCAUUUUAUUUGUUAACUCUUGAUUAUCUUCAAAUACAGAUCUUUUAUCAAUCAAUUUAUUAGAGACCACUAUUGUGGGGCUUGUGGGAUUGCUCUCAAAGAUGAUGGGGGUGAUGUUUUGAAGAGGCUUUAUUUCCAGCAGUAGCAGCCAAUGGGUUUGAAUUUUGUCCUUUAUAUUCGUUGUUAAGGACUGUUUAUCUAAACCAUACAUAUUUUGUUUAUGAAUUAUACCAAAUUACGAAAAUACUUUUGGUUCUUUCAUAUUAAUUUUAAAUUCACAUUCUUUUGUAGUGUUAAUGGUAAUUAAAAUAUAUAUUUCCUAUGAAAUUAAAAAGAAAUAUAUUAAAAUUGGUAAAAUUAAAUUGGAUUAUAAUUCAUAAAAUAUAUUUAUAUAAUUCAAAAUUAAAUUUAAUUAAAUACAAAUAAUAACUAAUGAAAUAAAUUAAUAAUGGAAUAAUAAAAAAUAUGAAUAUCCACUAAAAUUUGAAAUCGCAACAAAAUUCGUUUAAAAUUUUGGAAUCCCACCAAAUUUAUUUAUAUAUGUCAUUAUCUCAUAGGGAUGGCAAAAUAAUUCGGACCCGAAUUGGACCCGCACGAACAUGGAUGAUUCGGACCGGGUUCAACCCACACCGGAUACAAAAAAAUUCGGAAUCCGACAAUAAUUUAAUAAACCCAGAUGUAUCUGGAUUUAGAAUAGGUCGACCUACAUAUCCAGCACCUAGACCCGAAUGUCUUUAUUUUUAAUUUUUUUUAAUAUAAAUAGAAUAGCAAAAAGGAAAGAUGAAGCCCUAGUUUUCACUUUACAACUCUCUCAAUACAACUCCCAGCCAUUUUCUUCUCUUCAUCAAUUCAACACAGCCCCUAACUAUUGCUUUUUUUGUCAUCGUCAUCUCUCCACUUUGCUGCCAUCGCGGCUGUGUUGAUCAUUAUCGUCAUCAACUGCCAUUCAAUUUGUUGAUUGGUGCCAAACUAGAUUCAAGUGUGGUAUCAAUUACCAGCCUCCAAUUAAUGUUUCGAGUGGUGAUCUCGUGAAGGUGCAAAGGGUUGUGUGCAUGACAGCGAACUCAACUAGUAUUGCUAAGGUAUUUUCUCGCAUUGGCCACAAUUUUGAUUUGAUGUAAUGCCAAGUGGGCAUAGAGAAAGGUGAGUUCUUUGAAGCCCGUGAGGAUUUUGCAGCUUUGGAGAAGGAUUAUAAGGACGUUGGUGCUGAAUCUGGUGAGGGUGAAAAUGGAUAUGAGGGAGAUGAUGUGUUUGUAAUUUUUUAGGCUUGUGUUCUUUUGAUUGCUUCUUUGAUGUAAGGUUGAAUUCUAGUUGCAUUGGUUCCCAUUCUACUACUUUUACAUUUUUGGUUGGCUAUGCGGCUAUGUAUUUUUUUCCAUUGUUAUCCACAGCAUGUUAGAGAAUUGAAAAGGGGAAAAAAAUACAGGCAUCUGGGUUUGAAACUCACAAUCCGGAAACUGGGAUUUUUCUGGGUUAAAUUCGGUCCGGACUUGGAGAUAAAUUAUCCGAGUUUAUAUCCGGAUCCGGAAUACCAAAUUAACAUCUGGGUUCGGAACCGAAACGACCAAACCCGAACCCGAAAUAUGCCAUCACUAUUAUCUCAUGACAUAUAUUAGUCAUGCAUGAAAGUGAUUAUGACAAAAAUUAGUCAUACGCGAAAUGUUUUUUAUCAAAAUAGUUAUGACGAAAUCAUGACAGAUAAUAUGUCAUCCAUAACACAACGUAUAUAAACAAUCAUCUUAUUUUCUUGACAUCGGAAUCAAUGACAGUCGUUCAACUGUCAUGCAACAAGUCAUUAUGGGUAAUACUUGUCAUAAAGGCCUUUUUUUCUAGUAGUGAUUACCUAUUUCUUUAAUUACCUUGUUUCCUCUCAAUAAAAUAUUCAUCAUCACAAGUAAAAUAUCUUUUUUCCAUUUGUAUUAACUUUUAUUUUCCUUUCAUAAUAAGGUUUGAUAUUUGUUUAUUCUUCUCUUUAAUGCGGACAUUUUAAUUUUGUUUUUCAAACCCAUGAAAGCAUGUAGAUUAGAUAGAGUAAAUGUCAAAAAGAAAAUUUAAAACAAAUCUUAUCCUUUGAUUUUCUUUGAUUUUCUUUUCUUUUAUUUCAUUUUCUUAAGUUGGAGUGGUACAAUUUAUUGUUCUUCCUCCACUUAUGUUUUUUUAUUCUUUUUGUUUCAGUUGCAAAAGAUGGAACAUGUUACUUUUAUGUUUUCCUAGCAAUUCUAUUAACAAAAAAAAUAAAAUGAGAAAAUGUAGUCUGAAGUAAUAGACAAUGUUUUAUCAUGAAUAUUGAUUCAAUUUUUCAUCGUAUGUGGUUUACUGUAGAUAAAAUAUGAUACUGGAUAAAAAUUGUUAAACAAUAUUUUAUUAAAUUGUUCUUAAUAGUAAAUUAUAUUUAGGUUAAUUUUGUAAUGUAAAAAAUUAUUAAAAUAUGAGUGUUCGAAAUAAAUUUUAGAGUGCAAAUAGUCUCCCGUAUUGUCAUGUAGUGUGGGUUUGGUAAUUUACAGUUUUAUCAAUAUUUUUGAGAUGUUACAAAAUUUUGUAAUUUAUGUACAAAAGUUGCUAUCCCCCCCCCCCCCCCCCCCCCGAGGCCAAAGUAAAUUUCAUUUUAAGGGCCCAGAAAAGACAAUAAUACAUCAUCACAUCGACCACAAAUAAAAUACUUAAGAUAACCUAAGACUUGAGUCUCGGUUAGGAUAACGCUUAAUAACAAAUAAAAUAAGAAAACCAACUACGUUAAUUACGAAUUCCUUACAGCCGAUAAGCAAAAAGAACUCAAUGCACUAAAACCUAACAUAGUGCUGAAGAAAUUUUUUGAGUUUGGCCUAGUCUACCCACCUCAAAUAUUGUAGGUAAAGACUACAUUCAAUAAUAUAUAUAUAUAUAUAUAUAUAUUGAAUAAUUUACAAUUCUUCAUCAUUUCAAAAGAAAAAAAAAAUCAUAUGCAAAUUCUUUGCAAUACGCUAUGCAUGCAACCAUUUUACCGUCCAUAUAUAUCAUUCACACCAAAGAAACUUUAAACAUAAGAAACACAUUAAGUAAGUCUCGGCAAAACAAAUAAUUUUUUUAAAAAUGAACAUAAAAUAUAAUAUUUUUUUAUCGCCUUUAAGUAGCCAUGCUAAAAUCGGGACCCAAUAACCAAUUGCUUCUACAAGCCUAGCAGCCCCCUCCACAUCUCCCCAACAAGUGGUAUCAAAGUCAGGCUAUAGUAGUCAAAAUAUGGUAGUGGAACAACUUAGAUACAUUGGAUGAAAGUACCACAAUUCGACGACAAUUCCGUGUAAGGUAGGGAUUAUUGAGUUGUGUCUCACAUUGGUUAGUUAAGAUGUGUUCUUGAGUUUUAUACGUAAGAUAAGCUCCCCAUCAAUAGGCUACUAUUUUAGCUUAGACACUUGGAUAUCCCAGGCCCAACAUCUAACAUGUAACAUAAGUAAAAUGAACGCAUUAAAUGGUUAAAGGGUGUCAUUUGAUGAGUUCCUAAAUAAGAUAUGUUCUUUCACUUGAUAAGUUAGUUUUUUAGAUUAGAUAUUUGGAUAUCCUAUGCACCUAUGCCCAACCCCUAAUGUGAAACAUAAGUAAUUAAAAUAUCAUAAAUCUAUAAGUAACCACAGCCAGCGUACAUGCCUUAUCUAUGCCUUUUAUACAAACUUUUACUUAAAUGAUUAUCGUUGUGCAUUCACAGAUCCCACACACAAAUAAAUACUCAACUCUGACGUAAACUUGAGAAAACAUUGCGUUAGAAUGAAAGACAUAAUCUAAAAUGUGUAUUGAGUUUUUAAAUCUAAUGAAAACUCUCACUGUUGCCAUGCGAUGCCACCAAAAAAGGACAUAACAACAACUAUUGCACAUCUUUACAACUAUCACUCAUAUAUGUAUAUAUAUAUAUAUAUGUGUGUGUGUGUGUGUGUGUGUAUGUGUGUGUGUGUACACACACACACACAUAUAAAUAUGGGAAUUGGCGCCCAUGAUUGGCUAGACUGGCCCAACAAAAAGAAACAUCUAGAAGCUUCUUUUAGAUAGGGUUUUAUAUAAAUGUUGUAAGUUUAAUUAGAUUAUGAGAGUUAUGAAGUCUUUUGGUUGAAUUCAAUCACUCUCAUUGGCUUCUAUAUAAACACACCUAUUGUAUCUAAAAUACAAGUAUGCGAGAGACAUGAACAAUACGUAGAACAUAUUUGAAAAUACAAAGAGCGAAAAUGAGAGAAAAGGCAGUGGGUUCUUGCGAUGUGAUAUGAGUGGAUCUUAUAUUAUUAUUAUUAUCCUUCAACCAUAAGCAUACAAUGGUAUGAGGGUGUUCCAUGAGAUUAUCCUCUGUCUCUAAUCAACUUGACAGUGACAUAAUCUCGUUGUGAUAUGCUUCCACAUUAAGGAUCAAAAUGUAUGGUUUUGGAUCUCUCAUUAAUUAUAUGUUGAAUAUACAUGAAAAUCAACAUUGGUAUCAAACCCAAUGUAGGUUAUGUUCUGUUUUGAUGUAUUUGCAUGAGACAUGCCAUGUUCUUUGAUGAAAUAUAUAUUUUUGUGUUUAGAACACACUUUAAUGGUAUGUAAUGAAUCACUCAUUGUUAGGCCUUGAUAUUUGGUUUACAGAACAUGAAUAUAUGUGAAUUAAAUCUGGAAUUUUAUAUGAAUUUAUAUGGCAUAAGUUAUGAGAAAGCAAAAACCUAACCAUGAACCCGUAUGAUUAUUUUACUUACAACUCUUGACACAGUGGUUAGUUCUCUAUAAAUUUGAUAACAUUAGAAAGAUAAUUUAGACAACUUUCCAACGAUAUAUCAUAUGCAUAAUUCUGAGUAGCUCGUGCACUACACGCGCAUAGCGUGCGUGUGAAAAGUUGGCAGCACAGCACUUGUCGACUCAAAUAGGUGUUGUAACUUUUUCUUGUGCUAUUGGUGUCAAUGUCUGGCAGCACAACACUUGUCCACUAAAUGGGUGUUGUAACUUUUUCUUGUGCUAUUGGUGUCAAUGUGCAAGUAUACACAACAAGUAAUAUAAUGAUGAGUAUUCAAGAUCAUCUCCAUAGGGAUUGAUGUUAUUAGAUUUGCUACAACAAUCUUUAACAAUGCAGUUUUACUUUGAUUGAAAAUAAAACAAAUAAUAAAAUUAAUAAACUAAUUGAAAUAAAAUGCAAUAAAUAAAAAUGCAACAAAGUAAAUUCUUUAAUCAAUCACAAGAAUAAAACCAAUAUGAAUAAGGUAGUUGAUUGAUUAAACUUUCUUAAUGAUUUUGACUAUUUCUUCAAAUUUUAGGCUCGGUUGUUACAGCAUCUGCUACAUCACUGGGCAGAAUCCUUAUGUAUCCUCAAUUAUCGCAUGUUGGAUGUCUUAUAUCUCUAUGCAACCUAACAAUGACCAAUUAUACAUAAGAUAUAACAUUACAUGCUUAAGUUCUAAUUACCCUACAAGGUGAAUCCCUAUGUCUAGUCAUCAGUAAUUUUAGAUUAGGCAUGACCCUUUUGGAAUCAAGUAAAACUCAAUUCAGGAAACACAAUCUAAAACUAAAUAUUGCUCUAAUAUGUUCCAUUAAGAGAAGUCAUUUUAUGACUAUUUCUUAGCUAGUAUCAUUAAAUGCGUGGUCAACCGAAAUAAUGACUAUAAAUAAAUAUUACCAAAAUAAAAUGCUAUAGAAAACAUGCAACAACACAUAUAAAUUCAGUCAAGAAACCAUUAAGAUUGUUUAUCACUCAACCACAAUUAAAUUAGUUCAUGGUUUGCGAAAGAAAAAUAAACAAAAGAAGUUCAGCCAUCAACUACAUCCCCAUGAUUAAAGAAUGAACCAAAAAUCGAGAAAAGAAUAAGAAAGAUUGAAGUCCGAUUGAUUUCUACAAAUUCUCCACUGAUGCAGUCUUGAUUCUUGCUCUUGAAUUAUGUUUGUCCUUUAUUUCUUUUCGGUUUUUGUUCUUGGUUGACGGUUCUCCUUUUCCUUAACGUGUGCGCUUUUUUUAUAGCUAGAAAUUAGGGUAAACAGAAGCUUAGGGCGCCUAUCUCCCAUAUUAGGAAACUCCAUAUCGCAAUCUGUUAAGUAUCUCGCCCGAAAUCUUCUCUAUCAAUGCUCCAAAAUUACUACAGCAAUGAGUACAACAUCUGCACUAUUUCAGUUUAAAUUCAUUUGUAGCCAAGUUCUUUCCUUAUUUUUGCAAGCCUAUUACAGUAGCAUUCAUUCCUUGAAAUUUGAGCUUUCGGUCACCUGCAAUUAUGCAUAUGAUCUAAGCACACAAAUUAUUCUAAAAAAUAAAAUCUAUUGAAACUAAACCAAAAUUGAUACUCAUGCAAAAUAUAACUAAAAUGCAAUAAAAACAUACCAUUUACUCUUUAAGUAAUAAUGAUUCAAGUCUAAAAGUACCAUGAUAACUCUUAUUUCAUAGAGUUAUCAACAGAUGAGCCGGCAAGCGAGCGUAAGCCCUUUAAGCACGCUCACUGGUUCAGUCGACAUGCCAUAGCUUGGCUGUAUUUGAGUGAGGUGCACGAACUGCCUUCUCGACCUCCGUUUUGAGCACCACGUACGGCGAGUAACUUAGAAUUUUAUUCUCUUUUAUUUGUUGAUUUAAAAAUAAUUUUUUAUUUGUAUUACUUAUCUAUUUUGAAUCAAAAUCUUUUGAAGCUAUUUUAAAUAAAAUAAAUAAUUUAAAAUAGAGAUAAAAUUUAGAAAAAAAUAUUUUUUAAAUACUUUGAGAUGCCGUUGACAGUGCUGCACUUCUGUGGAAGCUAUUUCAACACGUUACUAAAUGUACUCUUGCUAUAAUGCAUAUUGAUGAAUUAUCUAAUAUUUGUUGAGAUAAUGUAUACUAUUUGUUUGAAAAUAAGUAUGAUUGUUCUUAAUACUAUUUGUUUGAAAAUAAGUAUGAUUGUUCUUAUUAAUCCAUGUGAUAAUAAUGAUGAAUUGAUUUAUGAAGUAUAUUUAUAUAUCACAUGUAAUUAUUUUAAUGAGAACACAAUAAGAUAUUUAAAAUAUAUUGAGAUUAUUAAGCAUGGUCUAGUAAUAUGAAUUUAUGUAUGUCUAUGAAAAUUUUGUCAAAAAGACGAUAAGAAUUUAAGGAAAUAAGGUAUUUAAAUAGGACUAUCCAAUCCCCAUCUCUUUCCUAGAAAAUUUUCUAGUGCAUUACUCAUGUCAACAUAUGCAAGAAUGCUUUAAUUCUAUUAUAUUUAUAAAUCCUUAGUGUGAGUUCUAUUAUUAUUAAAAUUUUGGGAAUAAACAAUAAUUGAACUAAAUAUUUUGUGCAACAAAAUAAAUUUAUGUUAAUUUUUGGAAAGGAUGAUGAUUAGAAGCCUUGACGAGCUUUUGAUUCUAAUCCUUAUUUUAAAAUUUUCAUUUAUUUGAUUUAUGCAAAAUAUAUUAAAUGUGUGUGAAUUAAAUGAAUAUUAUGCUAGCAUUGAUUGUCUCUUGAUUGAAUUUAAUAGAUGUUUUGGAAUAUGUUGUGUAUAAAUUAAAUGGAAAGACCAUUGAGGCAUAAACAAAUACCAAUUUUGAGCUUUGAGCAUAUUGCUUCUCUUUAGAAGAUAAAGAACAUUUUAUCGAGUUUUGCAAAACCCCGCAUACUCGCAUCUUGUUGCUGAGUAACAUGCAUUAUGCCCUUAUUAAUGAGUACAAGAAGUAUUAGGUUCCUCAUAUACAAGAGCUCAAAUAUACUAGACACAUUGUAAUUGACAAUGUUAGGUCUAGGCAUUAAAAUAUCCAACCCCAGUAGUUGGGAUAAUAUGAGAGUUUAUAUAACACAUAACCUUAGGAAUUUGAAAGCUAGCACCAAGAGACUGCUAAAGCUUGUAAUCAAAUAUGUGUUGCUUAGAUCUAAAAAAUGAGUGCUAAAAGGCUGCUAAUGCUUCCAAUUAACUCCAUAUUACUGAGUCCAACUAUAAAAGAUGAGCUCCUAGAGGCGGCUAAUGCUUCAAACAAACUCCAUAUAAUUGAUUCUAAUUCAAAAAGAUAUGCACUUAGAAGUGGCUAAUACUUCUAAAAUUAACCUAGCAAGAAGGAUUUUAGGUUGCGCAAAGCCUAAAGCUUUGAGCAUAAAAGAUGGGGUAGUCUCUUCUAGUGGAAGUUAAGGACUUGAUCCUAAUCUAAGUGACCAAUGCUAAAAAUGCUAGAUAAGACAAGCAAGCUAGAAAAAAAAAUUGUAUAUGGUUAGCUACUCACCAUGAGUUUGAGUCAUUUCGCUCGUGAUUGCAUUGAGCAGAAAUAUACUAAGUAACCAUACCUUAUAAGUAGAGAUCACAAAAAGGUUUUCAUGUUUUUACAUUGUAAUUGUCAAAAGGAAAAGAUGGAUACAUAUGAGGAUAUCCUUGUUCUAGAAAUCAAGGUAUAAGCAUCUGCAAGUUGGUAUUGCAUGGUCCUUAUUUUUCAAGAAUGAACGUACAUCGAAAAUUCAUCAAAAACCUUGGUCUAUAUUGUUGACAUUCUUAGAUUAGGAUACUUAAUUUUUAGGUGUUUGUAUAACCAAAUUUGAAAAGAGAUUUUAUGGAAAGUUGUUGACUCUGCAUCAUCUUGCAAUGAUGAUGUACAUGCCAAAAUUUGGCAUAUUAGACUUAGACAUAUAGUUAAGUUGGUUAGAGAGAGCACAUUGGGCUCACUCAUCGUAAUGAUAAAGUGUAUGUGUGAAAUUCGUUUAAUAGAGAAAACAACUUAGAAAACCACAAGGCAAAGGAACAAAAGCCAAAUGCUCAUUGCGAGUAGUCCAUUUUGACAUUGUGAUAAAAUGUAUUUAAAGGCUAGAAAUAAAGCCCAUAGUGAUUACAUUUAUAUAUCUAUCUAUUUUGGUCCAAUAUCUUUGAUCUCUUAUAAAUCAGUUGUACCAUGAUACUUCAAAUUACUUUUGGAUAUGGUAGAGAUCGAAUUAAAAUAAACCAAAAUAUGUACAUCUUUCUAAGCAAUUUUGGAAACUAUAUACAAGAAAGAUAAAGAUAGAUAAUUGAUUAUUCUUAAAACAACGCACUACUUGGAGUAGUGCAAAUUAAGGAAUAGAGCAUUAUGAGAAUUGAUAAAGUAAUAAUAGCUCAUGAGCUUCUCCAGUAUGUUGUUUGGAGAUAGUCUUUUUGAUUACAACUUAAAUACUUAAUUAAUUUCUCAUAGGAUGAGUCAUUUAUGCACCAUUCUGGAAAAGUACCUAACAUAACUCAUUUGCAACCUGGGAUAUGCAUUAAAAUAUAUUGAACAAAGAAAUAGGGCCUGUGUUCAAUAGUGAAUGAAUGGUUGAAAAAGUGACUGGAUAAAAAACCACAAAUGUCAAAAUUUCAAAUUCCUAAGCAUUAUAGAAUUUGAUAAAGAUGUAUCCUAAAUUAUGAUUUGGAUUAUCCUUUUCAUGAUACAACUUUUGGGUUGAGAAUUGAGUAUAGGUAAAAUUUGUUUGGAAAUCUUAAUCCUAGUGGAAGCCAACACCUAAUGAGGUGAUCUCCCAGAUAAUCAAUUCAAUAAAAUAAUUGAAAAGGAAUCUUAUAUCAUCUUUUAAACAUUGAAAGGAGUUUCUUCACAAUUAUUUUAUAAUAUGGUAAUGAGCUAGAAUUAUUUACAUAGAGCUCUCACUCUAAAUGCUAAGGAACUUUAGAUAAAGGCAAUGCUUAAUAGACAAAGUCAAUAAAUAAUAUCUGCGUCUGAGGCAUAGUUGGUCAAUUGCCAAACAAGCUAUUGCAAACAAUAGAGUUGUGCAUGUGCUAGGCAAAAGGCACAAGUAUAAUUAUAAGUCUUGAUUGAUUAAAGUUAUGGUCUAGCGGUGUAGACUAGAAAAAAAUCUCUUGACUAAAAGGUUUCUUUGAGGCAAUUAUUUCUGGUCAACAUUACACAUGCAUUUAUUGUCACAUCAAAUAGAUGUAAUAAAUGCAUCUCAAUGGAGAAUUGGAGAAAAAAAUAUACAUAUAAAACAACUACUAGGCAUUGUUGCCAAAGCUAUUUUUAGCGCACAGUUUGUAUGCUCAAAAGAAUUUUACUAAAGACCUUAAACACAUAGUCUGCUUGUGUGCAUAUUUUUUAUGACAUCAUCUUGAUAAAUGAUAUCUUAAAAUUUCAUCAAGCUGCAUUUCAUUGCAAGUCUAGGAUGAUUGAAGAUAGCCAUUGCAUUGAUGCAUGUGGACGAUAUUUCUAGAUGACUAGAAACAAAGAAGAUUUUGUCAAAGUCAUUAGCGUUGAUCAUCUAAUGAAAUAUGGGCAAAGUUGCCUAUGCUUUAGGAGUUUAAAUCCAAAUAGAAUCUUUUAAGAUUUUCUAACUCUGUCAGUAGAGUUAUAUUUAUAUUAGAAAAUUCUUUAAAGAUUGAAAAUAGCAAAUUGAAAGCUAAGUGGAUACUCCUAUAGAGAAUGACAAAUUUAUACAGACAAGUUUAGUUCAUAUUCUGAAUAAGAAAAAUGAAUAUAAGUAUAUUGAUCACGGGAUACAUCAAAACAAUUAAAGAAAGAAGAUAAUUAUAAGUUGAGCACGGUGAAAGACAAAUCCCAAAUAAUUCUGCACGAUUCUUCAAUGUUGCCGAAACAGCACUCUCCAAUUCUGAUCUUCUUCUCUUUUCUUUUGUAAUUAUUCUGAUGAUAAUUCCAUUGCCGCCCUUCUAUGUGGUGCACGCCUCCCUUUUAUAUUGCAAAUUAGGGUAAACCAAAGCCCACGAGCGUGCAUGCGUUAAAUUAGGAAACAUGCAGAUUGCGAUUCUGUGGCUGACCCGCGCCUAAGUUUUCUCCCGUAUUGCUACAACACUGAUUGCUCUAACAUCCGCAACCAUACUGCACUAUUCCUGAUUUUGCUUUACUUCUUUUGUGGUCAUCUUCUUUCCUCUUCUUGCUCAUCUAAUGUCUCAAUUAAGACUUUCUGAAAACCUACAAUUAUGCACUUGUUUUUAGCACAAAUUACUUUGAUUCAAGCAAAACUUAUUAAGACUCAACUAAAAUGAAUGUUUAUGCAAAAUAUAACCAAAAUGUAAUAAAAACACCUUAUUUGCUCUCUAAGUGACCUUGAUUUAAAUCUAGAAAGGAUGUAAUAACUCUCAUUUCCUAGAGUUAUCAACGCUCAUCAAGGGUACCUAAGCCUAAUACCCUGUAUCAAGGAUACACAUGAGCUGCUGCGUGAGAACUUGGUAGCUGAAGGGACACAUGUGCACUCCACUAGUUUUGCGGAUGGACUUGGUCUCCAAAGAAUCUUUACUUGCUAAUUUUAUUAUUUAAAUUAUUGUUAUUUGAUUUAGCUAUUAGCUUAAGAGAAUAAGUCAGCCUAGAAUCAACCAACAAUCACGAUCAGUUGAGAUUGUUCUGGCUUAGUAUUGUUCUAAGUAUAAAUAAGCUCCAACAGCAAGAAUAAAAUUAUUCAGUAUCAAUUAAAUUCAAUUACUUGUGGUUAUUCUCACCCUAAGAGAAAUCUAUCUUAAUUAGCUUUGACUGGGACCACAUCAAAAGUAUACAAGUCAGAAUGCGGGUAAUAUCCGCAUGGAUUGCGACAAAUAUCCCCAAUAUCUGGAUCCGCAUAAAUUAAAAUUCAAUAAUUUAAAAUAUAAUUUACGAUUCAGCCAUUUACCUAAUUUUAUUAAAUAAAAUCCAAUCACAAUUCAAUUAUCAAUAAUUCAAUACCUAGAAUAACAUGUGACAUCAUAAAGUCACAAAUAAAAAUACCACAACAUAAAUCAAACAUCAAGAGUAACAUAAAUCAAACAUCAAGCCUAGCACCACCACAAAUUCACAAAUAAAAUUAUAAAAACACCAUAAAUCCACAUAAUAUAAUGCAGAUCCUAAUAUAUUUCUUAAUUUAAUUUAACUUCUAUAUUUUAAUUAAUCAUAUUAUAUUUUUCAUUUAACUUAUAUAUUUUAAUUUAAUUUAAUAAAUAAUUUAAUUAAAAAACUAUGCAGAUCUAGAUAUUCAAUUUUUCAAUGCAUUUGCAUACAAAUCCACACAGAUUUUAAGUUUUAGGAUUGAAUUUUCAUUUUUUUAAUGUGUGGAUACAGUUUUUCAAGAUUCGAAUCUUCCGAAUCUUUGCGGAUCUAGACUGGAUUCAAAUAUUUUUGCCAUCCCUAUGCAUUGUCAAUGCUGUAAAAACCUAUACAGUAUUAUAGAGAAAUCCUUAAAAUAAAAACUAAAAUAAGUAAUUACUUAAACAUCAUCGUUAUUCAAAUAAAUCCUUGAAAUAUAAACCAAAAUAAGCAAUAAAAGUCAAAUAUGCGCUACAACCAUGAGAUGUCCGUAAUAGCAUGCCUCCGCAGUAAUUAUUUGAUUUUCCCAAAAUACUUCCAGUGAUUUAUAUGACUAAUAAACCAAUCUUCCUUUUUCGUGAUAUUAAAGCAGGACAGGGAAUCUCUCAUUUUCACGAGCACAUAAUAAAUAUGUUGGGGAGCCUCUAAGUUACAAUAAUUGUAACAUACAUCCCUAAUGUGAACCACACAAAAUUGUAGGACCCACAAUUUAUGUGGUUCACAUGAGGGAUGUAUGUUACAAUUAUUGUAACUUAGCAUUUGCCAAUAUGUUAAUAUAAAAGUUGUCCAAUUGGAAAAGUUUAUGUUGACAAUGGUAAAAUAAUUUACACUCAAAUUUUUACUGUGUACUUGUCGUGUCGUGUCUUGUAUUAUGCCAUGUGCUAUUUGACCCUUAGUUAUCUCUAAUCACAGUGAUAAUUUUAGAAAAUUAUUGGCAUUAUUAUAGCCCCAUCUUGUAAGCCUCGUUUUCUGUAAUUGUAAUUAGGGGUGGCAAAAGGAAUAAACGAAUCGAAUCGUAAACGAAUUGGGUCAAAAUUCUAUGGAUUCGAAUUCGAUUCGUUUAUUAAAUGAAUUGAAAUUUCAGGAUUCGGAUUCGAUUCGUUUAUUAAACGAAUAUUCGGUUCGAUUCGUUUAAUUCGUUUAAUAGAAUUGAUAAACGAAUCGAAUCGAAUCCGGAUUCGUUUAUCCUUUACGAAUCCAUAACGAAUCAAAUCGAAUCAGGAUUCGUUUACAAUUCGUUUAGAAAAAUAUAAUUAAGAAACAAAAUUAAGCAAAAAAAACACAAAUUUAAUAUCCCACAACAAAAUACAAAUAAUUCAAAUCAUAUUAUACAGUCAUCCAAAUACCAAAUACCAAAUCCUUAAUAUUACAAAUAACAAUAAUUCAAAUUCAAAUUAUAAAGAAAUGUAAUUUCUUUAAUUCUCUUCAUUUGUCUUUGUCACCUUGAAAACAAAAAUCCUACACCAAAAAGUAAAUAAAAUGUUAUUAACAUGCUGCAAUAUUGAUAAUAGUCAUAGUAAAAUUUCAAAAAUCAAAUAUAUAGCAAAUUUGUAGCAUUUUCAAGGAAAUAAUAAUUAAACAAGAUAAAAACUUUACCUAACACACUCACACACUGUCAUUUGGAGCAUUUGCACUCUCUACAGAUGGAGCACAAUUAGUGCUCAUGUUCAUAAACUAAUAAAUCAAAGAAAAAGUCUAACAGAGAAAUUAACAUACAUAAUCACUUUCAAGCACCAUUACCAAGACCACGAGCCGAUUCAUCAUGUAUGCCAAAUUCUAACCCGGCAAUAUUCCUAAUGCACAAUAUUCCAAUGCACAAAAUAUUAACAAUACAACAUAAUAAAUUAUAAAUUCUAAUACUAAAAAAACAAUUAAUCCAAUAUUUGUGGGGGCUUCUUCCUCAUCCUACAGAUAAUUUUUAACACCAUAAUCGAUUUAUACAUAAUUUCAUAAUAUUUUCCAAACAAUACAAAACAUUUUCUAAACCAUAAUCUCAUAAUAUUCUACAAUACAAAAUUUCUCAAUAAUUCAACCAUAAUCUCAUGCUAUUACCCUGAGUUGGUGAUGGCUUGUAGAUUCGGGUCGCAGUCGCCUGGGUUUGCUGCUGCUGCACCGCCGCACGGGUUAGCUACUGCUGUGGGUUUGAGUGGCUGCUAAUACGUUGCGCAGUUAAUGCUCCUGGGUUGCUACCGAGUCGCGGGCUGCACUCGCGUGGCUGCGUCCCUCAAGCUCAAUCGACGAUAGAUGAACGAUGGUGGUUGUAAUCGUCGGUUCGCUGUGAGUUAAUGACAGUGGCUACCGGCGGCUGUUUUUGUUUCUUGAUUGCUUCACUUGGUAUGGGUGGGUGAGUGUGAUUCGUGUGAGAGAGGUAGAGAGCAACGAGAGCGGUUGAGUGAGGGGAGAAUUUUUAGGGAUUUAGCCUUUAGGUUUCCGCUACUAUUUUUUUUUUUUUGGUUAUUUUCUUAAAAUUACAAUAUUAACCUUCAAAUUUUAAAAGCCUUUCAAAUAAAUUUAAGAAUAAAAAAGUAAUUUAAUUAAACAAAUAAUAAAAUAAUUUUAAACGAAUCGACCCGUAUUCGAUUCGUUUAUGACCCAUUUAUUAAACGAAUUCUAAACGAAUAAACGAAUCCAAAUUUUCAAACCCGCAUUCGAUUCGUUUAAUUAACGAAUCGAAUCGAAUUCACCCAUUUAUUAAACAAAUCAAUUUUUUCAAACCCAAACCCAUUUAAUUCGCAUCGAAUCGAAUCGAAUAAACGAAUCCUGACCUAUAUUGCCACCCCUAACUGUAAUAGCAAAUCAAAUAAGUAGAGCCGGAACUAUGCAUGUAAAAAUAAUGAACCUCAAACUUCAAAAGAAUUUAUUAAGACCAUGCUUCUCAUCAAAAUUGGAAACAACUUUCGCCUAUUUUCUUUUUUUCUUUUGCAAAGUAAUAAAACUUAUUAUGAAUUGGAGACAUCCAGAAACCACCAAAAAUUAAAAAAAAAAUGAAUGGCAAAAGGGUGGACUAAUAAAAGUGGAUGGAAAUGAUGAUAACGAAGAGAUAACUAUUUAAGGAGUGUUCAUGAUGAUCGGCAUGUGAUCCUCUAACGUGAAAUCUAUAUAUUCAUAUAAUUCAUUUUCCUAAUAGAUAAAAAAAUUCAAGAGAAUUAAAAUUAGGGAAAGGGACACCUUUACCCUUAAAAUAUUAAAAAAAUGAUCAUAAAAGACCCUCGAGUUUUAAAAAAUUGACAACCCUUUUUUGUUCCUAAUACUCUUUAAAUAUUUAAUUAGAAAAUUGACUUUAAAUUUUUUUAAUUAAUAUAAAUAAUAUAAUAUGGCUAGUGGACUAAUAAUAUUAAAUUACUUUUAACAUUUAAAUAAUAUAAAAAGAUUUAAGUUAUUAUAUUUAUUUUAAUAAUACAUUUGUAUUUAUUAUAAUAAUUUUAGAUAAAUCUUUGGGUUAAAUAGAUUUUACAAAUAACAAAUUAUUACCCUAUCAACAGGGGCGGAUGCAGUAUGUGACCUAUGGGGGUUGUAGCCCCUGCUGGCUAAAACAAAUACUCUAAGAAUAAAAUAAAAAUUAUUUAAGAUUUCAAAUUAGUCCCCAUUAAAUCUAUUAAAAUUGACCUUAUAAAUUUAUAAACUCACAAAAUUUAAACUUUAACUUUUAGAAUUAUAAAAGCCUACACUAUAAUUAAAAAUAAUGAUAGGACAUCACCACAAAUAUUUUUUUAUUUUGGAAAAUACGUCGAGAACAAUUAUAAAUGUAUUAACAAAUAUUUUAUGCUUUCCAAGUUUUAGUUUUAAAAUUUUACUAUUAUGUAAUCUAGCCCUCGGUAAAUUAUUUUUCUAAAUCUACCACUACCUAUCAAUAAAUAUCAAAAUUGUUUUUUACAUAAUAUUCAAAAUUAUUUUAAUUUUGAUUAAUUUAUUUUAAUAUUAUGUAAUAUUUAUUAUCAAAUAUUACUUUAAUAAAAUAAAACAGGUCUAAUAGAUUGUAAAAUAUUAAAAUAUUUUUAAAAUAUUAAAAUUAUUUUAAAACAUAUAUAUUGUUACAUUUAUUUUAAUGCCAUAUUUUUAUUUGUUAUAAAAUUUUAAAUUUAAUUUUUGAAGUUUAUAGAGUCAAAGGACAUUAUGAUAAAAAAAAAAAAAUCAUGGUAUCACUUACUAAAAAUUUGGAGGACAUUUUAACAAUUUCUUUAAACCUUGAGGGUGAAGUGUCCUUUUCCCUCAGAAAUUAUUACAAAUUUACAAUGUGAUUGAAGCGCAAUGUGAUUGAAGCGUACUUGUCACUUUAACUGGAUUGAGAAAUAAAGCCCUAUGAAGCCUGAUAAUAAUUAAAUUGAGAUAUCGAAUUGAUUUGCAACUACGAAAAAGAAACCUAGCCUAAUUCAUUGCCCGUCCAUCUCCAAAUGCAAAAAAAAAAAAAAAUCCAUAAAUUCGAUUAACAUAAUUUGAAGGUAAAUAUUAUUAUUCUAAUUAAUGCUGAUCACAUCUAAUUGGCUAUGCCAAAAUUGGAACCCCGUAACUAAUUACAAACCAAUAAGUGGUAUCAGAAUAUCUCUUGCCAAAACUACACAGUAUACAUUGCUUAUAUGUGCCUACAUUAUUGUUUAUCAUUAUCUCUAAAAGGAUAAAGAAAUCCUUUGGAUAUGAAUUUUUUUUUUUUUGAUGAAAUGAAAUUUUAUUAAUCAUAAGAGAUUGUCAACAUAGGACAUAAUCACGGAGGUGGAACAUCCCUCCACUCUCCAAGACCUGAUAUAGAACCCCCCCACCCUAGCCACAUUAUGGGCAGUGACAUUCGCAGAUCUAUGCACAAAAGAUAAUCUCACUUCUCCAACUAAUUGAGCUAAGGCUUGACAAUCCGCAAUAAUUAAGCCAAAACCAUUAGGACUAUAAUAAUGAGAAACUAAAGCAGAAUAAACAUUUAAGCAAUCGAUUUCAACAAUAACUUUAGACAAUUGUAAGUUCUUUAUCCAGCUAAGGCCUUCACGAAUAGCCAAAGCCUCUGCCUCGCGAGGGUGAAACAGUCUAGAGAAACUUUGACACUUAGCAGCAACAAAGCAACCCCCAGAGUCUCUGAUCACCCCUCCAAAGUUGUAUCGACCUUGAGAACUGAAAACCCCUGCAUCCACAUUACACUUCAACCAACCUAGAGGAGGUUUACCCCAACACACCGAGCCAUGGCCUAACUGAACUUGCUCAAUUAUAAUGAAAUUCUUCCUCUUAGCCUCUUGCCACUGGAAAAGAUAAUGCCCUGCAACAUUCACUAGGCUUUUGGCACGCCCAUUAUGACCAUUCCACACUUUGUCAUUUCUAUUAAGCCAAAGCUUCCAACAUACCAUUACAGCCAAAGUGCACUCUUUCUUGCGACAUUUGAUAAAGAUUUGCUCAAUGCAAUCAAAGAAGGAAGAGCAUCUCCUUCCCGUUCCAAGCGAGGACAGUAACUAACAAGAUUGGGCAAACAAACAUUCCACCAGACAAUGAUAAACAUAUUCAUUGGCAGCACUACAUAUAGGGCAAAUUAGGAAGACAUCAACCUUUCGAGAGAGCAAGUUAUCCGCAGUUGGCAAGACAUUUAUCAAAGCACGCCAAAUAAAGUGUUUAACCUUGCCUGGAACCUCCAGCCUCCAUAAGAACUUCCACACCUUACUAUUGGAACCAUUUGGAGCAGAGUUCAACACAUUAUAACAGCUUCUGACAGUGAACUUGCCUUUUGUAUCAGCAAGCCAAAACCAGCGAUCGUCAUCUUCUCGAGUGCUAAGAGGUACCUGUAGAAUCAAUGCAGCAUCCCUUGUAUUGAAAAUAUCCGCAACUAAGUCGUUAUCCCAUUGCCUUUGACCCGGAACCAUAAGACUAUUUACCAUAGUUGUUGCAAGACUGUCAUCCAGAACAGUAGUGAUGAAUCCAUUAUCCGCAUCGGGAAGCCAAGGGUCCUUAUUGAUUUGAAUCUGUUGUCCACUCCCAAUUUGUAUACGACUGCCCUUCACCACAACAUGCUUGGCAGCCAUGAUUAAUCUCCAAGUGUAGCUAGGGUUGAAACCCACGGUUGCAUCAGUAAAUGAAGACCGAGGAUAGUAUCUAGCCUUAAGUAUCCGAGCUACAAGAGAGUGCAGAUGGGUCAUAAGUUUCCAACAUUGUUUGCCUAACAUAGCAAAAUUAAAGUCAUGAAUCCUUUUAAAAUCAAUACCCCCAACUGACUUUGGUUUACCCAAUAAGUCCCAUCGAAGCCAACGAAUUCCUUGGCCACCCUGCCGAUUUUUUCCCCACCAAAAGGAGUUCAUCAUAAUCUCCAACUCUUUAGAGGUAACAAAUAGAUAUUCAUGGCAUAAUUCAUAAUUGCUUGGGCUACUGUUUUCAGCAUAAUUUCCUUCCCCGCCCUGCUUAGAAGUUUCUGAUUCUAGCCUUGAAUCCGCAACCAAACCCUCUCUUUGAUAAAGCUAAAAACAUCGCUUUUCUUCCUUCCUAUCAGAGAUGGCAGUCCCAAGUAGGUUCCAUGAGUACUUGUAGCAGAGACUUCCAGGAUUCCACACACUUGGCGUAGAGAAGCCUUAUCCACAUUUGCACUGAAAGAGAGCACAGAUUUAUUAUAGUUUACAUGUUGCCCAAAUGCAGCCCCAUAAAUAGCCAGCAGACUCUUCAUAAUGCGAGCUUCAGUGUGAUUAGCUUUAAAAAAUAAGAGGCAAUCAUUCGCAAAGAACAAAUGAGAAACCGCAGGGGUACUCCUAGCCACUUUAACCCCAUGAAUUAACCCUGCCCUUUCACGAUUUCGAAUCAAAGAACUAAGCCCUUCUACACAAAUAAUAAAUAAGUAAGGUGACAGCGGAUCCCCUUGCCGAAGCCCCCGACUCGGAAUUAUCGGCCCCACUUCCACCCCAUUUCUAAUCACUUGAUAGCUUACUGUAGAUACACAUAGCAUAAUGAGCUCAACCCAACCUUUCGCAAAUCCCAUCCGCAACAUCAUAAACUUCAGAAAAUUCCAUUCAACGUGAUCAUAUGCUUUAGACAUGUCGAUCUUAAGUGCCGCAACCCCAACCUUUCCUUGUUUCUUCCGCUUCAGAUAGUGGACAAUUUCGGUGGAGAUAAGGAUGUUGUCAGUGAUCGCUCUGCCCGGAACAAAUGCGCUCUGCGAUUCGGAAAUAAUCGAAUCCAAAACCAGUUUCACUUUGGAUAUGAAUUUUAAAAUCCAAUUAAAGAUGCUUACAACCAACCAUAUAUAUCUAGAUCCUUGCCACUAAAAUAUCCCAAGCGAGCAAGCAAACCCAUUAUUGAAAUUAUAAAUAGCACCCUUAGACACUUUUUAUCUCUUUCAAACUAUACCAACUUCUUGAAAUAAUGGAGAAAACAAGUCAACUUAAAUUGGCUGCUUGCUUUUUAGUUUUUCUGAUAAUUGCUUCUUCUAGUAAAUAUUACUUUUAUCUCCUUUACUCAUAUUUAAAGUUUUAUGAGUUUUCCAUUCCAGCUACUUCUUGCAAAAUUAGUACAAAAAAAAAUGAUACUUCUUGCAAAAAAAAAUUAUAAAAACUUCUAUUUCUUCUUUUAAAUAAUUUACUCAUUCGACAAUUGGAAAGCUCAUAUUCAAUAUUAGUGAGAAGUUUAACUCAUGAAAUGCUUUAAAAGAAUUUGAUUUAGGUUUAUGCAAAGGAGCAGAAGCGAUAAACAUUGGGAAUUGCAAAGAUGACAAAGAUUGCGACCAAUUUUGUACACCUCCCGGUUUUGGUAUAUGCAAGUUUGCGUAUAGUUACUAUCGUGGAGGAAAGUUUUGCUGAGCACAAAUUCUCUCCUAGUCAUCACUAGAAAAAGUGACAAUCAUUUGUAUUUGAUAAUAAUAUUUUGAACAUCAACAUUUAUUAAUAAUGAAUAAUUUGUUUUAUAUAUUUAUGGUUCAUCACUGUUAUUGAGAAUGUAUCGCUUUGAAUAUUAAACCCAACUUCAUAUUAAAAUAUUUCUGGGCUGAUUUUAUCAUUUUACUAUUUUACUUUUGAUUAAGUAAAAUAAGUAAAAUAGUGCAAACAAAAAGAAAAUCCAAAAGACUUCAAAAAAAAAAAUUACAUUUAUAGCAUAUCAUGUUAGAAAAUUAACUUUCGGUAAAAACUAUCACCUAAACUCUAAGGACAUUCAUGUUGUAUCACCAAAUAAUUAACAAACGAAUAUGCAAAAACGUACCUAAAGCAUAAUACUCAAUUGCUUUCUAGAGUCGUGUGGCUUGUCUCCUAGAUCAACCCAAUAUCCUAGAGAACCUCUUAAAUUUCUCUCUGCACUUUCUCUAAUGAUGUGAUGUCAGAAAAGUAUAGAAUGAUACAUGUAACAUGAGGAUCAUAACCACUUAUAUAAAUAACUUUUCCUAUUAUUUUUUAAUAUUUUUAUUUUAGCCCAUUAUAGAAAUAGAAAUUAUCUUAAACACGUUUAUAUUAAAGGCCACACCCUACUAAAUACAUUAAAGUUUAAAUUAUCAAAAAAUUUAACUGAUCAUUGCUGAUUGGACUUAACGGCAAUUCACAUCACAUAAUUAUUUACGUAUACGUGUAACGUUAGAUUACAGAUCUAAUAAUAUUGGAUUAAAGAUCCAACAUAUCAUUCCAAUUGAAACUUAGCAUAGAUAAGCUGAUUGAGUUUAUGAAAUUGUAUAAAUUCAACGAUGACAAGAACGGUAUCUCUUUAAAUUAACUUAUAAUUUCAAUUUGAUUAAUAUGGAAUAACAAGUGGGCCAAAUCAUUUGAAUGAUGUUACGAAAAUCAAUUAACUAUUUUUCUUAAAACGUACAUCAGAUAAGAUAUGUACAAGGUACCACCAAGUUUGUUUUCUAUGAUGUUAAAUUUCAUUUCAUCCUUUAUUUUCAUUUUUAUUUAUAGUUUAUUUGUAAGUUUAUGCGCUUGGGCAGGUGGCCUUCUAAAAUGUAAUUUUAUUUUAUUUAAUAUUAUUUAUUUUUUAAAAAAUAAAUAUAUUAUAAUAAUAAGUCUAUGAUAAUAUUAAAUAAAAUAAAUAAAUAAUAUUAAAAAUAUUAAUGUUAAAUAAAUAUAAUAAGAAGCAUGUGACUAUAUAAUGUUAAAUAAAAUAAAAUAAAAUAAAUAAUAUUAAAAACUUAUUCUUUAAAUAAAAAUAAAUAAUAUUAAUUAAAAAUGAUAUUUAUUUUUUAAGACCCACUACUGAUUAUUUUAUUUUAUUUUAUAUUAUUUAAUUUUUUUAAAGAAUAAAUAUAAUAAUAAUUCUAUCACUAAAUAAAUGAAAAUAAAUAAUAAUAAAUAUUAUUUAUUUUAAUAAAAUAAAUAAUAUUAAAAAUAUAUUCUUUUAAAUAAAUUAAUAAUAUUAAAAUAAUAUUUAUUUUUUAAGAGUCGCUACUAAUUAAACAACAUAAAUUUGAAACAAUUUAGAGAUCUAUCUAUGUUCCACAUUUUUUUGUCUUUAUUUGGCAAAGCCAUUGCAUGCUUUAUUGUUCAAUCCAACGACUGCAAAUAAUUUUUUUUUAAAUCAAACAGCUAUCGGCUUAGGCGGUUGCUUUAUACAGUUAGGUUCUCGCCUUGCUGCCAUCCUGGAGACGUGAGAGUCAAUGGCCACCAGACACAAAAUUCGUGAGCAAUCAAUGGCGCCAGCAGGCACCAAAUUAAUGCCAAGCACGCCAACAACACCAGUUAAUGGCAAGUUCAGUGUUUUAAAGUUAGAAUUUUGACACUACUGGUUUCGCUCGCCGUCAAUUCACCACCAUCACCGAUUUGGUUGAGAAAAAUAGAUGUUUCAGAAUUUGUAAGUUAAAAGUGUAAUUAGUUAACAUUAUAAAAAAAUUGGAAUUCUGGUCCUUUUUAUAUUAAAAUGUAGAAAGUAGUUUAAUCUAUAGAAUUUCAUUAAAAUUAAAUUGAAAAAUAUAUUUAGAGUAUUAUACAAAUUCAAUAAAUUUUCAUAUGAAGUCUACUAACCCGCAAAUUAAUUUAAUUAAAAAAAUAUCCAUUAUUUAGAGAAGCAUUUGCUACCGUAUCCAAGUAUUGAAUCAUCAAAAAUCAAUCUGUUUUGGACUCUUCAAUUCAAUUUGACGACUCCACCAAAGCCACCCAACAACAACUCAAACAAUUGAAUCACUCGUCCUAAUAGCAUAACAAUCCAGUCGUCGCCUGCACGUGAGAGGCCAUUUUCUUAUUCAUGAUUGGAAUUCUUAAAUCAAUUUUACAGUUCUCCUGCACCAAUUUUCAUCUUGUACGGUGCCUCAAGAAGUGAAGAUCGAUGUCGGAAUCACUUCAGCUUCAAUUGGAUGGUGUUUGCGGUCUUAUACCAAUUUCGGUAUACAAUUGUUGUCGAAUCUUAUCUGUAUCAAAGCAACCCCCUAUGCCAUUGACCAAUAGUUGUCUGAUUUAAAAUAUAUAUAUAUAUAUAUAUAUAUAUAUAUUUGCAGCCAUUAGAUUGAACAAUAAAGCAUCCAAUGGCUCGAUCAAAUAAAGAUAAAAAAAAUGUGGUACGGUGCAACUAUUGUAACACAGGUGAAUCCACAAUCUAGACUUAUCUAUUAAAAUUUUAACUCUUUAACUUUUUGAGUUUUCAACAAAUAUUAGGAGUAUAAUGUUAAUAUUCAAAUAGACAAAUCUCUACCAUUGAAACUAUCUUUUUAUUAAAAAUCCAAUGAUGAAGGAUUGAAAUCACAUAAAAACAAAAUUGGUGGUAUCGUUCAAUUGUUGCAAGGGAGAUGAGUCCAUAAGAUAUAACGAAGAUAAUGACGAAAGAAGAAAUAUUUUGAGAGGAAAAAUAAGAGUAAAUCAUAGGGAUAAGGAUGAUAAAAUUCUCCAUGAAUUUGGAGUUCUUAUGUAGUCUCAUCCAAAUGAGAUGAAUUUUAAAUAAUUUUUGGGGAAUGAGGUGAAGAAUGAGAGAAAAAUAAUCCUCAAUUUUUUAAUGAGCUGGGAUUUAGUUUCGUAAUCUCAACUAUACCCCCCAAUCCCUAUUAUAUGUAAAUAUUCUUUUAAUUUUUAUUUAGUAAUUUUUGUUUUAUUAAUUACAAUGUUGAUUAAUAAAUUUUUUUUAUAUUUUUACCAAAUAUAAAUAAGUUAUAAUUAAAAGAAAACCCUACAAUAUAAUUCUUACUUAGCCCUAAAAUAUUGUUAUUUUUUUCUUUUUUCUAUUAAGGUGCCAUUCGCUUCAAACAAAUCAAGCCUCAUUCAUCAAGAAUUUUCAGCAAAGUUUAACAUGUUAGAAAUAUUCUAAUAUAGACUACCAGCAUAAUUGUAGCUUGAUCUUGACAUACAAAAGUAUAUGCAAUAUAUUCGUCUUUUUUUUUCCUCCUCAUAUGUUAGUUUGUUUAUAUGAUUAGGUUCUAGUUAUGGUUCUUUUACAAGAAAAUAGAUGCGACUCAUUUUAUAAAGAUAUAUGAGGUAAAGUUUUAUUUGAACGAGUUUUAUCAUCUUAUUUGUUACAAAUGUUUAGAAAUGACAUACAACAAAACAUUUCUUUAAACAAAUUUACAUUCAAAAUCUCUCCUAUGCUUGCACUGUGUUGUGUUGUGCCACAUUCUGCCCAGCCCAUUAUAGCCCCAUUUUGCAAGCCUUAUUUUCUGUAAUAGGAAAUCAGACAAGUAGAGCCGGAACUAUGCAUUUAAAAAUAAUGAAUCUCAAACUUCUAAAGAAUUUAUUAAGACCAUCCUUCUCAUCAAAAUUGGAAACAACUUUGGCCUAUUUUCUUUCUUUCUUUUGCAAAGUAAUAAAAAUUGUUAUGGAUUGGAGACAGCGAAAAACUACCCAAAAAAAAAAGAUUGGAAAAUGGGUGGAUUAAUUGAAGUGGAUGGAAAUGAUGAUAAUGAAGAGAGCUAUUUAAGGAGUUUUGACUUUUGAAGAUGAGGGCAUGUGAUCCUCUAAAGUGAAAUUUAAAUAUUCACAUGAUUCAUUUUCCUAACAGAUAAAAUGUUUCAAGAGAAUUGAAUUAUUACAAAUUUACAAUUUGAUUCAAGCAUAAUUGUCACUUUAACUUGAUUGAGAAAUAUAGUCCUACGAAGUUUGAUAAUAAUUAAAUUGAUAGAUUGAAUUGAUUUGCAAGUAAGAAAAAGAAAACUAGCCUAACUGAUUGUUGACCAAGUUUGAGUAAUGGCUCAUUGAUCACUUCGACUAGGAGAUAGGUCAUCGCCAUCCAUCUCCAAAUGAAAGAAAACCAAAAUUCGAUAAAUUCAAUUUAACAUAAUUUGAAGGUAAAUAUUAUUAUUCUAAUUAAUGUUGAUCACAUCUAAUUGCCCAUGCCAAAAUUGGAACACCAUAACCAAUUGCUUCUACAGGCCAACAAGUGGUAUCAGAAAAUCUCUUGCAUGUUAGAGUAUCUGAUGAUGCUGAUGAUAUUGUACAGUGAUGAUGAGUUGAUGAUGCUAUGUAAUGGUGCUGAUGUGGUAUUAUGCAAAGUUCAACAGAGUACGAUAGAAGAACAUGAUAAAGAUGGUGGUUUAGCAUGUGGCUUAAUAUACCAGCUGAAGAAUUAGUUAUGAUGACUUGGCAAGGUUGUUGUAACAGUUUUAGUAACAGAUUAUGUAUUCUUUAACAAUACAUGAAGAUUCCAGAAUAAUCUAGCUAUUAGAUUCUUGUAAUAAAUUUGUAAUAUAAAUAGUGUGAUCUGUACACAGUAUGAUUACAAUGCCUUGAUUAAAUAAAUACAUUUUCCUUUCACUUUCCAUUUCAUUUUCCUUAUAACCAAACACCAAAUUAGUUGUAUUCAAUCAUGGUAUCAGAGCCUUCAGCACUUUCUAAUCAAACAAAGACUUCGUAUAACUUUGUGACACCUGUGAAACUAGAUCAAAAACAACUUUAUCAUCUAGGGAACUCAAGUGUUAACUUCGAUUAAAGGCAAUGGCCUAGAGGGAUUCAUCACUGGAGAAAAUAAGUGUCUAGAUCCGUAUCUUGUUCAAGGUGAAAGUGUUGCUAGCUCCUCUAAUACUAGAUCUGGAUCAAGAAUUGAGAAUCCUACUUUUUCAACCUGGAUAAGAAAAAAUCAGCUUAUUCUCAGCUUUGCUUUCCUGCUCAAGUCUCAAUCCACCCGUCUCUCUCUUUGCUCAUUUACCUAGUUCUGAUAUGUCAAGUUGUUCUGAUGUUGUUAGUCAUAUGUCCCAUUUGAAUAAACGUAUUUGUAUUGCAGCUGCUUUGACAGUCUCAUCAAUGUCAGUAAGCAUAAAUUUACUUUACAAAAGGCUUGGUCAUCCAGCCAUUUAUACACUAAAGAGUGUUUUGAAAACAUGUAAUCCUUUUGCUGAUAUCAAUAAAGUCCAUAAACUCAAUUUUUUUCAAUGCCUAUCAGUAUGGUAAAAAUCAUCUCAAAUACUUUAGUUCUGUUGAAUCCAAAACCAGUGAACCAUUACAACUUCUGUAUGGAGACCUUGGGGACCAUCAUCUACUUCAUCCAUCCAAGGAUACAACUAUUAUCUGUCCAUUUUAGAUGAUUAUAGCAUAUUCACUUGGAUUUUUCCUUUAACAACAAAAUCUUAUGCUCUUCCUGUUUUUACCACUUUCAAAACAUUUAUAGAACAACAUUUGAAUAGGAAGAUCAAAACAGUUCAAACAGGCUGGGGAGGGGAGUUCAGGUCCUUUUCUUCUCUUAUUCUAUCUUCAGGCAUACACUUUAGGCAUCCAUGUCCUCACAUUCAUCAUCAAAAUGGUAGAAUUAAAAGGAAGCAUAUGCAUAUAGUUGAUGUUGGCGUUACAUUGUCAGCUCAAGCUAAACUUUUCUUAAUUUUUUGGUGGAAUUCCUUUUAGACUUUUUCAUCAACAACCUGACUAUAAUAGUUAAAGAGUGUUUGGUUGUUCCUAUUUUCCCUAUCUUAGACCAUACGACAAACAUAAACUUGAAUUCAGAACAGAGAGGUGUGUUUUUAUUGGCUACAGGCCACAUCACAAGGUCUAUCAAUGUUUACAUUCAUCAGGAAAGGUGUAUAUCUCAAAUCAUGUUGUGUUUGAUGAAAAUUCUUUUCCUUAUCAGCUUGGUGUUGAUUUUUCUUCUAUUCAAGAGUCUUGUUCUUCUCAGUCCACUUCAUCUUCUCACUCAGCUACAGAAACUUCAUCUUCUAUGAUGCAAGCCUUCUUAGCACCUUCUUCAACAAGUAAUCUCUUAGCCUCCUCUUCAUCACAGGUAUCACAUUCACUUUCUCUUGUUGAUUUACCAGUAGUUUCAUUUUCUAAUCAAUCUGAACACUCAUCUCCAACAAAUAAUACUUCAUUAAAUAAUGCUCUUCCUAGAUCACCCACUUUGCCACACAAUCUUCCUUUGCCUCAACCACUUGGACACCCCAUGAUUACCAGAUGAAAGGCUGGUAUCUUUAAACCAAAAAUAUAUUUAGCAGCAUUGCUUUCUACUCCCAUAGAACCAACCUCUGUUAGUUAAGCCUUAUCAGAUCCAAAGUGGUUUAAAGUAAUGAAGGGAGAAUAUGAAUCCUUGCAAGCUAACAAGACUUGGAUUCUAGCUAAGCUUUUUUUUCCUGUCAAAGUUAUAGGUAACAAGUGGGUAUUUUGAAUUAAGUACAAUCUCGAUGGCUCUAUUUCUAGAUAUAAGGCUCGAUUUGUAGCAAAAGGUUUCUCUCAAACUCAAGGGGCAGAUUAUAAUGAAACUUUCAUCCCAGUUGUUAAAGCUUCCACUGUGAGGAUUGUUCUUAGCCUAGCUGUGAUGAACAGAUGAAUUAUUAGACAAGUGGAUGUCAAUAAUGCAUUUCUAAAUGCCUUUCUUGAAGAAGGUGUGUAUAUGAAUAAGCCUGAAGGAUUUAUUGAUUCUUCUAAAGCACAUUAUGUCUACAAGCUCACCAAAGCUCUCUAUGGCCUGAAAUAAGCACUAAGGGCUUGGUUUGAUAGAUUUAAAACAGCAAUGAUUCAUCAAUGGCAUUUCAUUAACAGCAAGUCAAAUUCCUCUCUGUUAUAUAAGUGGCAUGGUGGUCAUGUUUUGCUGGUUUUGGUUUAUGUAGAUGACAUAAUCAGUACUGGUUCUAAUUCAGAUAUGAUCCUUCAAGUUAUUUCUAAUAUGCAAGCUACAUUUGCUCUAAAGGACUUGUGAGAGCUCAACUAUUUUUUAGGCAUCUAGGUUACAAAAAACAGAAAAAGGUAUCAGCUUAUCUCAAGCCAAAUAUAUUGCAGACCUAUUAGCUAAGCAUCAUAUGGAUAAAUGUAGCCCUUGUUCAACACCUUUGUCUACCUGUUCCAAGCUUAUCAAAAAUUCAGGUGCUACCAUUGACAACAAAUUGAUAUUGCAUUUUCAGUCAACAAAUUGAGUCAGUUUCUUUCUAAUCCCUUUGAUGAUCAUUGGCAAGCUUGCAAGUGUUUAUUAAGCUAUCUCAAGGGCACCAUUCAUUUUGGUUUUAGAGUUUUAUCACAGUGGUGAUUUACAGCUUAAUUAUUUUACUGAUGCAGAUUGGCUUGUGAUAAAGAUGAUAGGAAAUCUGUUGCUGGGUAUGCUGUAUUUCUAGGUUCAAAUUUAGUCUCCUGGUCAUCUAAAAAAGUAGCAUGCAGUUUCUCGUUCCAGAACAGAAUCUGAGUAUAGAGCAUUGGCAUCAGCUACCUCGUAAGUGUUAUGGAUUCAGGCUUUACUCGCAUAGUUGAAGCUCAAAUCAGUAGUUAUGCCUCUUAUGUGGUGUGAUAAUCAAGGGGCCAUAGCUCUUGCUAAUAACCUAAUGUAUCAUGCCAAGACUAAGCAUGUUGAAUUGGAUAUUCAUUUUCUUAGAGAGGAGGUGUCAGCUAAGCAACUUGAUAUAUGUUAUAUUCCUAGUGUUGAUCGAACUGCAAACAUUUUCACUAAAGCUCUUCCUUAUAGUCAUUUUCAUUAUCUUAGAUGCAAAUUUAAUGUUCUUCCUGGAACAUUUUGCUUGAGGGGGGAUGUUAGAGUAUCUGAUGAUGCUAAUGAUAUUGUACGAUGAUGAUGAACUGAUGAUGCUAUGUAGUGGUGAUGAUGUGGUAUUAUGCAGAGUUCAUAGAGUAUGAUAGAAGAAGGACUUGUUUGGUUGUUGUAUUAAAGCCCCUCAUUGUAUUAAUUUUAAAACAAGUCCGUGUUUGGCAAAACAAAUGUUACAGUAACACCACAUUUUUCUUUUUUUUUCUCCCUUUUUGCUUUUUGUUUUUGCAACUUGACUUUUGUUUUGCUUUUUGACUUUUGACUUUUGUUUUAUAAUAAUAAUAAUAACUUUUAAUUUAAUAUAAUAUUAUAUAAAAAAAUUUAUUUUUACAUUAUAAUUAUUAAUAUAAAUUAAUAAAUAUGUAAUUUAUUAUUUAAUAUUAUUAUAUUAUAUUUUUAUUUUACAUUAUAAUUUAUUAAUAAAUUUAUUUAUUAUAACUAAUAAUAAAUAGUUAAAUAUGAAUAAAUUUAAAUAAUAUUACUUUAAAAUUAAUAAUAAUAUAAAACAUUAAUAUAAUUUAAAUAUAUUAAUAUAAUAUAACAUAUCAAUAUAAUAUAGUAUUAUAUUUAAUUUAAAUUAAUUACAAAAAAAUUAUUAAAAUACAGUGUAGUACCAAACAUUGUAUAGUAUUAUUAUAAUACAGUGCUAAUGCAAUACAACAUAAUACAAUACACCAGCAUUAAAAUAAUACAAUAUAGUAUAAUACAAUACAAUGUGUCAAACGCACCCGAAGAUUCCAGAAUAAUCUAGCUAUUAGAUUCUUGUAUUAAAUUUGUAAUAUAAAUAGUGUGAUCUGUACACAUUAUGAUUACGAUGGCUUGAUUAAAUAAAAUACACUUUUCUUUCACUUUCCAUUUCAUUUUCCUUAUAACAACACCAAAUUAGAUGUAUUCAAUCAUUGCCAAAACUACACAGUAUACAUUGCCUUAUAUGUGCCAACAUUAUUGUUUUUCAUUAUCUGUAAAAUGAAAUAGAAAAUCCUUUGGGUAUAACUUUCAAAAGCCAAUUAAAGACGCUUACAACCAACCUUAGAUAUCACCUUUAGGCACUAAAAUUUCCGAGCGAGCAAGCAAAUCCAUUAUUGAAAUUAUAAAUACCACCCUUAGGCACUUGUAUCUCUUUCAUACUACACCAACUUCUUGAAAUAAUGGAGAAAACAAGUCAACUUAAAUUGGCUGCUUGCUUUGUUGUUCUUAUGUUAAUUGCUUCUUCUGGUAAAUAUUCCAUGCCUUUAUCUCCUUACUUAUUUUUAGAGUUUUAUGAGUUUUCCAUUCCAAAUACUUCUUGCAAAAAAUAUAUCUAUAUAAAAUUUUUAUUUCUUCUUCUAAAUAAUUUAUUCAUUCGACAUUUGGAAAGCAGUUGUUUAAUUCACGAAAUGCAUUAAAAGAAUUUGAUUUAGGUUUAAUUAUGUUAAGGAGCAUAAGCGAUAAAUAUUGGGGAUUGCAAAGAUGACAAAGAUUGCGACCAAUUUUGUAGUCCUCCUGGUUCUGGUGUAUGCAUGUUUGCAUUUUGUUACAAUCGUGGAGGAAUGCUUUGCGGAAAAAAUUUCUCUCCUGGUCAUCACUAGAAAAAGUGACGAUAAUUUAUAUUUGAUCAUAAUAUGUUGAACAUCGACAUUUAUUAAUAAUGAAUAAUUUGUUUUAUAUAUUUAUGGUUCAUCACGGAGAGGAUAUAUCUCUUUGAAUAUUAAACCCAGAUUCAUGUUAAAAUAUUUCUGGGCUAAUUUUACCAUUUUACUUUCUGAUUAAGUAAAAUAGUUCGAGAAAAAAGAAAGUCCAAAAGAAUUAAAAAAAACACGUAUAGCAUGCAUAACGAUCCAAUUAAAACUUAACAUAGAUAAACUUAUUGAGGUUUUGAAAAUUUGUAUAAAUUCAUCGACAAUAACGGUAUCUCUUUAAACAACUUCUAAUUUUAAUUUGAUUAAUAUGGAAUAACAAGUGGGGCCGAAUCAUUUGAAUGAUGUUAAGAAAAUCAAUUAACUAUUUCUCUUAAAACAUAACAUAGAUAAGAUAUAAUGAAGAUGAUGACGAAAGAAGAAAUAUUUUGAGAGGAAAAAUAAGAAUAAAUCAUAAAGAUGGUAAAAAUACUCCAUAGAUUUGAGGCUCCUUGAGUCUCAUCAUGUAUUUUAAUUAAUUUUUAGGGAAUAUAGUGGGGAAAUGGGGGAAAAAUAAUCCCCAAAUUUUUAUUAGGGAGAGGUCUAGUUUUGUGCUUCUCACUCCACCCCUGCCCUAAUCUCCAUUAUUUGUAAAUAUUUUUUUAUUAAACAAUUUUUGUUUUAAUAAUUAUAAUAUUGAUUAACAAAUUUUGUUUUCAUUUUUAUCUAAUGAAAAUAAGUUGUAAUUAAAAGAAAACCCUACAAUAUAAUUCUUACAAUGUUAUUUUUCAGGUAAAAGCUCAUUUAGGCUCGUUUGAGAUUGAGGUUGAAAUUCAUAAGCUACUUAUUUCGUAAUUUUUGACAAAAAAAAUAGUGUUUAGUAAAUUUGUAAAAUCUACUUAUUUCAUAAUUUUAUCCAUUUUGACCGCAGCUUUUUAAAAGUAGAUAGAAGGUUUGCUUUUUUCAUAAGCAGCUUGUUCAAUAACUCACUACUCCUUUUUAAAUUCCUAUUACAAGCUUAAUAUUUUAAUAAAAAGUAAUUGUGUCCUAUUUUCCUUACACCUAAUAUAUAAGUCAUUAGAUAUCACAUUACCAGCAUAAUCAAAUUACCCUUACAUUAUAAAGCUUUGAUCCAGUAAAUUUAUAUCUUUCAUAUUUUAUUUUUAUUUUCUAUUAUAAGAUUUAAUAAAACUUGCAUAUGAUUACGUAAAUUUCCUUUGAACUAUGAACAAUUUCACAUGAAUUUAACCAUGACUUUUAAAAUUAAUUUCCUAACUAUUGAUUUUAAUAUUUAAUCAAAUAUAUUUUUUCUAUAUACAAGAUGUUUAUUGCAAUAAGUUUAAUAUGAAUGUAAUGCAUAUUAAUUUUUUUUUUUAUUUGAAUUAUGUAUUAGUAUGAAUUUUAUCAUACUUUAUGUAACAAAUUAUUGAAGUUUAUUAAAUUUUUAUAUAAUNNNNNUUAAUUAAUUAANNNNNUUUAUAAAGGAGAAAACUGUCAUUUUACGUUUCAAGUCUUACUAACAACCCUUACUUUUAUGUAUUUAACCUUCUUGUAAUGUAAUUACGUGUGUGUUAUUUUAAUUAAGUAUUUUAUGUAUUUUAGGGUAUUAUAGUCAUUUCACAAUAAAGGAGAGAUCAGACAGCAAAACGGACAUCACUUUUGAACUCAGGACGGUCGAAAACCUUAGGAGGAGCAUAAAAGGAAAAAUGGCACUAUUCACAUGUACGGUAUUAUUCACGUAUACGAUACUGUCUACGUUACGUUCACGACACUGUUCACAUAGACGGAUCGAUGACGUGGCAUUGACCGAUGAUGUGGCAUUGACUGAUGAGGUGUCACGAUCCUGUUGGACUAAAAUUCUUAUGUACUGUUGAUGGUGACGUGGCAGCAUAUCAGUGGACGAAAAAUCUCGCGUACGGUGCAUGCAUCACACAGGAUUAUUUUCAACCAAACCGCGUUACUGUUAAUCCGGGUCAAACCGUAUGUCAUCCGCGUGAUCAAACCGUGGACUGUUGACUGAUGACGUGGCGUAAUCCUGAGCGUCCAAACUGUUUUUAAUCCGAUGGCCAUGAUUUACUCCAUGUAUCUAUAAAAAGGGGGCCUCCCCCCUAAUUUGAUAUCUCUGAAUCCAUUUUUAGGAUCCAUUUUCUGUAAUUCCUUCUCCAUCUUGUAUUUUCUUCGUAUUUUAAUAAAUUCCCAUUUUGCCCCUAAUUCAAUUAUGUGUAGCUAAUUUCCUUUCAAGCUUGGGUUGAAGGUGAAGUCUCAACAUGUGUCAUGGGCUUUAUUUGGUAAAUUUAUUUUCUUUUCCCCUCUAGUUUUUGUGGAUGAUUUGACUUAUCGUCGACAAAUAAUACUGAUCUUGUCUAGAUACCGCCUUGGUUACACCGGCUCUCUAGUAUAAGGUUAUUAUUAUUUGGCACGAUAAGCCCUUAGCACCAUAUUGAUUAGAGCGUGGUUCAUGAGGUGUGGAUUCCCCCCUCAUGAUUUAAUUGGCAUUAAUAAGGAUUAUUUAGCCCAUGAUGCAUGUUGAUACGGAUCCAGAUACCCAAGUACGUCAAUUUAAUCGAUUUUCUCUACAAUUUAUUCUCGCCAUUGCAAUUCCAAUUUUAGCAUAUUUUAAAUCACUUCCACCACAAUUCCAACCACCCAUUUACAAAAUUAAUUCUAUAUAUAAUUAAAAUCCACCUCCUCGUGGGAUCGACACUCGUCACCAUUGAUCUACACUACAAUAGAUUCGUGCGCUUGCGAGUACAUUAAAAUUUGCACAACAAGUUUUUAGCGCCGUUGCCGGGGAGGUAAGUAAUUUUAAUUCAUAGAAUUAAUUUUUGUGAAUAAUUUAUUUUAAAUUGUUUUCUUGUAUUUUUUUAAAAAAAAAAAGUGAAUCCGCAUUUAGAGGUUAGUAUUUCUUUUCUUUUCUCUUCUUUAAAAUUCUGUAAUUUAAUUUUCAAUUUAUUUUUUUCUUUGUAAUUUUUGUUUAUUUUAUUAAUUUAAUUUUUAGUUAAUUUAUUUCACGUAUUUGUUUUUGUGUAUUUUUAUAGAAAGUUGUAAUAGCGCAAUAAGGUUAGUAUCGUAAUUUCUCCCUCUUCUUUAUUUUUAUUUUUAUUUGUUUUGUUCCCAUUUUUUAUUAUUUGUUUUGCAUGCAUGGUCGUAGGUCAUUAUUACCUAAUCUUGAACCUAUAGACCUUGAAUUAGAAAAAACACUUCGCACACAAAAGCACAUUAAUAAAUUUGGAAUGGAUUUACAAGCACCACAGGAGAGGCCAUUUAAGGACUAUUUUAGUCCCUUAGCUAAUUUAAGCACAUCAUGCAUAAGAUAUCCAAAUGUAGCUGCUAGGAGUUUUGAAUUAAAACCUAGUGUGCUAAAUUGUCUCCCCACAUUCUAUGGCCUAGAAAAUGAGGACCCAUAUAAUCAUCUGAAUGAUUUUCAUGCCAUUUGUCAAACUUUUAAAUAUGAAAAUUUUUCAGACGAUGAUGUUAAACUAAGAUUAUUCCCAUUUUCUUUAAAGGAUAGAGCUCGUUCAUGGUUAAAUACUUUGCCUGCUAAUAGCAUUGCAUCAUGGGAACAAAUGGUUACAAAAAUUUCUAAAUAAAUAUUUCCCAGUGCAUAAAACCAAUUCUAUUCGCAGGGAAAUUUCAGAGUUUACUCAGAGAGAGGACGAGCAGUUUUUCGAAACAUGGGAGCGAUUCAAUGGGCUAACUCUUGAAGUGUCCACAUCAUGGGUACGAGAAAUGGCACCAAUGCCAAUACUUUUUUGGAGGGAUUAUUGGCCGAAUGUGCAAGAAUGGCUAAUGGCAAACAAGUGGAGGAGAGCUAAUGUCAAAAAGUGCAUCAGAGAUUUGGGAAUUCUUCCAGCGACAAGCGGAUAAUUCCCAACAACGGAGUCGAUCACUCAGGAAUACUAGAAGAAUUAAGGGAGUAAAUGAGGUUCAAAUUGGCGAGUCAAGUUCAGAAAUUAAUGAAGUCAAAGCGAUAAUUGAAGGUCUCUCUCGACAAAUAGCAUCGUUAUCGACUGCUAAAUCAACAGAGCCACAUGACCAUGACUCAUACUCAGAUUCAAGCCAAUGCCAUAGGUGUAAUGAGAAAGCCAUCUAAUUACAACCCAUACUCCAGCACAUAUAACCCUGGAUGGAGAGACCACCCCAAUUUUUCAUGGUCUCAAGGAUUCCAACAGAAUGGACCAGCAGCUCCAGCUCCACCAAUGCAACAAAUUCCUCAAAAUCCUCAAGCCUCUCAGCCCCCAUUUAGACCAUUCAAUCAAAACCAAAACUAUUCUCAACCCAGACCAUGGGAGGAUGCAUUCCAGAAUUUCAGGAAUGUUACUCACUCCAACGAUUGAGCAACAGAACCGCACCAAUUGAUGGACUACGAAAUGAGUUGAGAGCGGGCUUUCAACUCAACAAGCCCAAUCAGUUUCAAGCCUCGAGAAGAUGGUGGGACAACUUGCUUCUUCAGUUCAGACCUUGGCAAUGACUGUUGAGAAAGGAAAAUUUCCAAGUCAACCAGUGCCUAAUCCUAAAGGGGUACAUGAAGCAAGUACCAGUUCACCACAGCAGCAUGGAGAGGUCAAAGCAGUCAUGACCUUGCGAAAAGGAAAAGAAGUCGACAACAAAGUGGAGAUGCCGGUGACAAAAGAAAAUCAAAUGUACCUGUGAAUGUUGAAGACUCACCACCGGAGGAAAAAGAAGAAACCAACCCACGAGAAUACGUUCCCAAAGCUCCAUUUCCUCAGAGGUUAGCGAAAGGAAAGAAGGGAAAAAUCCACAGGUGAGAUUCUCGAAAUCUUCAAACAGGUAAGUGUCAACAUCCCUUUACUUGAUGCUAUUAAACAAGUUCCAUCUUAUGCCAAGUUUCUUAAAGACCUUUGUACUAAAAAAGAGAAAUAUGCAUGUUCAAAAAGAAGGCAUUUUUAACAGAAAACGUUAGUUCUAUACUCCAACAUAAAAUUCCUUUAAAAUGCAAAGACCCAGGCUCCCCCACUAUCUCAUGUAGUAUAGGGAACCACACAAUUGAGAAUGCUUUGUUGGAUUUAGGAGAUAGUGUAAAUCUGUUGCCUUUUUAGUAUUCGUGAAACUUGGACUGGGAGAAUUACACCCAACUCCAGUGGUGUUACAGCUUGCAGAUCGGUCCACGAAAAUACCUCGCGGUAUUGUGGAGGACGUGCUUAUCCAGGUAGACAAGUUUUAUUUUCCUGUUGAUUUCAUUGUAAUUGACACUCAACCAAUACAGGAUUCAAGGAAGCACAUCCCCAUUAUUCUAGGCCGACCUUUCUUGGCAACUGCGGAUGCUCAUAUUCAAUGUAGGACCGGAAAUAUGCAAUUGUCAUUCGGCAACAUGACUAUGGAGCUAAAUAUUUUCAACAUUGCCAAACAACCUCACAGUGCAUAUGAUGGAAUUGUUGAUGUGGAUUUAAUAGAAACAAUAGUUGAUAAUACUUUUCUUUCAAACCUUAGUGAUGAUCCUUUACAAACAUGUUUAACUCACUUUGGUUUGGAUUUUGAUAUUGACAGAUCGGUUGAUGAGGUCAACGCUCUACUUGACUCAGCACCAUCCAUGGACACUAAUAAAUGGAAGUCAAGAGUUGAACAACUAGCACCAUCAGAAAAGAAACUCAUCCCAUCAUCAGAAUCACCACCAAAACUCGAGCUCAAACCAUUACCCAACACUUUGGAAUAUGCGUUUUUGGGAGAAGAAAGUACUCUAACCGGUAAUCAUUUCAUCAUCCCUCAAUGACGAACAAAAAGGUAAGUUGUUGGAUGUUUUAAAAGAGCACAAAGGAGCAUUAGGAUGGACCAUAACGGACAUAAAAGGUAUUAACCCAGUAGACUGCAUGCAUUACAUUCACCUUGAUGAAAAUGCUAAAUCUACUAGGGAAAUGCAACGUCGGUUAAAUCCUAAUAUGAAAGAAGUUGUUAAAACUGAAGUCCUUAAACUAUUAGACGCAGGUAUCAUUUACCCAAUUUUUGAUAGUUCAUGGGUCAGUCCUGUACAAGUUGUCCCCAAAAAGUCAGGAGUCACAGUAGUUACCAAUGCUGAUAAUGAAUUGAUACCAACUAGAGUAACUACAAGAUGGCGUGUAUGCAUUGAUUAUAGAAAGUUGAAUUCUGUCACACGUAAAGACCAUUUUCCUUUACCAUUUAUUGAUCAAAUGCUUGAUAGAUUAGCAGGCCAUGAAUUUAUUGCUUUCUAGAUGGCUACUCAGGAUAUAAUCAGAUUCCCAUAGCACCAAAAGAUCAGGAGAAAACUACUUUCACUUGCCCUUUUGGCACUUUUGCAUAUAGGAGAAUGCCAUUUAGAUUAUGUAAUGCACCUGCUACAUUCCAACGAUGCAUGUUGAGCAUUUUUUCUGAUAUGGUUGAACGAUUCCUUGAAGUCUUUAUGGAUGAUUUUUCUGUCUUUGGUGACUCGUUUGAUCAAUGUUUACAUCAUCUAACGCUAGUUCUGCAGAGAUGUAUCGAGAAGAACUUAAUCUUAAAUUGGGAGAAGUGCCAUUUUAUGGUAAAACAAGGUAUUGUUCUCGGUCACAUCAUUUCGAGCAAAGGUAUUGAGGUUGACAAAGCCAAGGUGGAUCUCAUUUCUAAUCUUCCUCCACCUAAAACAGUCAGAGAAGUAAGAUCUUUCCUUGGACAUGCUGGUUUCUAUAGACAUUUCAUUAAAGAUUUUAGCAAAGUUUCUAGACCCUUAUGCAAUUUACUUGCUAAGGAUGUACCUUUUAUCUUUAAUGAUUCAUGUCUUAUGGCUUUUGAAAAAUUAAAGCAAUUGUUGACAUCAUCACCCAUCAUUCAGGCCCCAAACUGGAGCUUACCAUUUGAGCUUAUGUGUGAUGCAUCUGAUUAUGCAGUAGGAGCAGUUUUAGGACAAAGAGUUGAUCGAAUUCCUCAUGUUAUUUACUAUGCUAGUAUGACAUUGAAUGAUGCACAGUUGAACUAUUCAACUACUGAAAAAGAAAUGCUAGCAGUAGUGUUUGCAUUGGAAAAAUUUCGAUCUUAUCUCAUUGGUUGUAAAAUAAUUAUAUUCACAGAUCAUGCUGCUCUUAAAUAUCUUCUCACAAAGAAAGAUGCAAAAAGCUAGACUAAUUUGUUGGGUGUUACUUUUGCAGGAAUUUGACUUGGAAUUUAAAGAUAAGAAAGGCACAGAAAAUGUUGUGGCGGACCAUCUCUCUCGUCUCCAUUUUUGACACAAUUACAGAGCCAUUACCAUUAAAUGAGUCAUUCCCAGAUGAACAAUUAAUGAGUGUGGAAGUAUUACCUUGGUAUGCUGAUAUAGUUAAUUAUCUUGUUACAGGUAAAUUUCCAGAGCAUUUGGACCAAGCAAGACAAGGCUAAAUUCUUUGCGGAAAUAAAGAAUUUCUUUUGGGAUGACCCAUAUUUGUUCAAGUAUUGUGCAGACAAAUUGUUAGACGAUGUGUCCCUGAAAGUGAAAUUCAGAAUAUCCUUUCAUUCUGCAUGAACAAGCUUGUGGAGGCCAUUUCAGUGCUAAGAAAACAGCGACUAAAGUUUUACAAUGUGGUUUUUAUUGGCCAACUAUAUUUCGAGAUGCUUACACUUUCUGUUCUUCAUGUGAUAGGUGUCAACGAAUGGGGAGCAUUACACGAAGAAACAUGAUGCCACUAAAUCCAAUUUUAGUGGUUGAGAUUUUUGACGUAUGGGGUAUCGACUUCAUGGGACCCUUUCCCCCUUCUUUUGGCCAUCAAUACAUAUUGGUUGGUGUUGACUACGUAUCGAAAUGGGUGGAAGCAAUUCCAUGCAGAACCAAUGAUCACAAAGUGGUGAUAGGAUUUUUGAAAAGCAAUAUUGUUUCGCGCUUUGGAUUCCCUCGAGCGAUAAUCAGUGAUAGUGGUGCCCACUUUUGUAACAAAGCAUUCAAAGCUCUUUUGACAAAGUAUUCAAUCACACACAAAAGUGGCGACCCCGUAUCAUCCGCAAACCAGUGGCCAAGUUGAGAUCUCCAAUCGAGAAAUCAAGCACAUAUUAGAAAAGACGGUGAGGCCAGAUAGGAAAGAUUGGUCAUUAGAACUUGAUGAUACAUUAUGGGCAUAUAGAACGGCUUUCCAAGACCCCGAUUGGGAUGUCACCCUAUAGGCUAGUGUAUGGAAAAGCUUGCCACCUACCUGUGGAACUAGAGCAUCGUGCAUAUUGGGCCAUCAAGAAAAUUCAAUUUUGACAUGCAGCAAGCCAGCUCAGAAAGAAGAUUACAGCUGGCAGAACUUGAAGAAAUUCGCAAUGAUGCAUACGAAAAUGCCAAGAUUUACAAGCAACGAAUGAAAGUCUUCCAUGAUAAGCAAAAUUAUGAGAAAAUCGUUCACUCUAGGUCAGAAAGUGCUUUUAUUCAAUUCUCGCUUGCACCUAUUCCCAGGUAAGUUACGCUCUCGAUGGUCUGGUCCCUUUAUGUUAAUACUCUUUUUCCACAUGGGGCAAUUGAAAUUAAGGACCCAAAGAACGGUGUCACGUUUAAAGUUAAUGGUCAAAGAUUAAAGCCAUAUCUUGAGUACCAACCACAUGGAGAAGACACCGAAAUAAAUUUGAGUGACCCACCAGAAUUUGAAUUGAUUUUUUUCUUUUUGUUGAUUUGAUUUUUUUCUUUCUUUUAUUAUUCUUUUGCUAAUUGAAAUUAAUUUUUGCAUAAGUGUGUUUGUUUUACCAUUAAGUUUUUUUUUCUUAUCAUUGUUAAUCAUGAGUACCAUACUUAGACCGUUCCUCCUGAACAUUCUUAAACCACUUCAACGUGUCAAAACUCAUCUCAAAAAGCAGAUUCAAUUUUGUAAAACACAACGCAUUUGGGCUCUACAACCACCAGAGUUAGUAGCCUAUGUUGAGGGUUUAGAACGCCAACUCAGAGACAUUGAGAGAAGUGUUUACGACAUCCAGUUGGAGCUUGAAGUUUGUUUACCCCGGUGAAGUGGCGGAUAACGGUACUCCGUGACAAUCAAGUCGGUUACUUCAGUUUCCCAUAAUAACUGACAUUCUGAGGUGAAAGUAUGGACAUAAACGAGAUUCUAGCGAAGCUUCACAAGCGAUUCCCUUCACUUCCUCAGAAUGCCCUCUUACGAUCUAUAAAGCUCGGUCCGAACGCAUGCGAUUACUCAUGAAGAAUAACAUACCUGCUGACAUCCGUUGGUUAAUCGAGGCUAAAGUACGAUCAGCAGGUGAUUACCUCCAAAAUUUAUUGCAUUCAUGCCUGGUUGUGGUAAAGGAAAUUAUGCAAAAAAACGACGAGCUCGAAGAAUUUCUGUUGCUUGUCAUAAGUGUGCCAGAAUGAGUUGCGAUAGAAACCCAUGUUCUUUAGGAAUGGUGUCUGAUAACAGGGAAGAUAAGAUUCAAUUCAUUAAGGAUGGCUUGAAUAAGGAGUCAUUGGAUGAUACCCUUUUGUCUCUUGAAACGCAUCCUAGUGGAUAUGUGCAAGGAGCGAUUUUCCAGUUAUGGCCAUUAUUCAGAAAGAGCAUGCACGAUAUAGUCUCGGGAAUCUGACUAUAAACGACCCUGUUUGUCAGUUUAUAAGAAAACUAGAUGGGAAGCCGAUCCUCGACCCAUAGAGGGCGUUCAAGCCGUUUCUGGACGUAAAACCAGAGGAAGAUGUGAGCCACAGUCGCAACUACGUGUAAAUAUCCUUUUACUUUACUGUUAUUUUAUUUCAUUUCACUGUUGUUUUAUUGUUUGCAUUAUUGUCUUUAAUAAUUUUAUUAUUGUUUGCUUUUUCCUUUUUACUGUUUCCUUUUUGACUCGCGAGCCACGUGCUUUACGCGUUAUUUGACACUGAUAUGUUACCUCAUUCACAGCUGUGAUCCAUUGUCACCAAGAUUCUUAAAUGUGAUUUAUCUUUUGUCAAGCACUCACAAAUUGUUUUUGAGAAAUAUUCCAAUGGCAAUUACUCCCAAUAGACAAUUCAAGAACAUUUGUGUGCUUUCUGGAUUUUCCUAUGGCAAACAUAAAGAGUUUGUUGAGGCAGCCAUAGAUCUUGGUCGAAGCAUAGCAGCGAGAAAAUUACACUUGGUGUAUGGAGGAGGUAACCGAGGGUUAUCAAAAAUGGUCUCAGAAGCAGCUUUUAUCAGAGGAAGUCAAGUGUUAGGCAUCAUCCCAAGAGUCCUAAAACCAUUGGGCAGUUCGUCUGACUCAUCAACUGGAGAAGAGUUAGUCGUCUCAGGUAUGCAAGAAAGAAUAACUGAAAUGCUUAAUCAUGCUGAUGCUUUUAUUUUCCUUCCAGGAGAUCUUGCAACACUAGAGGCACUUAUGACACUAGCAUCUUGGGCCCAUCUGCACAUCCACCAGAAACCUAUCGGUUUGUUAAAUGUCAAUAACUUUUAUGAUGGCUUUAUCGCAUUUCUUAACCAUGCAAUAAAAAACUAUUUCAUUCCUUCUAAUGUGAAAAAACUCUUUAUUUGUGCUCACACUGCUAAUGAGCUACUUGAUAUGUUACAAGCUUAUAAACCGGAGCCAGACCCCUGGACCUUUGUGUUGGAGCGACCAAAUAAUGAUGGUAACAGUAGCCGCAGUAAGAAGUACAAAUUAGAUUUAACUCUCCGCCUGUAAAUAUUUUCUUCUGUGUUGCACCACCCAGGUGAUGUCUUCUAAACUCUACUUCUUUCAUUUAAAACAUUGAGGACAAUGUUUCGUUCUGGUUGGGGGGAGGGAAUAGUCGACAAUUGUGGAAUCUUGGUUAAGUUUUUACUGAUUUUUUGUUGUAGAAACUAAUUGUUGCUAACGUUUUGUGUUGAAGAUGGCUGAAUAUGGAGUGUAGUUACUCUAGAAACGCAUCUUCAUCGUUUAAAAAAAAAAAAUCGUUUUCUUCCUCUUUCUCCUUUAUAAAUAUAUAUUUUCAAAUUUUUGAGUCGAAGAUGGCUGAAUAUGGAGUGUAGUGCCUCUAGAAACGCAUCUUCUUAGUUAAAAAAAAAAAUUUAAUUUUCUACAUCAUUUUCACAUUUCUGCAUGCAUAUUUUCCUUUCAUGUUUAGAAUAGGUUGGGGGGUAGAAUGUUGUUAAAAAAAAAAAAAUUUUGUGAUUUGUUUUAACAUUGGAUGACAUGAUUAAUGUCAAAUUUUAGUAUUUGUAUUAUCUUUGGUCUUAAGCGAUGUUACGCUAUGUUUGCUACUUUACAUGUUGAUGUCGGAGACAAAUGUGAGUUGCUUGAAGGAAUGAACAUGUCAUAAUAAGUACCAAGUGAGUUUUUGAGCCUAUUAUUUUUCUUGGAGAAUAACCCUUUUGCCCAUUCUCUAUAUAACUUAGCAGUUUAUUAUUUUAUACACGAUCUCUAGAUUUUUUUUGAGUUGUAGCCGUGCGGCGGUUUGAUUGCCGAAAAAUGGGUAAGAUCGGGGCCGUUUGGCAUGUUUUGCCGGUUUCGGCCCCCCGGGGGCGGUUCAUGCCCCGGGGGGACAGCGGGGCGGGAUAGGCACACGGCGGGUGAGGUGGUCGGGUUCGGGCGGGUGCGGUCGGCGGCGGGGCGCCGGUGGGCUAUAGCGCACGGCCUCGGGGGCCGCAAAGAAGGGGCCGUAACUCAUGAUCGGGGCCCCGAUUCCGUUUCCGUUUCGUCCCACGGGACCAGCGGUCCGGGGGCAUUGGGAUGGGGGGUAGCCGUGCGGCGGUUUGAUUGCCAAAAAAAUGGGUAAGAUCGGGGCCGCUUGGCCCGUUUUGACGGUUUCGGCCCCCCGGGGGGCGGUUCAUGCCCCGGGGGGGACAGCGGGGCGGGAUCGGCACACGGCGGGUGAGGUGGUCGGGUUCGGGCGGGUGCGGUCGGCGGCGGGGGCGCCCGGUGGGUUAUAGCGCACGGCCUCGGGGGCCGCAAAGAAGGGGCCGUAACUCAUGAUCGGGGCCCCCGAUUCCGUUUCCGUUUCGUCCCACGGGACCAGCGGUCCGGGGGCAUCGGGAUGGGGGGGUAGCCGCGCGGCAGUUUGAAGGGCGAAGAAUGGGCAAGAUCGGGGCCGCUUAGUGGGCUUUGCCGGUUUCGGCCGUAACUCAUGAUCGCGGCCUCGAUUCCGUUUCCGUUUGGUCCCACGGGACCAGCGGUCCGGGGCAUCGGGAUGGGGGGUAGCCGUGCGGCGGUUUGAUUGCCGAAAAAUGGGUAAGAUCGGGGCCAUUUGGCCCGUUUUGACGGUUUCGGCCCCCCGGGGGGCGGUUCAUGCCCCGGGGGACAGCGGGGCGGGAUCGGCACACGGCGGGUGAGGUGGUCGGGUUCGGGAGGGUACGGUCGGCGGCGGUGGGCGCCCGGUGGGCUAUAGCGCACGGCCUCGGGGGCCGCAAAGAAGGGGCCGUAACUCAUGAUCGGGGCCCCCGAUUCCGUUUCCGUUUCGUCCCACGGGACCAGCGGUCCGGGGCAUCGGGAUGGGGCAGUAGCCGUGCGGCGGUUUGAUUGCCGAAAAAUGGGUAAGAUCGGGGCCGUUUGGCCCGUUUUGACGGUUUUCGGCCCCGGGGGGGACAGCGGGGCGGGAUCGGCACACGGCGGGUGAGGUGGUCGGGUUCGGGCGGGUGAGGUGGUCGGUUUCGUGCGGGUGCGGUCGGCGGCGGGGGCGCCCGGUGGCUAUAGCGCACGGCCUCGGGGGCCGCAAAGAAGGGGCCGUAACUCAUGAUCGGGGCCCCCGAUUCCGUUUCCGGUUUCGNNNNNNNNNNNNNNNNNNNNNNNNNNNNNNNNNNNNNNNNNNNNNNNNNNNNNNNNNNNNNNNNNNNNNNNNNNNNNNNNNNNNNNNNNNNNNNNNNNNNNNNNNNNNNNNNNNNNNNNNNNNNNNNNNNNNNNNNNNNNNNNNNNNNNNNNNNNNNNNNNNNNNNNNNNNNNNNNNNNNNNNNNNNNNNNNNNNNNNNNNNNNNNNNNNNNNNNNNNNNNNNNNNNNNNNNNNNNNNNNNNNNNNNNNNNNNNNNNNNNNNNNNNNNNNNNNNNNNNNNNNNNNNNNNNNNNNNNNNNNNNNNNNNNNNNNNNNNNNNNNNNNNNNNNNNNNNNNNNNNNNNNNNNNNNNNNNNNNNNNNNNNNNNNNNNNNNNNNNNNNNNNNNNNNNNNNNNNNNNNNNNNNNNNNNNNNNNNNNNNNNNNNNNNNNNNNNNNNNNNNNNNNNNNNUCUUAUGUCUGUUGAUGGUGACGUGGCAGCAUAUCAGUGGACGAAAAAUCUCACGUACGGUGCAUGCAUCACACAGGAUUAUUUUCAACCAAACCGCGUUACUGUUCAUCCGGGGUCAAACCGUGUUACUGUUCAUCCGCGUGGUCAAACCGUGGACUGUUGACUGAUGACGUGGCGCAAUCCUGAGCGUCCAAACUGUUUUUAAUCCGAUGGCCAUGAUUUACUCCAUGUAUCUAUAAAAAGGGGGCCUCCCCCCCCUAAUUUGAUAUCUCUGAAUCCAUUUUUGGGAUCCAUUUUCUGUAAUUCCUUCUCCAUCUUGUAUUUUCUUUGUAUUUUAAUAAAUUCCCAUUUUGCCCCUAGUUCAAUUAUGAGUAGCUAAUUUCCUUUCAAGCUUGGGUUGAAGGUGAAGUCUCAACAUGUGUCAUGGGCUUUAUUUGGUAAAUUUAUUUUCUUUUCCCCUCUAGUUUUUGUGGAUGAUUUGACUUAUCGUCGACAAAUAAUACUGAUCUUGUCUAGAUACCGCCUUGGUACACCGGCUCUCUAGUAUAAGGUUAUUAUUAUUUGGCACGAUAAGCCCUUAGCACCAUAUUGAUUAGAGUGUGGUUCAUGAGGUGUGGAUUCCCCCUCAUGAUUUAAUUGGCAUUAAUACGGAUUAUUUAGCCCAUGAUGCAUGUUGAUACGGAUCCAGAUACCCAAGUACGUCAAUUUAAUAGAUUUUCUCUUCAAUUUAUUCUCUCCAUUACAAUUCCAAUUUUAGAAUUUAUUCUCGCCAUUUUAAUUUAAGUUUUAGCAUAUUCCAAAUUAUUUCCACCAUAAAUCCAACCACUCAUUUGCAAAAUUAAUUCUACUCAUAAUUAAAAUCCACCUCCUCGUGGGAUCGACACUCGUCACCAUUGAUCUAUACUACAAUAGAUUCGUGCGCUUGCGAGUACAUUAAAAUUUGCACAACACAUAGCCUUUUUAAUUUCUUCCCAUAGUGACACCUGCGGUACAAAAAAGAUGAUUAAGAGUUGGGCUGUCAGUUCUUCUAGAGAGUGCAUCGGCAGCAGCGUUUUCCCUUGCCGGGGCGGUAUCGGAUUUCGUAAUCGUAACCCAUGAGUUUGACCAUCCAUGCUGUGAUCAGGAGUUGCUAUCUUCUGCUCCAAGAGAUAUUUUAAGCUUUUUUGAUCUGUUUGUAUCACAAAUCGUUGCCCCAAUAAAUAAGGCCUCCAAAAUCUGACCGCCUCUACACUGCCAACAUCUCUUUCGCAUAUGUCGACCAAGUCUUUUUUGUUAUACCCAACGCUCGACUCAUGUAAGCUAUUGGUUUGCCGUUUUGCUGCAGUACUGCUCCUAUGCCAUCACCGGACGCAUCAGUUUCAAUAACAAAAACAUCGGUAAAAUUAGGCAUAGAAAGUACUGGAGUUUGAGUCAUGGCAAGUUUCAAUUGCUCAAAUGCUGCUGCAGCUUCAGUAUUCCACCCGAAUUGUCCUUUCUUAAGAAGAUUGGUUAGGGCCGGGCUAACAGGCCAUACCCACAAACGAACUUGCGAUAAUACCCUGUUAGGCCUAAAAAUCCCCUUAGCUCUGUAAUAUUCCGUGGCUUUGGCCAUGACACCAUUGCUGCAAUUUUCCGUUCAUCCACCUUCACACCAUGGCAAGUGACGAUGUGUCCCAAAUAUUCAAGUUCUUGCUGGCCAAAAUUGCACUUGCUAGUCUUGACAAAAAAUUGCUGCUGAUGGUAGCCGGCUCUGAGGUCUAGUUUGGUGAAGAAUGUUGCACCGUGCAAUUCAUCUAACAUGUCUUCUACUGUUGGUAUUGGAAAUCUGUCUUUUACUGUGGCCUCGUUGAGUGCUCUGUAGUCCGUACAAAACCUCCAACUGCCAUCUUUUUUUUUUACUAGGAGUACCGGUGAUGAGAAGGGGCUGGUGCUUGGUCGAAUGAGCCCAGAAGACAACAUUUCGUUCACUUGUCUCUCAAUCUCCGCUUUUUGGAAAUAAGCGUACCGGUAGGGUCUCACAUUAAUUGGUUCUGUUCCUUCUUUAAGAGUGAUUUGGUGGUCGAUUUCCCGUGUUGGUGGGAGUUGUUUGGGCUCCAUGAACAGCUCGGAAUAUUCUUCUAGCAAACUCCUCAUGCUGGCCGGUGCUACUGCAUAUGAUUCCUCAUUGUUUAAAAUAGAGACAUAUAGCAAACACGUUGUGCCCUUGUUUCAUAUCUUUGGUGACUUCAGAUAAUGUUGUAGCUUGAAUUGUUUGUGGAUCCAGCCCUUGCAACCUUCGCUUAGCAUUAUCCCAAUCGAAGUCCAUUGUCAAUUGUUUCCAAUUACAAACCACCGACCCUAAGCUUUCAAGCCAUUGGACACCAAGCACCACGUCGAGUCCUGUAAUCGGCAAUGAGUAGAGAGUAAGUUCAAAAGGAUGUCCUGAAUUAAAACAUGUACCUUGUCAUGUUUCCCCUGGCAAAUAACUUUCUCUCCAUUGGCCACUUUUACUGGAAAUGCUGAUGUCGGUUGAACUGGGAGCUGAAGCAUAUUAGCCAAACGCGAGUUGAUAAAAUUGUGCGUUGAGCCGCUGUCCACUAGUACAAUGAUCUCGUGUGGCCCAAUCUUAGCUUUCACUCGCAUUGUCUGAGGAGCAGCCCAACCGCCAAAGCAUAGAAUGUUAUUUUAGGUUUGUCGUGCUCUUCUGUCUCAUGCUCAUGUUGCAUUGUUUCUGUGGACUCUUCGUUGUCAUCCGCUUCUAAGAUUAACAAUUGCGCCUUUAUGCACUUAUGACCUGCAGAGAAUUUUUCAUUACAGUUAAAACAUAAUCCUUGUGACCUGCGUUUUUGCAUCUCCUCCAAGAAAGUCUCUUAAAGGGUACUGUUGGUGAAGCACGUUGGUUGGUGACUUGAGCCGUUGGUGAACGAUUGAAGAUUGGUGAUCUCAACAGUCUCCGUUGUCGGUUCAUUUGCUCAUCUCUCAUUCUUGCCAAGCUGAUUGCUUCCUUGAGAGUCCUCGGUCGAAACAGCCGAAUUUCUUCAGAUAUCUCUGGUUUAAGCCCUCCAUGAAUGUGCCAACAAGUGCCUUCUGUGUCCAGCCUUGAACACGGUUUCCGAGUCGUUCAAAUUCCUUCUGGUAGUCACGGAGAGUACCGGUUUGUUUAACACGUGAGAGAGCCUCGUCGAAAUCUUCACAGUCUGUCGGUCCAAACCUUGCCCAUAACUCCUCCACAAACACCUCCCAAGUCACGACUUUGCCUUCAUCUUGAUAAGACCUUCGAAGCCACUGCCACCACUGAUUUGCUUCCCCCUCCAAGUGGAAUGACGCUAGGACCACUUUCUGAUCGUCUGUUGAUUCCUGGUAUUCGAAGAACUGACUUGCACGAUUGAACCAUUCGGUGGGGUCGUCGCCCAAAUAGCGAGGGAAUUCUAGUUUUGCUACCUUGGAUUGGAAAUGUUGAGGCCCUCCUGUACUGACUUCUCGGCCCAGUCGUGAAGAUGCAUUAUUGUUGUUGAUACUUGGCGACCCUCUUGAAGUAUUGAUUGAGUCCGCAAGCUUGCUUAAUGUUGCCUCAAUGUGUGCCAAUUUGUCAUUGAUCCCCAACUCCAUCCGUUGCAUCUUGUCUUGUAUAUCUCCGACCUCUGUUUCUAUUCGCUCGAUACGCUCUUUGUUGGUUGCCAUCCUAACCUAGCUCUGAUACCACUAAUAGAGGUCCCAGUCAAAACUAGCAGAAUUGACAAAGUAAAUUGCUUGUUCUUCUUUGGGCGAGAACUACCUCAAAUAAUGUUUUUGGAAUAAAAAUCUGUUUUUUUUAUUAUUGAAUAAAAGAGCUUAUUUAUAGUCUAAUACAAAACUAAUUUCCUUAGCCGUGAAACAAGGCUUGAACAAAGCUAGCUAAAUCAAGUCGUUAACAACAUCUCAACAACCUGACUAUUAUUCAAAAACAAAUACUUGCAUGAAAGAUCUCCUCCAAAUAAGCAACGGUUAAUUUGAAGAAGUCAGCUCCAGAUCAUCAUCUCAAAGGUUGCAUGGCUAAUGACGUGCCCAUGCAUAUUCCAUGUACUUGCUGUUGGGCUUGGCUACACGAUUAGUUCUGCGUAGCUUCUUAUCAAUAAUCCUAAGAUGAUCCUCUCAUGGCUAUUGAGAGCGAGUAAAAUCAGGUGAUUCAAUUUCUCAAUCUUUUUCGACCUUGAAUCCUACUUAUAAAUGCUCAAAAUUAAGGGACCUAAUUACUGAAACUGUUCACUGACUCUUAUUUUAUUUUUUUUAUUUCUUUUAGUUUUUCCGGAGAAGCUACAAGGAAAAUAAUAGUAUAGAAAUCAAACUAAAAUGGAUAUUUGAAUCAUCCUUCUACUAAAGUUAGUGAGUACUGGUUUGUAAUGUAAUGAGAAAUAAAGUUAGUGAAACUAGCAAUCAAUGAAUGAAUACUGAACAUUUGAGAGGAAAAAAUGUGGUAUUAUUUUGUUUAUCUUUGAAAUUUUUAUUUUAAAUUUUUACGAUCGUUUAUAUAUUUUGAAAUAUUGUAAUAACACACGUGUACUUUUCUUGAAUAGGCAGUUGUAAACGUUUAGUCACUGUUCAGUGACUUUAUCUUCCCAUUAUAAUUUUAUUUUAUUUCUUAAUUUUUUCCUUCUAUUAGUUCGUCAAAGUUGUACGGACGGAUAUUCCGUUGUAACGAGACUCUGUAUUUUUUCUGGGCAACAAAAAAGAAAAUACUAUCGGAUCUGAGAUGGGUUUUGUUUACUAGAUUUUAUGUGAUCAUGUUUUGCAUGUUACCAAUAUUCUUUGGACAAAAAUAAAUUUAAUCGACUAAGAAUAUAGUUUUUUUUUUUUUAACUUUAAUGCUCCAAAUUUUUAUACACGUUUUCCAGCUGUAAGUCUUCUCUUUCUCUCUCUUUUAUUUAAUUAUUCUAGCUUGGUAGCUUAAUUUACUGAUUGAUUGGUUGAUAAUUAGGAUUUCUUGUUUUUUUUGCCCUAAAAGUUAGUUUAUAUAUAUUUUUAAUUUUAUUUUUUGAUAUUUGUGGGAAUAUUUGAUCUGGGUCGGCUUUUCCUCGUAAUUUGAAAUUGGUUUCUUUGCUUGAAUCGAUAUUUACUAGAACUUAGUUGUGGGUUCUCAGUUUUAGGGAUUUACGGGGCAUGGGUGAUCUGGGUGAUGUUUUGACCUAAUUUUGGAUUCUACUGAUUGAUUAUGAUGGUGGUGUGUUGUAAAAAAUUUUUUAUGGGAGGCUCAGUUUCGGGUGACUAAUGUUACAAAAUGACCUGGGUUUUAUCUUGUUUUUUGUUUUAGAUACUUGCAUUGUAGGAUUGUGGCUUCUAAUGAAAUAAAGUUGCUUUUUAUUUUAUGUCUAGGGUAUUAAUGGGGAUCUUUGGUUACAUUUGCACUUCGCCUGUUCAUGAUUGUGUAGGUUAAAAGUCAAUUGAGUGUUACAUAGUUUUGUGGGAGUUGUGUGGGGAAUUUUUAUGUUGCUUGUGUGUUUGGGGGUCUAUUUAGUGGUUUAGUUCUGAAGCCGGUAGGUGUCACAUUCUUAGGGAUGUCAUGGGGUUUUUAAUUUGCUUUUGUUUCGUGGAAGAUAUCGGUUUUAUCCCAUAACUAUGAUUAACAUGUAAAUUAUAUUGGAUGUAUGGUUUCCUUGUUGUUAGAGCCUUUUUGCAUACUUGUUUUUGGAGAUGAGAAUAUCUGUAUUUCUCCGUUAGCGCAUCUCUGUUGCCACUCUCUUGUUUAAGGAUAGAAUGACAGAAUUAUGUUAUUAGAGUUCUAUUUUAUGUUACCUUGACUUGGCUUUUUUGGACAUAGAAUAGAUCAAUUUUCCAUCCGCCAAAUUACUCAAAUUAAGUUUGGGUUUCACGCAUUUGGUAACAUUUGAUCUGAGGACUUUAGCCUGUUAUGCAUGUAUGGUUCCCCUCCUUUCUACUUUAUAUUUUGCAUGGUGCAUCGUGCCUUAAUUUUCUAUAGAUAGGUCAAUGUUUUCAUCAAACCUUUUGCCUUAUCUUUCUAUAAAUAGGUCAACGUUUACGUCAAACUUUCCACCUGCUUGAGUAGCCUGUAGCUUGAUUAAAUUGAAAAAUUUUGUGUAGCAGAAAUAUUGAAACUUUAUUGCUGCUUUUAAUCUCUGUUUUAUGCUUGGAAUAGGUUGAUCAUUUUACGAGGUUUGAAGUGGGUUGGAAGUUUCUUGUCAUAUGACUCUAGCCUUGUUGGCUGAGUUGGGAUGUUGCUUUGUAAUAGAAAUCAUUGUGGGAGUCUAUGCAUUUGUGUUAGACAUAGACAUGGCGCCUGGGUCUUGUGUCAAUAUUUUAUUAACAUACUUUAUCCUAUUCUAUUUCAGGGCUUUUGUUGUAAGGGAUCAUAUUUAUUUCUUUCAUUUCAUCUACCCUCAUUAAGUUAUUGAGGCUUUUGAGAUUGAGUUAGCACUGACUUUAUAUCAAAUCUGAGACUUAUCAAGAAACGAUCAAAUUAGGUCUCUACUGAAGAGUUAAAUAUCUGAUAAUGGUCGGUGAUAACAUAGUCAUCUUGAGAAUAUUUGCAAAGCAUUUGGUAUUGACUAGAUGGCGUUGGUCAGUAUGUAGCAAGUUUUGAACUCAGUCUCCAGUGUUGUGCUUGGAGGCUUCAGUUACCAAAUUUGUUCAUGUCAAUUAGAUGUUGAGCUGGAGAUAAUUUUAAUUGAAAACAAUUUUUUGCUAGUAGGCUUUCUGGAAUACAUGUAGAGGCUCGAGUUUCUAGGUUUUGUUUGCGUAGAGGGAGGGAUGACAAUCUUGUCUGCAGAAUAGGCAGCCUUUUUGUUUGCCCUGCUGCUCUCUAAAAUAUCUUUACUGCUGAGAACCUAACCAAGAGGAGGGAGGAUUGUUGAGAACUACUGCUAUAUGGUUUAGUGAAAUAGUGGAAGUUUGUUGAUCAAUUGUUGUUUUCAUUGUGAGAUUGUUUGAACGAUUUGGACGCAAUCUUUUCUUUGUUUGGCCUGGGAUGGAGUUUUUGUGUUGUGGAGGUUGUUGGCACUGUUAUCUGUGGUGAUAACACAGAAAUGUAGCUUGGAAGACUGCUCCUAUUUGAUUGAGUUAGUGGUUUGGAAUGAAAGGAGUGGCUGACCUUUGAGAGUAUCUUCAAUCGUUAUCAUGACUUGAAUCUGACUUAUUAGAAGUUUAUUUGGCUCUUUGGAAGGCUUCACUAUUUGGUUCUUUGGCAGCGUCCCCUUUCCUUUGGCCACUUGUAUUGUUGAUUUUCUUAGAAUUUCUCUUUCCUUAAGUUUUCCUUUCCUUGUCGCUCCGCACUCACGAUUUUUAGAGGGCACUGAAAUUGAAAAUUAUCUUUACCUGUCCAUGUUAUUUUUUAUCUGCUGUUACUUUCAUUAUGUGACUUAGUCUUGUAAUCUGACAAAUAGGAUUAAAAAAAAUGUGCAGGCUCGAAUUAAAAAGAUAAUGCAAGCUGAUGAGGAUGUUGGGAAGAUAGCAUUGGCUGUCCCUGUUCUAGUUUGUAAGUAGCCGUGGCUGCUUGGCCUUAUUUUCUUGCAACAUCAAUGCUUUUGUGUUAUUUAUUCUCUUUUUGGGUAUUCUUGUAGCAAAAGCUUUGGAAUUAUUUUUGCAAGACCUUUGUGAUCGUACAUAUGAGAUAACCCUUCAGAGAGGAGCAAAGACAAUGAGUUCCUUGCAUUUGUAAGUGUCAAUAACCUUCCUUUGCUCAAUUCUUUUCUUCUUUAGCUGUAAAUGUGAUUAAUAUGUGAACUUGAAGUUGGACUCUGUAUUUCAAGAUGUUCUCGUCAGUAUCAAUUGUUAGGUUCUUGGGGAUUGUUACAUUCCCCUUUGUUUUGUACGAGCAACUUUAGAUUAAUAGAGGGACUAAUUAAAUAUAGACUUCAAUUGUUAUGUAGUUGCCGGGGAAAAAAAAAAAUGUAGUUGCUGAAUAAAUCAUCGAUCGAGGUAUAUGAUCUAAAGCUUUUGCCUUAAUGUUAGGUGUAGCAGAAUAAUAAGUUGUGUAAGGCAAAUUACAGAUUAAUACUUUUGUUUAAUUCUUGAGUUUCAGGUAAAAGGAAAUGUUUAUACAAUUGUCCACAUGGCAAAGAAUCUUCUGUAGAUAAAUUGCAUUUAAAAGUACGCGUUUAUCCUUUUUGCUUCUACUUUUAAAUUCCUGAAGAAUUACUUACCUGCUAGACCAUUGAAAUUUGUGAAAAUAUGGUUAAAAAAAAUGGCCUACUAACUGUGAUUGUUUCUCAGAACUAAAUUAUCAUUAAAGGUCAGUUUCUGGUGUGUAUGGUUCCACUAUGCCUAGAUGUCUUGGUCACUUGUAUCAAAGCUGAGUGCAUGAGAAGUAUUCUGAUUCUUGCAUAUGUUUGACUGAGGAGGUAACUAUAGUUGGUGUUUUUUGUUUCACUGGAUGUUAUGUCGUGAAUCAUGAAUUGUUUGAGGUCUUUUUUACACAUAUAAAUGACUUCUUAUUGUGUCAUGCAAUGUAACUUACCCAGAAUUAGAAAAUUGGUAAAGUAGAAAAGAAGAGACUAGAUUUGAUCUUAGCUUUCUCUGACAAACAUUUGUGAGUUUUUCCUUCAUAAGAAUUAUCAAUAUGUUUGAUAAUAGCACCUACCAGCCAAAAGUAUGAUAAGAUAACUGAGUCAAUUUGAUAAUUAACCAUAGGAAGUGGUUCUUUAUUUGAGAAAUGUGCAUAUCGAGCUGGUAAUAUAUUUGAGAUUGAUAGCGCAGCAUGUUAAUGUUGUUUGAUGGAAUCAAUAAUAUUCAUGAAGUUAAUCUGAGCAAUGCAAAAAGCUUGAAGUCAGAUGCCUUGGAUAAUGAAUUAAUUAAUGUUUUUUUUUUAAGUUAUCUUCCAAGACUCUUUUAUCUGAUUUGAGUCAUUUGUCUCUGGUUUAUGUCUGCUUGUGAUCAACAAUUCUUCAUUUUGCUUCAAUGUUUCAGAGUAUGAUCGAAGCCUGUAUAAUGAGAUUCAAUUAAACUAGGCAUAGUUCUUCAUAGUUAUACCGUAUGAAGAAUCUGUCUAAUAUUAAAUGGCGGGCAGUAGUCAACUUUUCUUAGCAUGCUUUGUCCUUGCUAGGGCAACUUAACAUGGUAUCAGAGCUAAAUUGACUUAAUCUUGUGUUCAGUCUCCUUGUUGAAUUAAUUAAUUUAUGAAAUUGGGGAAUGGUAAAAUUGUGCCAGCCACUUAAAAGAAAGUGAUGGAGAAAUUGUGUAAGACUGGCAGCCUCAAAGCUGUAAGAAUUCAGGAGUAUUUGGGGACUAUAUAUAUGAAGAGAAAACCUCUUAUUAGUGGAAAGCAGUUUACAAAUAGAGGAUGUGUGUUGAGGCAACAUUAUUAUGGCCCCGCUUGCUACUACGGUGCGGUAGCUUUUAAGCCACAGCUGCUGUAGAAAAAAUGCUGCUUUUAAAUACUAAUUUUUACAAAAGUAGCAAAUAUAUUGUAGAUUUUUCAUCAUGACUGUAGGAUCAAAUCAACAUAGCUUCCAAGUCAUAGCAGCCACUGUUUACCAAACAAUUAAGAUUUUAAAAGAGUGUUUUAAGUGAAAUUGAGCGUGCAAAUAAGUGUUCAAAGUAGAUUUUGAGUACAAAUAAUCCACCCAUAAAAAUAUCAUGCACUACAAGAUGAGUGACAUUGCUCACUACAAAUUAAAAAAAAAAAUCAUAUAUUCAUGAGAAAUAUUAAUAUAGGCAUACCAAAUAGUCUCUCGAAACUACUAUAAGAUUUUCUUUGUUCAUUCGAAUUCUUUCUUAAUCAUUUGGGGAAAUAGGAGAGUCUGUUUAUUUAUUUGAUUUGAUUUGAUUAAUUAUUUUGAUAGAAAUUAUAUUAAAUUAUAUAGAGACAGUGAUGGGUUUUCCUUGCUUGUAAUGUUUGACAGGCUAACAGCAAGAAAAGCUUACACAAUUAAAUCGCAAAAUAAGUGCGCUUCUAUAAUUUGUUUACUAUUUUAUGAACAAAAGAAGAAAAAGAAAAAAUUCCAAAGUUAAAAUCUUCUAUGCGCUGAAGGAAAGAGAAAUGACAAUUUGUACGAACAACAGAGCUUUUGAAGUGGAGUCUACCUACUGUGUGACCCAAAAAAGCCGUAUCUGGAUUUAAUAAACAAAAGCACUUUUAAAGUUACAAAUUACUGACGAGAAUGAGACCCUAAAAUUGAGAACAUAGAAGAGAGAGUACUUUCAAGUCUCAAUUAAAAUGUAGAGAAAAAGAAAAGAAAAAAUUGUGCUUGUAAUAGAGCUCAUCUCUCAAGCCAACAUUUCUAGCUAGCAAAGGAUGGAAGGAAUGAUUUUAGAUAAUAUAUUUUCAAUAAAUGAAAUUUUUUUUUCCAGUUUGAUGAUUGCAAAUAACAUUCUUUACUUCCACUCUUUAGUAUUAUUAUUAUUAUUAUUAUUUUUAAAAUUUAACUCUUUAAUUCAUGUUCUUGUUCUCGCGAAUGUGUUUAGUCAAUUUCGUGAUCAUCUCAUCAAAUCCCUAACGUUAACAUAACCAUAAUCUAUUAAUGAAAUUUAUUUAUUUUCUAUAAUAAUAAUCAAAAUGAAUAUUUGUUCAUGUAAUUUUAUGAUGAUGAGUUAUCAUUUUUUCUGUUAUACAUAAAAACAAUUUGUAAAUAAUGGCCACGUUGAACUAAUAACGCAACAACGCUUGUGGGAACAAAUUGAAUAAUAAAAAAUUUAAAGCAGCGAUUUGGCAAUACAAAAUUGAAGAACAGAAAAAUUAAAAAUGAAAAGGUAAGUAACCCUAAACUAUCUGUGGUGGCCCACUAACAAAGCUCUAAAGAGCUAUCACUUUAUCUUGACUUAUCAAUUAUUUACUAAUAGGUUCAUUUUUGUUGCACGCCCUCUUGAUAGAGUCAAAAUUUUACCUCGCCAUGCUCUUAAGUUUUUGAUAUUUUACCGUGUGAGAUUAUCAGGAGGGGAAAAUUUCAAAGUACUUCCCUGCACACACGGUAAAAUCUCAAAGACUUGAGAGCAUGACGAGGUAAAAUUUUGACUCCAUCAAGAGGGCAUGCAGCAAAAAUGAACCCAUUAGUAAAUAAUUAAUAAGUCAAGAUAAAGUGAUAGCUGUUUAGAGUUUUGUUGGUGGGCCACUACAGACAGUUUAGGGUUACUUACCUUUUCUGUUCUUCGAUUUUGUAUUGCCAAAUCACUGCUUUAAAUUUUUUGUUAUUCAAUUUGUUCCCACAAGCGUUGUUGCGUUAUUAGUUCCACGUGGCCAUUAUUUACAAAUUGUUUUUAUGUAGAACAGAAAAAAUGAUAACUCAUCGUCAUAAAAUUACAUGAACAAAUAUUCAUUUUUAUUAUUAUUAUAGAAAAUAAAUAAAUUUCAUAAAUAGAUCAUGGUUAUGUUAAUGUUAGGGAUUUGAUGAGAUGAUCACGUAAUUGACUAAACACAUUCGCGAGAACAUGAAUUAAUGAGUUAAAUUUUUUUUAAAAUAAUAAUAAUAAAGAGUGGAAGUAAAGAAUGUUAUUUGCAAUCAUCAAACUGAACAAAAAAAAAAUUCAUUUGUUGGAAAUAUAUGAUCUAAAAUCCUUCCUUCCAUCCUUUGCUAGCUAGAAAUGUUGGCUUGAGAGAUGAGCUCUAUUACAAGCACAAUUUUUUCUUUUUCUUUUUCUCUACAUUUUAAUUGAGACUUGAAAGUACUCUCUCUUCUAUGUUCUCAGUUUUAGGGUCCCAUUCUCGUCAGUAAUUUGUAACUUUAAAAGCGAUUUUGUUUAUGAAAUCCAGAUACGGCUCUUUGGGUCACACAGUAGGUGAACUCCACUUCAAAAGCUCUGUAGUUUGUACAAUUUGUCAUUUCUCUUUCCUUCAGCGCAUAGAAGAUUUUAACUUUGGAAUUUUUCCUUUUUCUUAUUUCGUUCAUAAAAUAGUAAAUAAAUUAUAGAAGCACACUUAUUUUGCGAUUUAAUUGUGUAAGCUUUUCUUGCUGUUAGCCUGUCAACCAUUACAAGCAAGGAAAACCCAUUAGUGUCUCUAUAUAAUUUAAUAUAAUUUCUAUCAAAAUAAUUAAUUAAAUCAAAUCAAAUAAAUAAACAGCUCCUCCUAUUUCUCCAAAUGAUUAAGAAAGAAUUCGAAUGAACUAAGAAAAUCUUAUGGUAGUUUCGAGAGACUAUUUGGUAUGCCUAUAUUAAUAUUUCUCAUGAAUAUAUGAUUUAUUUAUUUUUAAUUUGUAGUGAGCAAUGCCACUCAUCUUGUGGUGCAUGAUAUUUUUAUGGGUGGAUUAUUUGUACUCUAAAAAUCUACAUUGAACACUUAUUUGCUUUGCACGCUCAAUUGAUAAUAUAAAAAUAUAAGUUUUCACUUAACACCCUCUUUCAAAUUCCUAUAUUGUUCCCAUUCACUACUAAAAAGCAUUGAUUUAUGAUAGAUAUCGUUGCGUCACGAAUCCAUCGUAGAAGCAUAAUAUUUUUGUGACAUAUAAAAUAUAUAUCAAGAAUUUAUGACAUAUUUGUGACUCAUAGCUUAAUGAUAUAAGCCGAUGAUAGAUAAGAGUCAUGCUUGAAUUUACUAUUAUUACCAAAUUAAAACGACACAUUUAAAUUCAUGACAGAUAUCGUCGUUUGAUGAGCAUGGUAGAUAUCAUGAAUUGAAAUGGUGCAAUUUUUAUAAGCUAGUUAUUUUAUUUUUUAAAGUCUUAAGGGCUUGUUUGGGUUAGCUUUUACUUCUACUUAAAAGUAAAAGAUAAGUAAAAGCAUCGUUGUCUUUGCUUUUUCAACCUUGGGUAAUAAACAGGAAACAAGGGCUUAUUCAAAAUUACUCACCCAUCAAUCACUUAAUUAAAAUAGACCAAUUGGCCACUAACCAUUUUCUUGUUCACUACAUUUUGUAAGAAAUAAACAAUUCAGUUUGUUUAGCUGAACAUAGAAUGGCACCCACCAUGCAGUCAUGAGGUUCUGUUUUAUAUAUAAUGAACCAUCUCUGAUCAGUACGAGGUUUGUAAAAAUUUAUCAGGAUGCUAUCUGGUCCUUGAGUAAAAAGAGCUAGUCAUCAUCAGAACUAGAUUCUAGAAUUUUUGGGGUCAAGUUCAUACUUAUUUGAUUGGCACAUUUCUUAUCAGAAAAAAGGAUGUGAGAGUAAUAAAGAUAAUGAUAAUGGCAGAGUAAUAACAAUAAAAUGUUAUGCAAAAUCAUAUUUAUCUAAAUGACAAGUGAAACUGAAUAUGAUAGGUAAGAUUCCCUGGCCAAUAAUGAACCAAGGUUAUAUUUUUUAUGUUUUAUGUCAUUAGUCUCUUAUGCUUCUUAUAUGUAUAACAUUCAGCUAUGUUGGUAUUAUCAUAUCUCUUUUGGGGAGAGAAGUGAUAUAGAUGCACUAUUAAUGUAGGAAACUAUUAUAGUAAAAAUAUUGUAGUUUAAUUAAACUUUUUAUGUAACUUUAUCUAGCAAUAUAACUAUGACUAUAGAAAGCAAAAAGUUUAUAAACAUUUUAAAUAAUAUGCUUGAAAAAUCAAAUAUUUAUAAUAUUACCUCUCAAAAUACCAUGCAAGAGUACCAGUAACAAUAGUGGUGAACAUGAAUGAGUGAGCCACAAGUAUGGCUAAAUGCAUCAUGUUGUUGCCCCAGCUACUUAAGUAUGUCUGCACCAGCUGCAGAAAGUAAACUUUUUAUCUGUCCAAAAUCUUUUUGUCAUAAUGAUAGUAUACUUUUUGCGAUUGGCACGGACAUACUUGAGCAGUUGAUGGGCAACAACAGGAUGCAUUUGGCCAUACCGAUGGCUCACCCUUUCACGAUCGCCACCGCUGUUACUAGUACUUUUGCAUGGCAUUCCGAGAGGUAAUAUUAUAGACUAUUUGAUGUUUCAAGCAUAAUGUUUUUAACACCGUUUAAAACGUUUAUAAAGCUUUUUCUUUUUGCCGUGAUAGUUAUAUUGCUAGAUCAAAUUACACAAAGAAUUUAAUUAGAUUAUAAUAUUUUUACUAUAAUGGAUUCCUACAUUAAUAGUGUAUCUAUAUCACUUCUCUCCUCAAAGGAGCUAUGAUAAUACCAAUAUAGUUGAAUAUUAUACAUAUAAGAAGCAUGAGAGACUAAUAGUAUAUGAAACAUCAAAAAUAUAUCGUUGGGUCGUUGUUGGCCAAGAGGUCUUAUCUAUUAUAUUUAGUUUCAUUUGUCAUUUAGAUAAAUAUAAUUAUGCGUAACAUUUUAUUGUUAUGCAAUGUAUUUGUAAUUUCUUGUAAGUAACGGGACUUAUUUUGUUAUUAUGUUGGCAGACUCAUUUAAAUCAUCAAUUUCCACUUCUGUUGACUAAUACAGCUAUUAUCGGUUUCUUUGCAGCAAUCCAUGUUUGUUUGCAAUUUAUGAGCAAAAAGAUUUGGGCAACUGGAUAUUGAGCUUCAACAUUAGAUUGUUAGCAGUUAUCAUGUCGGUAAGUCUUUUAUAAUCAUAUACUUAGCUAAUAUAAAAAAAAAUUAAUCGUAAUGUGAGAUAUUUUAUAUAUAUAUACCUAGGUAUUUUGGCUUCUAGUUUGAACACUGUGUAUGCAUGUUGGUGACGAGAACUCUUAUUUUGUAGCAAUAUUUAGCCUCUUCAGCAAGUUUUUUAAAUCGUCGUAGCUAUUUAUUUCGUAUCUAAAUAGGUAACAAUUUCUUUUUUCUUUUUUUUUUCCUUUUCCUUCUGUAAGGAACAUCUAAUAUUUGAAUUUAUCUUCAUUUUUCAUGGCUAGAAAUUUUGAGUUUCAGCCUAGUAGUUGGAUUGGUAAUUGUUGGCGUGAUGUUUGUCUUUCUAUGGGCAGAUAAAAAGGGAACCAAAAAAAAAAAAAGACAAGAACAAGUAGUUGAAUAUAUAGAGCUAGCUAGAGAUAAAAUUGAACCAGCAGGAGAAGCUAUUGGAGAGAUGACAGAGAUAUUAUAAUUUUCUUAUUUUAUUUUAAUCGUAUUGGAAUUUGCUAUGAGGAUACUUUAUCUUUGAUUCUCGGUAUUAAAAAAAUUCAAUAUAUUUAUUGUUGUUAUAUAUUAUAAACUUUUCUAUUCUAAUUGAUAUAGUUUAAUUGAUUUAUUUGACAUUUGCAGCUUUAGUAUCCUUGAAAUUGCAUUUGAGUAUUGAGAGACUUGAGUUCGAAGAUGAAAAUUGGUGUGUAAUGUGAUUUUUUUAUAUCUACUCGAAUUAGAAACUUAAAAGUUUGGGCCAAUUUGAGAAGAAGGCUUGUUUAUGCUAAUUCAUCACAGCUUCUCCAGUAACCGACAACAAAACUAACAAGGUGAAAAUCAAAUCUUAUCGCUAUAAGAUUGCUGAUUUAAUUUGAAUAAGUUUUUAAGUGUCCUUAGUAGCUUGUUAUUGCUAAAAAAAUCACAAGAAAAUGAUUGCAUGUAAACUAUAGGGUUAUCUAAUUUCUAUGUACUGUAAUUAGUAACCAAAAUAAUUUUUCCGUCUAAAUUAUUACUACCAGAGACUUACAGAUGUCGUCAACUUAGUUCACUUUUUAUUUUUCUAUUUUCAGUUUGUUUGAUGUGGUGAAAAUAAUGAUAUAACCACAAACUCUUGUACAAAUUUAUUUUGUACAAAUUGAUGUAGCAUGAUAAAAUUGGUUGAAUUAAAUAUUUUUUUGCCCACAUAAUUUAUUUAUAUUAUUUCAUGAUUUAUUUAUAUUAUUUUAUAUUUUCAUUCAACUAAUGAAUUAAUAACACGUUAGUUUGUAUAAGAUAAAUUUGUAAAAGAAUUUAUGGAUGUAUCAUCACUCUUAUAAAUAUUAGCAUACUAAGGAACAAUUGGAAAACUAAAAAAGUUUACACUUACGGUUUUGUAUGACAUGAGGUUGAAGUUGUAUAAAAUAUCAUCAUUUGUUCCAUUGAGCCUUGUGUUUGAAAAUUGUGUUACUUUCUGGUGUAAUCUGAGCUUGACUGUGCGUGAUAAUUAUUUUUUUUUAAAGGGUGAUCCUAAGUUACGUUAAACGUAACUUACAUUUUUUGUCUUUUCUUUCAUGGCAAAGUUCAUAUGAGUCCUUUUAUUUUUAAUUUUUUUUAUAAUUGUGGAUGUAUUUAUCUCCUUCCAUCAAUUAUACAUAUGUUCUUCAUUCUUUCUAAAGUUCUUUUUAUUUCUUUAAAUAAUAGUAUAUGAUUAUCGAAUUCAUACAAAUUCAUGAAUUCAGAAUAAAUUUCUGGUCCUAAAUUUAUUACUCCUAUUCGUUCUUGCUCUAAUAAAUCUAUCUUUUGAUUUAUUAAAUUUAUGUAAGUUGUUAUUCUAUCUUCCCAUCCUAGAUUCAUACGAUCUAUGGCUUCAGCUAAUUCAUUUAUUACAUUAAAUGCAUGUUGAUUCAUGGUAAUGCUUCUUUUUUAUACCAGUAUACUAAAAAUUUUAUAAAUUCAUUUAUAAAUUUCAUUUUCUUUUCUAUCAAAAUUUCUCCUCCUAAGGUGUCUAUGGAUCUUUCUUGCAAUUCUUGGGUUAAUUCAAGAUCAAUAUUUCUAAUGUUAUUUUUCUCUGUCUUUAUGGAUGUUAUCAAAGUUUUUAUUUCCUCUUUGUCAAAUACCUUUAAGUUGUAUAAGUUGUCACAGAUGCCUUUUAUUGGAUCCAUUUUUUUAUAUAUUAGUUCUAGAAUUUUUAUGAUUCUUUUCGGACUCUUAUGGCUUUGAUACCAUUUUGGGUGUGUGUAUUUAAACAGAAAAUAACUGAAAUUAAAAAUUAAAUAAAAAUAAUGAAAUUAAAAACGGCUACUGAGAAAGUAAAAAUGUCAAUAUUAUUAAAAUAGAUUUACAAGUUUUAAUUCUAGUGUUUAUUAUUAAAUUAAAUCAAACAGAAGUACGUGGCUUGUUGACCAUCAGUGCGGACCAGACUAGUGCCCAUUCGGGUUCACCUCUGGAACUUAUGUCGAUGGAUUCCCGCCUAUAUACCUCUUUAUAUUUUUCAAGUUGUAUGUCCAGUUCUUCAUUAUCUAAAUUUUCUAUAUCUGUUAUGUAAGAUGGUCCUAUUCCUAGACUUUCAUGUUCCAUAUAUGCUAAGGCUAUGUCAAUUGCUUGUUCUACAGUUAACAUGAUUAUGUUAUGUUUUAGAUUCUCUAUUUCGAUAUGAUUUAUAAUUUUUCGUUUUAUUUCUUGUGGUAGAUUAAGACUAUAUACUACUUGUAAGUCUUAUGUUCUAACAAGUUCUUGUUUACUAACAAGAUAUGAGCCCUGUCUAAAUGAUCCUAAGUUAAAAUCUAUUAUCAUCAUAUAAUUAUUAUAUGUUAUUCUAGUUGUUGGGUUUACCAUAUAUUUUUUAGAUUUUCCUAACAAAAUAUAGUUAUUCAUGUUGAAUCAAUUUAUUCAAAGAGUUUCACUUAUGAGAAUUUGCUAUUCCUCCAUAAAUCUCUUCAUCAUCAAUCAUCAACAAACUUCCACCAACCGAUAAAGAUUGAGAAUUAUUACCUAAGUUAUUCUUGUUUCUUUACCUUUCGAUCAUUCUCCAGUGACCUGCAGCCUGGUUGUCCUUAUUCCCUCAACGACCUCCUUGCCUCAACGGGAUCAGCGGACUCGAGCGGCCUUACUGUAUGGAUCUCGAUCGUUGUGCUUAGAAACGUUGAAUAAUUUUAGGUUUCUCUUUCCUUUCUGUGGUGUUUAUUUGUUCUGAUCAGUGAUGUAUUGAUUUAGGAUUUAGAGCAGGGGAGUGGUUUAGCUGUUCAUUGUUUCAAAGAGUUUUUUGAACUGUAGAAAGUGAUUGAGUUCUGGUCAUGAUAAGCUCUGAGAGCCUUAUCUCCUUUCUCCUUUAUUUAUAUCAAAAUUGUUUAUCUUUUACAAUUACAUUACUGCCCCUUUUUUAUUGGGCUCUUACAUCAUUCCUUACGUAACUACAUUUUUACAUCUUUUAUUUCAAACCACGUGUCUUCUUUGAUUAUCACGAGCCUUUGUUUUAUUCUUCUUUUUUCUUUGGCAAUCACGUGCCUCUGCUUUAUCUUUUUAUCUUGUCGGGCAUCUCUAUUAUUUUAUCUGCCAUGAGCAUCUUCUAUCAGCAUCUUUAUUUUGUCUGCCACGAGCAUUUUCUAUCAGCAUCUUUUAUCUUUCUAUCUCUUCUGUCUGCUACGCGUGUUACUUCUUUUUACUUGUUUGGAUGGCUCAUCUCCAUGAGCUGACAAGCCUGCUGCAUGGUUUCACUGCUACUGAGGAAACGCAUAGUGCUUAUGUCAUUUAUUAGCUCCAGCAGGAUAUUUGAUUGUGUAUGGUUGUCUUCUGCUGUCACGAGUAUAUAGUUCUGGAAUCUGAUGAUGGUUCUGAAAUUUCUUUUAUACAAAUCCUUUGCUAUGCUCCAUAUGGCUUUUAUUCCUCUGGCUCUUCGGGUUCGGAUCCAGGCUUUGUUUAUCUGAGGAACUUCUGUGUAUUCAGUUCCUACUUCUACUUUAAAUUUUUUUGUGAGAUGACCUACGGAUAUCAUAUAAAAGGCUUGGUAUUCUAUAUUUUGGUGGUAUUCUGGACUUAUGGUGUAGAAUUUAAGGUAUAUAGGUUUUUUCUGGACAAAUCUUGACACUUCUUUGACUAACAAUUCAUUCAAGCUGGCUAUUUCUCGGAGGUCUAUGUCAGGAUAUACUAAGUCUAGGUAACCAUAUCGGGCUAUUUUCCCAACAAGGAGUGGGUCUGCUCCUUUUGUGGCUAUCAUUCUAGAAUACAUAUUUUUUUCAGGUGCUUUAUAAAUAUUACUGUUAUAGGAACAGGUGGAGUAUACCCAUGUAGAGAACUGUUUAUACUCUUCUUCUUUUAGGUUUAAAAGCUCUGUCUCUUCUUCGGUAUAGGGACUGUUUAUCUAGAUAAACUUUCUUGUUUUUGUAGGGCUUGAUUUUGGUGGAUCUAUUUCUAUGGUUAUGGUUUGGCUAGGACCAGGAAUUGGAUCAGAGAUUGGUUUAUUUUCUCUGAUGGGUCCACUACUGCUUCCUUCACCUUUCGGGCUGGUGUUUAUUGACACAACAUUUAUGGGGCCUUUGUUUAUUGAGAGUGCUUUUGUCAGAUCGUUUAUGUAUGAUACUAACAAAUGUACUCCAUUUUCAUGGGCUUGUGAAGCCUCUUUUAUAUAGUUUAUGGUAUCAAUUAUGUCUGAUGCUUCUGUUGCCAGUCUAUGUAAUUCGGCAUCUAUUCCAGAGAGGAUCUUAUUUAUUUCUGGAUCCAUCUCCAAAUUCUAUGUUCCUGCUUAAGAAAUCUGCAAGGAAAUUGUUAGUUCCCUUUAUGUGUAUAAUUUUGAAAUUAUAAUAUGACAAAUAUGCUUGCCAUCUGUGUAAUCUUCUAUACUGGGGUUCAUUUGGCAAAAUCUUGCUUAUUAAUGAGCUUACUUGAGAAUUAUAUGUUUCUAUAAUAAAUGGCUUUUGUAAUAAAAAUAAUGAGAACUUUUUAAUUCUUUUAUAUAUUGCAAGGAGUUCUUUUUCAUGUACAGGGUAAUUAACCUGUGCUUGGUUAAAUGUACCACUAGUAUACCUACAAAUUUUGUUUAUAUCUAUUUUAAGUAUAGCUCCCCAAUGCAGGUCAGAUGCAUCGGUUUGUACUACUAGUCUAUCAGUUUCUUCUGGUAAUCUUAAUGAAGGGAGAUUCUUACAUUCUUCUUUUAAACUUUUUACAGUCUUUGUAUGUUCUAUGUUCCAUCCUCUGGUAUUAUUUUUCCUAAGUAAUUUUUGAAGUAUAUUUCUUUUCUUUGCUAAGUCUUUUAUGAAUCCUUCAGCAUAAUUUAAACAACCUAAGAAAUUUUAUAUUUGCUGUUUAUUCUCUAAUUUAUCUGGGAAUUCACUAAUCUUUCUGCCUAUGUGACUCUGGAGUCUGAUUCCUUGUCUAUCCAUAAUCAUUCCCAAAAAUUCUAUUUUCUUAUGUUCUAUUACUGCCUUCCUUUCUGACAAUACUAUUCCUUCUCUAAUACAAACAUUCACAAAUUCUUUCAAAUAUUUUCUAUGGUCUUCUAAUGUUUCUGAUGCUAUUAAUAUAUCAUCUACAUAUACUAUUAUGUAUUUAUAAUCCUUAAAUAUUUUAUCCAUUCUACUUUGGAAAAUUUGAGGGGUAUUUUUUAAUCCGAAAGGCAUUACUAGUCAUUCAUAAUGAUCUUGUGGAGUACUAAAUGUUGUAUAAGGAAUACUAUGUUCUUCCAUUUUUAUCUGCCAAAAUCCUGAUAUACAUUCAAAUUUUGAAUAAUAAGUUUUAUUCUUCACAAGAUUUAUCAGUACUUCUUUAUUUGGUAAAAAAUAUCCAUCAAAUUUUAUGUAUUUAUUUAGUUCUUCAUAAUUUAUUACCAUUCUAGCCUUUCCUCUAACUUGUUCUGCUCUCUUUCUAACUAUAAAAGCUGAACUAUUAUGUGGACUAUUACUAUUUCUUAUUAGGUUUAAAUUUAAUAAUUCUUUUAUCUGGAUUUUAACCUCUUCCCUAUCUUCCUCUGUAAUCAUCAUUGGUUUAAGUCUUAUAAUUCUAUUUUCUAUUAAUUCAAUCUUUGCUCUAGGGUGAUCUGGUUUCCACAAUGCUAACGGAUUUUCUUUAUAAACUUGUUCAAGUUGAGAUUUUAUUGUUUCUAAUUGUAUAUUAUAGUUUUUUCCUUUAGAAAUAAAAAAAUAUUUUUCAUAAAUUAGACUAUCAUCACGCUAGGCUGGCUGAACUCUGUAAGGUUUAAAUUCGCGCGGAAUACGAAGGAUAUGGUUACAAGGGGUUUUAAGAGUGAUCAUAUAAGGAGUUUGUUGGUAAUAUUGAAAUUGUUGGAGAAAAUCAUUUCCUAAAAGGAUAUCACAAUUCAUUUGGUCAUAUUGAAAGAUGUGGUUUAUUCGUACAAUUUUACUUCCUAAAAGAAUUUCAAAAUUUAAUAAGGAUUGAUUGAUUUGUUGUUUAUCCCCUGUUAUACCUACAAGUUUUAUUUUGCCAUUUGGUUUCCAUUGAUUCGAUAAAAAAGUUUUCAUAAUUGUAAUUUCACUCCCUGUGUCUAUCAAGGCACAAUUAUUUAAGUCUUUUUCUAUUAUAUUUAUUUGUAUAUAAACAGACAUAGGAUAUUUUAUAUAAGUUUGUUUUAAUAUGUUUCACAAACUAUUUUUUGUCCUUCUAUUUGUAAUGUUGUUUGAUAUUUUUCAAUUUUAUAGUAUUCCAAACUAUUUAGGAAAUUAUUUCCUAGUACUAUAUGUUUUUCUGGAUCUGUAGUCAUAAAAGAAUUUGUGUAACAGGAUAUGAUUAUUCGUACUCCUUCAAUUAUUAGUGGAAUUUUUACUUCUUGUUUACAUAUAUGUUUAUUGCCAUUAAAGUCAGUGUAUUCAUAUGGAAGUCCUUUAUUUUUAGUAUGAUUCAUAUAAUUAUGACUUGUUCCUGUGUCUACUAAAAUGGGUAUCUUGGUUGUAUAAUCUAUUCCAUUAAAAUAUUGGCCAAGUAUUUUUAAUACGUUACUAGUCAUUAUAGGUCUAGCUAUUUAUUUAUCUAUGUUAACUAAUUGUUUAUCAGUAUUUAGCCUUCUGGAUGAACUUCCUCUUAUUAGAGUUCUUCCUGCAAAACUUAUAGGGAUUAUAGAGUUUUCAUUAUUGUCAUUUAAAAACUGUUUUUUGUCAUCUAUGUUUAGCUCAUAAGUUAUGGGGAUUUUAUAAUCCUGAAUGACAGGUUCUAUAAGAGUUGCUAUGUCUUCACAUUCUUUAUUUAUUUCUAUGUAGGGUUUGUUUCCAUAGAUUUCUCCAUAAUUUGAAUUACAAAAACUAUAUAAUGCAGAGUAGUGUAUGGUCAUUAGUCUAUUUCCUUCUUUCAUCAGGUUCUUUUUUAAUAAUUUAAAGUGUAAACUUAAUGUCUCAUCUAUGUUUUUAUCUUUUAUAUGUACACAAUAUUUAGGGUGACAUGUAAAUAGUAGUUUGGUAUAACAUAAGUUUUCUUCUACUGUUCCUAGAUGUCCUAUGCUAGGAUCAUGGAACCGUUGAUCAUGUAUUGACAAAACUAUUGGGCUAUCUACUCCUUCUUUGAAAAGUGAUUUUAUUAAAAUCUGAAUUUCAGCUAAAUAUACGUAUUGUAUUUUUUCUCUUGUUGAUUCAUUUUUUAUUUUUCUUAAAGCUAAGUCAAUUGUUCUUUUAUUUAUCAAGCUGAAUCUAAUAUUUCCUUCAGCUUGCGUUAUAGUUACAACUUUUCUUGUUCAUAAUAUUCAUGUAGUACUAUUCUUUUUCUUUUAAACAUAUCCCUUAGUUUUUGUAGUAUUUCGUAUUCUGGUUUUUCUACAUUCAAUUUUAAGAGUUUAUUAUAUUUUUCUUUAUUAAAGGUAGCUACAAGACUAUAUCCACUUUUAUUUUCUUCUCUUUCUAUUUCCUCAAUUUCUUCUAUAUCUUCUUCCUUUUCUACUAAGUCUUGUCUAUUCUGACUCAUUUUCAGAAUCUUCUACCAUAUAAAUUUAUGCUCCUUCAUAAUCAUAUAUAUUGCUUAUUUCUUCUAACUCGUCUUGUAUUGUUUUAAAGUCUUCUUGUAAUAUUCUAACUUUUUUGUUUUUGGUACAAUCUGUACUAAUACUGAUAAACAAUUAGUUAACAUAGAUAAACAAAUAGCUAGACCUAUAAUGACUAGUAACGUAGUAAAAAUACUUGGCCAAUAUUUUAAUGGAAUAGAUUAUACAACCAAGAUACCCAUUUUAGUAGACACAGGAACAAGUCAUAAUUAUAUGAAUCAUACUAAAAAUAAAGGACUCUUAAUAAAAGAGAAAGAAAUUCCAUAUGAAUACACUGACUUUAAUGGCAAUAAACAUAUAUGUAAACAAGAAGUAAAAGUUCCACUAAUAAUUGAAGGAGUACGAAUAAUCAUAUCCUGUUACAUAGAUUCUUUUAUGACUACAGAUCCAGAAAAACAUAUAGUACUAGGAAAUAGUUUCCUAAAUAGUUUGGAAUACUAUAAAAUUUAAAAAUAUCAAAUAACAUUACAAAUAGAAGGACAAAAAAUAUUUUGUGAAAUAUGUUAAAACAAGCUUAUAUAAAGUAUCCUAUGUCUGUUUAUAUACAAAUAAAUAUAAUAGAAAAAGACAUAGAUACUUGUGCCUUAAUAGACACAUGGAGUGAAAUUACAAUUAUGAAAACCUUUUUAUUGAAUCAAUGGAAACCAAGUGGCAAAAUAAAACUUGUAGAUAUAACAGGGGAUAAACAACAAAUCAAUCAAUCCUCAUUAAAUUUUAAAAUCCUUUUAGGAAGUAAAAUUGUACGAAUAAACCACAUCUUCCAAUAUGACCAACUGGAUUGUGAUAUCCUUUUAGGAAAUGAUUUCCUCCAACAAUUUCAAUAUUACCAACAAACUCCUUAUAUGAUCACUCUUAAAACCCCUUGUAACCAUAUCCUUCGUAUUCCGCGCGAAUUUAAACCUUACAAGUUCAGCCAGCCCAGCGUGGUGAUAGUCUAAUUUAUGAAAAACAUUUUUUAAUUUCUAAAGGAAAAAGCUAUAAUAUACAAUUAGAAACAAUAAAAUCUCAACUUGAACAAGUUUAUAAAGAAAAUCCGUUAGCAUUGUGGAAACCAGAUCACCCUAGAGCAAAGAUAGAAUUAAUAGAAAAUAGAAUUAUAAGACUUAAACUAAUGAUGUAUACAGAGGAAUAUAGGGAAGAGUUUAAAAUCCAGAUAAAAGAAUUAUUAAAUUUAAACCUAAUAAGAAAUAGUAAUAGUCCAGCUUUUAUGGUUAGAAAGAGAGCAGAACAAGUUAGAGGAAAGGCUAGAAUGGUAAUAAAUUAUAAAGAACUAAAUAAAUACACAAAAUUUGAUGGAUAUUUUUUACCAAAUAAAGAAGUACUGAUAAAUCUUGUGAAAAAUAAAACUUAUUAUUCAAAAUUUGACUGUAAAUCAGGAUUUUGGCAGAUAAAAAUGGAAGAACAUAGUAUUCCUUAUACAACAUUUAGUACUCCAUAGGGUCAUUAUGAAUGGCUAGUAAUGUCUUUCGGAUUAAAAAAUGCCCCUCAGAUUUUCCAAAGUAGAAUGGAUAAAAUAUUUAAGGAUUAUAAAUACAUAAUAGUAUAUGUAGAUGAUAUAUUAAUAGCAUCAGAAACAUCAGAAAGAUUAGUGAAUUCCCAGAUAAAUUAGAGAAUAAACAGCAAAUACAAAAAUUUGUAGGUUGUUUAAAUUAUGCUGAAGGAUUCAUAAAAGACUUAGCAAAGAAAAGAAAUAUACUUCAAAAAUUACUUAGGAAAAAUAAUACCAGAGGAUGGAACAUAGAACAUACAGAGACUGUAAAAAGCUUAAAAGAAUAAUGUAAGAAUCUCCCUUCAUUAAGAUUACCAGAAGAAACUGAUAGACUAGUAGUACAAACCGAUGCAUCUGACCUGCAUUGGGGAGCUAUACUUAAAAUAGAUAUAAACGAAAUUUGUAGGUAUACUAGUGGUAUAUUUAACCAAGCACAGGUUAAUUACCCUGUACAUGAAAAAGAACUCCUUGCAAUAUAUAAAGGAAUUAAAAAGUUCUCAUUAUUUUUAUUACAAAAGCCAUUUAUUAUAGAAACAGAUAAUUCUCAAGUAAGCUCAUUAAUAAGCAAGAUUUUGCCAAAUGAACCCUAGUAUAGAAGAUUACAUAGAUGGCAAGCAUAUUUGUCAUAUUAUAAUUUCAAAAUUAUACACAUAAAGGGAACUAACAAUUUCCUUGCAGAUUUCUUAAGCAGGAACAUAGAAUUUGGAGAUAGAUCCAGAAAUAAAUAAGAUCCUCUCUGGAAUAGAUGUCGAAUUACAUAAACUGGCAACAGAAGCAUCAGACAUAAUUGAUGCCAUAAACUAUAUAAAAGAGGCUUUAGAAGCCCAUGAAAAGUGAGUACAUUUGUUAGUAUCAUAUAUAAACGAUCUGACAAAAGCACUCUCUAUAAACAAAGCCCAAUAAAUGUUGUGCCAAUAAACACCAGCCCGAAAGGUGAAGGAAGCAGUGGUGGACCCAUCAGAGAGGAUAAACCAAUCUCUGAUCCAGUUCCUGGUCCUAGCCAAACCAUAACCAUAAAAAUAGAUCCACUAAAAUCAAGCCCUACAAAAACAAAAAAGUUUAUCCAGAUAAACAGUCCCUAUACCGAAGAAGAGACAAAGCCUUUAAACCUAAAAGAAGAAGAGUAUAAACAGUUCUCUACAUGGGUAUACUCCACCUGUUCCCAUAACAGUAAUAUUUAUAAAGCACCUGGAAAAAAUAUGUAUCCUAGAAUGAUAGCCACAAAAGGAGCAGACCCACUCCUUGUUGGGAAAAUAGCCCGAUAUGGUUACCUAGACUUAGUAUAUCCUGACAUAGACCUCCGAGAAAUAGCCAGCUUGGAUGAAUUGUUAGUCAAAGAAGUGUCAAGAUUUGCCCAGAAAAAACCUAUAUACCUUAAAUUCUACACCAUAAGUCCAGAAUACCACCAAAAUAUAGAAUGCCAAGCCUUUUAUAUGAUAUCCGUAGGUCAUCUCACAAAAAAUUUUAAAGUAGAAGUAGGAACUGAAUACACAGAAGUUCCUCAGAUAAACAAAGCCUGGAUCCGAACCCGAAGAGCCAGAGGAAUAAAAGCCAUAUGGAGCAUAGCAAAGGAUUUGUAUAAAAGAAAUUUCAAAACCAUCAUCAGAUUCCAUAACUAUAUACUCGUGACAGCAGAAGAUAGCCAUACACAGUCAAACAUCCUGUUGGAGCUAAUAAAUGACAUAAGCACUAUGCGUUUCCCCAGUAGCAGUGAAACCAUGCAGCAGGCUUGCCAGCUCAUGGAGAUAAGCCAUCCAAACAAGUAAAAAGAAGUAACACGCGUAGCAGACAGAAGAGAUAGAAAGAUAAAAGAUGCUGAUAGAAAAUGCUCGUGGCAGACAAAAUAAAGAUGCUGAUAGAAGAUGCUCAUGGCAGAUAAAAUAAUAGAGAUGCCCGACAAGAUAAAAAGAUAAAGCAGAGGCACGUGAUUGCCAAAGAAAAAAGAAGAAUAAAACAAAGGCUCGUGAUAAUCAAAGAAGACACGUGGUUUGAAAUAAAAGAUGUAAAAAUGUAGUUACGUAAGGAAUGAUGUAAGAGCCCAAUAAAAAAGGGGCAGUAAUGUAAUUGUAAAAGAUAAACAAUUUUGAUAUAAAUAAAGGAGAAAGGAGAUAAGGCUCUCAGAGCUUAUCAUGACCAGAACUCAAUCACUUUCUACAGUUCAAAAAACUCUUUGAAACAAUGAACAGCUAAACCACUCCCCUGCUCUAAAUCCUAAAUCAAUACAUCACUGAUCAGAACAAAUAAACACCACAGAAAGGAAAGAGAAACCUAAAAUUAUUCAACGUUUCUAAGCACAACGAUCGAGAUCCAUACAGUAAGGCCGCUCGAGUCCGCUGAUCCCGUUGAGGCAAGGAGGUCGUUGAGGGAAUAAGGACAACCAGGCUGCAGGUCACUGGAGAAUGAUCGAAAGGUAAAGAAACAAGAAUAACUUAGGUAAUAAUUCUCAAUCUUUAUCGGUUGGUGGAAGUUUGUUGAUGAUUGAUGAUGAAGAGAUUUAUGGAGGAAUAGCAAAUUCUCAUAAGUGAAACUCUUUGAAUAAAUUGAUUCAACAUGAAUAACUAUAUUUUGUUAGGAAAAUCUAAAAAAUAUAUGGUAAACCCAACAACUAGAAUAACAUAUAAUAAUUAUAUGAUGAUAAUAGAUUUUAACUUAGGAUCAUUUAGACAGGGCUCAUAUCUUGUUAGUAAACAAGAACUUGUUAGAACAUAAGACUUACAAGUAGUAUAUAGUCUUAAUCUACCACAAGAAAUAAAACGAAAAAUUAUAAAUCAUAUCGAAAUAGAGAAUCUAAAACAUAACAUAAUCAUGUUAACUGUAGAACAAGCAAUUGACAUAGCCUUAGCAUAUAUGGAACAUGAAAGUCUAGGAAUAGGACCAUCUUACAUAACAGAUAUAGAAAAUUUAGAUAAUGAAGAACUGGACAUAUAACUUGAAAAAUAUAAAGAGGUAUAUAGGCGGGAAUCCAUCGACAUAAGUUCCAGAGGUGAACCCGAAUGGGCACUAGUCUGGUCCGCACUGAUGGUCAACAAGCCACGUACUUCUGUUUGAUUUAAUUUAAUAAUAAACACUAGAAUUAAAACUUGUAAAUCUAUUUUAAUAAUAUUGACAUUUUUACUUUCUCAGUAGCCGUUUUUAAUUUCAUUAUUUUUAUUUAAUUUUUAAUUUCAGUUAUUUUCUGUUUAAAUACACACACCCAAAAUGGUAUCAGAGCCAUAAGAGUCCGAAAAGAAUCAUAAAAAUUCUAGAACUAAUAUAUAAAAAAAUGGAUCCAAUAAAAGGCAUCUGUGACAACUUAUACAACUUAAAGGUAUUUGACAAAGAGGAAAUAAAAACUUUGAUAACAUCCAUAAAGACAGAGAAAAAUAACAUUAGAAAUAUUGAUCUUGAAUUAACCCAAGAAUUGCAAGAAAGAUCUAUAGACACCUUAGGAGGAGAAAUUUUGAUAGAAAAGAAAAUGAAAUUUAUAGAUAAAUUUAUAAAAUUUUUAGUAUACUGGCAUAAAAAAGAAGCAUUACCAUGAAUCAACAUGCAUUUACUGUAAUAAAUGAAUUAGCUGAAGCCAUAGAUCGUAUGAAUCUAGGAUGGGAAGAUAUAAUAACAACUUACAUAAAUUUAAUAAAUCAAAAAAUAGAUUUAUUAGAGCAAGAACGGAUAUGAGUAAUAAAUUUAGGACCAUAAAUUUAUUCUGAAUUUAUGGAUUUGUAUGAAUUCGAUAAUCAUAUACUAAUUAUUUAAAGAAAUAAAAAGAACUUUAGAAAGAAUGAAGAACAGGUGUAUAAUUGAUGGAAUGAGAUAAAUACAUCCAUAAUUAUAAAAAAAAUUAAAAAUAAAGGGACUCAUAUGAACUUUGCCAUGGAAGAAAAGACAAAAAACUUAAGUUACGUUUAACGUAACUUAGGAUCACCCCUGAACAAAAAGAUUGGAACAACUGGAUAUUGGGCUUCAAUAUUUUAUAUAUAUAUAUAUAUAUAUAUAUAUAUAAUCACAUAUACAAUUAAUAAAAAAAAUUUAACGGUAAUGUGAUCUAUAUGUUGUAGGGUAUUUUGGCUUCUAAUUUAAAUGUCAUGUACACGUCUGGGUGCCAAGGAUCCUUAUUUCUAGCAAUAUUUAACCCUCAACAGCAGGUGUCUUUAAAAUGGUAGCUUUUAUUUUUAGAGAAUCACUGUAUAUGGAUAGACAAUUAAUAGUUUCUUUCUUUCUUUCUUUUUCUUUUUUCCUUGCGUAAGUGAGGUGGCAAAAUGAUUAAACAAAUCAUAUUUGAAUUAAAUAAAAAAUGAAUUAGGUCCAAACUGUACUAAUUUAAAUUUGAUUCGUUAAUCCAACAAAGUGUUGGCUCCACUGGCAAUGGAGUCCCCUUAAGUGGCUUGACUGGGUUUGCUCACCAGUUCGAGUCGCAGGGAAGUCGCCUUUGUUGGGAGAAUCUGUGCCUCCCGGUUCGAGCGGGGACUUCUAAUCUGAGUUGUGGUACGGGCUUAAAGGUGCCUCCCACAGUUGGGGUCCUCCCCAGGAUACCUCGUGAUUAAUAUCAAAAAAAAAAAAAUUUGAUUAGUUAAUUAAAUGAAUGUUUUUGGUUUGGUUCGUUUCAUUAGUUUAGUAGAAUUAAUAAAUGAAUUGAAACAAAUCUACAUUCGCUUACUAUUUGUUCAUUCUAUAAUGAAUUCAUUACUAAUCAAAUUGAAUAUGAAUUUAUUUAUAAAAGUAUAAUUAAAAAUUCUACCAAGCUUUAACAGAGAAGAUUGGAACUUAAGAAAAGAGCAAACGAUAUAAUUUUUAAAAAAGACAGAAACAAAAAGAAAAAAAGAGAACCUUUCACUGUUCCUUCUGUGAAUCGUGGGGCUGGUAACAGCCUAAGAGAUUGAAUCGCUACUAAAAAUAGAGGACAGAGGCAAGACUGGUUUUUUGGUUUCUGCCGAAGAAGACAAAAUUAAUUAAAUAAAAUUUAGUCCAAGACAAUAAACUAACUACAAAAAUGAUUUAAAUAAUUCAUAGAUAAAGUACCAAAUUAAGCUUGCAAUUUUCACAUGUAGCAAAAUAACAUAUACAGUAUGAUGAAAUCUCUACACUUAAAUCGGCUGUCCAAACCAUUAAAUUAAAUCCUUUUUUCUAUUAGGACAAAACUAUGUAAAUUUGAGAAUUUCGGUUUAGCCUACUUUAGUCAAACUCAAUCUCUCAGCACAGUGACAAAGAAAAAGUAGUUGUUUAAGAAAAAAAAGUGAGAGUGACAUUGCAUAGACAUGACUGUGAAACGUCAUUUUCUUACCGGCCGUGGUCUUGUCUUUUAUUAUACUAGUAUAAUGGUUGAAUUGUACAUUUUUAACUAAGUUUUGAAAGUAUUGUUUCUAGAUUUAUUUCAAUGAGAAAAAAAAAAAACACAUUAUUACCCAAAUUACAAACUUUUGUGAUUCUGACUCUUGUUCUGUUGUAAACCCAGUUUUCUAAAAUAUCCUUGAGAAUACCAUUUUGAAGUUUAGUAAUUGAAAGAUCUUUAUAAGCAUUUGCAAAUGCAGCAUUUUAAAAUAUUGAACAGAUAGUUAAUGAUCAAACUGAUGAUCAAAGUUAAUGAUCAAACUGACACAUUUUGCUUUAGAGUUGUUCAGCUGAAUUUUCUUUUGAUUUAAUUAGUUAAUGAGAUUUCAGGUUUAUGAUCAAAUGUGAAAAUCUGGAAGAACGUAUAAACCAUUAUUUACACGAUGUAGAAAUAAACACAAAUCAAUGUCUUCUAAAGAAAACUCAUACCGAUAUUAUAAUUUAAAUAAUAGUUUUUCUACGACUCUACACAAAUUUCCCAACAGCAGCAGUUCUUACAACAAGGGAACAGAGAAGAUAAAACAAAUUAAUUCAAAUAAACAAAAUGAUCACGUGGCCAUGAUUGAGAAUAAAAUGAAAAUUAUUUGUUCGUUUUUCGUUUUUUGAAUGGGAACAGAGAUGAGACUCAGAAUCGAUUAAAUCAAACCCUAAAUUGAUUAAAAGAACAAUUCAUUUAAGCAUAACCCUAAAAUAACCUAAUUAGAGAGAGGUAAAAAGAUAAUCAAAAUUAAAAGAAAAAACAUCUAAUAUUCGAGAAGCAAAUGAAGCUGAAGAAUGUUGAAAUUCUUCGUCAUAAAUAUAAAAAUGAAUAGAAAAAUAAAAAGUUAUCAAUUUGACUAAAUAGUGAAAUUUCACUUAAUAGUCAAAACAUAGCUUUUUUUAAUGCUUAGAAAAAAAGUCAAAUAUAUUUAUUUUAUUUUUUGGAAAAUCAUCAAAUACGUUUUAAUCUUCCAUUAAUUGUCAUUUAUAUUUGAGGUAAGUCUAAAAUAAAGUGACAAAUAUAUUUAUUAAUUUAUAAAAACAUCAACUAAUAAAUGUCAAAUAUAUAAAUUGAAUAAAAUAUGCUAUAUGAGUUUUCAAAGUAAUUAUAUUAUAUUGAUUCAUAAAAAAUUAUCCUUAAUAAUAAUUUUUAUAAGGGGUAUUUUUGUAUAAAUUAUUUUACUAAAAGUUGAGUAUUCAAAGUAAUUUUUAAAAUACAAUUUGCGCCACCUAAAAAGUUAACUACUUUAGUACUUUCAAAUACAGUACAGAUUGCCAGAGAAUUUUGACUAUAUGAGUAAUUAACUAACGUGAACUUAAAAAUAUAUUACGUGUUAUUGCAUGGCAAGCCUUAUCAUAGAACAAAGUCUCAAAAAAGCUUACUUAUCACUAUAAUUCCCAUGUUCCCAUAGCAUAGGCCUCAAGUUCCUCCAAGCUUGGAAAUUUGAAUUAAUAGUUGAAAGCAUCGGUUCCCUCGGCAAUGCUCCACCUCCACUGCAAGUUUAGAUAAUUAAUUUCAUAUGCAAAAUGCGCUAGAAGGGCAUUCGUUAAAAAAAGCUACUGAUAGCAAAGCACAAUGUCGUAGAGAUUGGAGUUUCCUGCCUAAGUUGACUUGAAAUUAGGUGAAUGUCAGCGUUGGGCAAUAUUCUCAAUUUAUGGAGCAAUGACUGGUUACUUGGACCCAGUCCUUCCUCAGCACUCACAUCUUUCCCUUUUAACAUAUAUUUAAUUAAUCCAAGCGCUUACACAUGCAUUGCAGAUGUCAGCAUUGGGCAAUAAGUUUUUACCGAAGAACAUUUUAGAAAACCUCAUGUUAUUCAAUUAAACCAUUUCAUAUCUUCUGAAAUGUGCAAAAUCAAAAACAAAAAUCCGUAAAGGAGAUAGAUGCUACGUUAAAAUAACAUACUCACACUACUAGAAAAAUGGUCUUUUGUGACACUUGUCUUGUGACACUUUAUUAUAAAGUAUCAGUAAUUACAUGUAUUUUGGGCAUUUUCUGUGUUUAACAGAUAAGUAUCACAAAUUGCUAAUACUAUGGUGUCAGUAAAUUAAAUAUCACAGAUUCGUGACACUAAAGUAUUAGUAGUUAAAAAAAUAAAAUUUUAAUUUUGUAUCUAGUAAUAAUUGAACCGAAGACCCCUAAGCCAUAACCUUUUGAUUUUAACCGCUAUACCACUCAGCCACAAAUUGCAUUUUUGAACUAAUAAAUAAAUAAAUAUGAAAACUUAAAACCUAAAACCUAAAAAGUUUUGUUAAGUCAAAAAUCUAUAUCAUGGCCGCCGAAGCUUUCUUCUUUCUCUCUCCUUCCCUCUCUCUCGCUCUCUUUCUCUCUCGAACAAUGAUCUACCUUGAAAGCCGCCUCCGUCAACACCUUGAAAGCUGCCGUCCUUGAGCUAAAAUAUCCCUGAAAAGAACCCAGAAAAUGUUGUGAAGAAUUUGGGCAAAGCUAAGGUUUGAAAGUCUGAAUCAGUGUUGUGGUAACUCUUUGUCUCAUUCUCUAUUCUCAUUGUUUAAGUAUUUAUUUGUUAAUUGAUUGAUGUUUAUUGAGUGCAAAUGAGAGCUUGCACUUGUUUGGAAAUCUAGCCAUCUAGGGUUUUUGUUGCUUAUAAUCUAAUUUAUUGUUUAAUAAAAUAAAUAAAACGCAGCUUUAUUAUAGGUGGAAUUCAGUUUAUUAAGUGAAAGAAUGAUUACAAUCGGUGAUUAUGGAUUUAGGUUGAAUGCAAUUUGUUAAUUAAAAGAAUAAUGGCAAUCGACAAUCAUGGGUUUAGUAUGUAUUACAUAUUUCGUUUAAUGGUGUGUAUGAAAACCCAAAAACUAAAAUUUUCUUAAGUAAAAAUCUCAUCUCUCCCUCACGACCUAUAAGCCCAUCACUCUCUCUCUCUCUCUCUCUCCCCUCUUUCUAGCUAACAACCCAAAACUUAUUGUGAAACCGCCAUAUCAAUCGUUCAAAACUCAUUAGUUAGCUGGUUAUUGUGAAAAGUAAGGUUAUUGUUUGCUUUUAUGUCUAAUUUUACUGUAAACAUGGGGAUUGAUGAUAUUCGAGUUGCUGGACACUUGAUUUUGAGGUGAAAGAUUAAUUAAUAGUUUACGAAAUUAUGCUGAAAAUUUGAGGAUUGAUAGAUUGUUGUUGUGAACUUGGUUGUUUCCGAACUUGACUAAAUGACUUUCAAUUGAUUUGAAAGUUUGAUUAAACUAAGUUUAAAUGAGAACAUUUUAGUUCUGGAAAUUUUGGAAUGAAUUGGGUUUAUAUUUGAUUUUGAAUGGAUUUCUCAAUAUGGUUGGUUGUUGUCCAAUUUUAUUAGAAAUUACAUAUGUACCAUGUUUGAUAUUGCAAACGUAUAAUCUAACAGAGUUAGAAUAAGCUGAAAUUCGGAUAAACUACACUUCUAUUUGCAUACUUCGAAUAUGGAAAAUUUUAUUUUGAUUGAACUUGUAAUUUAUUUUUAAUGAUUUUUCAAACUCUGCUGCCUUUGCAGUAACUUAUUUUGACAGAAUUGUUCAUUAAUCUUUGAUCCUAUCAAACACCAGCCUAAUGAUAUCGGAAUAGCCUCAAAUUUUAAUAUGUUGUUGACUUAUAUGUCCACUUAAAAUCUGGAAAGUAUCAUUCUGAUAUAUUUAGUAUUUUAAAUUUAAUAAAAAUUCAAACACCUGCUGCUACUGUUACAGUUUCAUAUGCAAUUUUAACUUAUAUAGUUUUAUCAUGUGAGAAGCAAAUGUAGAGUUGUCCAAAUGACUUGGAAAUUUUGUUUGUGGUGUAUUGACAUGUCUAAUUAUGUUUUGUAAGUUUCAUAGCAUUCCAAAUUGAAUUAAAGAAAAUCUUAAAUUCAAGUUGUCAAUGUUUCCUAUUAAAUCUAAUUAGUGAUAAAUCUACUAACUUGCAGUACUUUUCAAGAAAACAAAUGUGUCAACACUGUGAAUUGCAAUGGGAGAAGAAAGUACCAAAGGCAUAAAUCUUUUUUCAUUAUAUUUGGGACUAUUCUUAAAGGUUAGUCUUUUCCUUUUUUUUUUCUUUUUUAUUUAAGGUAAUUAUAUUCAUUUUAAUUUUAAUUACAAUCAAUUUGGCGCUUUUAGACAACUCGCACCAACCAAUCCAACAAAAAAUGAAGAUAAUAUUUUUGAAAUGCAUUCAGUUUUUGACAAUAGCAAAAAGAAAAAGGAAAAAUGAUACUAGUUUAGGCUUUAGGAAAUUUGCAUCAUCAUUCUUGCAAUGCAGCAGCUGCCUCUAUCUCGGUGCUCUCGGAGAAGUAAUCUUGCUUAAUUUUGCGUGAUAAGCCCGUCCUAGCCAUUGCAAAAUUGACACUAAAAAGGUUCCAGUUUUUCAUACGGUAGUUUGAAAAGUCUGCACUGUUUGCUAUGCUGAUGCCCCAUUUGAAUGUUGGAGCCCAAAAAUGAAUGGUUUUAGGACCAGCCGGGUGGUUCCAGAAAGCUAGGAGCUUGUUAGCUAUUCUUUUUAAUUGAACUAAUUUAACUUAAAUAUUAGCCCGAUUAUUGAUUUCUAUGGUUUGCGAUUGAUUUGAGUUUGACAAUUUUGUUUUGUGUUGGUUUGAGUUUGACAUCCUAGUUUAAGACUUUGACGGCUUCCAAGAAAUGAUUUUGGAUGAUGAGCAUAGGAGUAAUAGUUUGAAAAUUAAUUUACUGUAUCAAAUAUAUACUUAGGUGGUGUUUGUUGUUUUGUCUGAAAUCUGAAUAGACCUGAAUUAGUAUAAAUUCUGAAUAGAUCUGAAUAUCUAAAUCUAAAUAAUAUGUUUGUUUUUUCGUCUAAAUCUCAGAAAAUAAGUACUAAGUUGUUUGUUUUUUUCAACUUAAAAAGCUGAAAAUAUGUACUUUUACAUUUGUAUCCUUAUUAAAUUUGAAUGUCAAAUAAAUAAUAUAUUAAAUACCACAAUAUUUUAACAUUUAUAAGUAAAACUAUAUUCAAGUGAAUACAUAAUUAUUUUGGAAUUUUAAUAAAUAAAAUACUGUAAAUUUCAAAUUUUAUCGUAUGUAAUAUAAGAAAGAAAAAACAUGGUUAUUUUUAUGUGGGGUAAAUGUCUAUGAGUGAGUUUUGGGAUAGACAUGAAAAAUAAAUUAUAAAGCAUGUAUAUUUUUUAUAUUAAAAAGUAAUUGACUUAAUUCAAAUUUCUCGAUUAAGUAAAAAGCCAAAAAAAUUGGCUUAUUUUAUUAAUUCAAAAUUAUCUAAAAAAUCUCAUUAAGUUAUAAAAACAAACACCUCUAAUUAACUUAAUUAAUUAAUUUAAGUCACUUUUAAGUCAUUAAGUUAAAAAAUAAACGCCACCUUAGUGUAGCAUAUUAAUUUUAAGAACUAUGGAUUAUUCCAUGAAUAUUCUAGUAAAUGGUUAUGUUAUAUAUGCAUGUCUUAAUAUAUAAUACUUAUAUUUUAAAGUUUGUUUUUUUUUUUUCCUUUCUAGGUUUAGGAAAAAUGUUUAAAGUGAUUUUGGGUUAUGAUGUCAAUCAAGUUAAAGCAACAUUACUUGUGAGUGGAAAUAUAUAAUGAUUAUAUUUUUAUUCUAUUUUUUUUUAUCUUCUUAAAGUUUUAUAAUUAGGCAAAAUUAAUGAAUACUUAAUUGCAAUUUAGGGUGAUAUUCUUUAAAUGGUUCACAUGAAUAGAUUUAAGUAGUACAAUAAAUUCAUACUCACUUUAUAAAGGCUUAACUAAGUUUGCAAAUAUUAUUUUUUUUAGUAGUAAUAAUUUUGGAUCGAACUCUCAAAUUAUUGAAAUAUUUUAUGUCUAAAUUUUAUUAUGCCUAAUAUAAAUAUGGAGAUUCAUAGUUAUUUUAUGCCCAGUUUAAGGAAACUACAGUUUGAGGACUUAUUUUUGCCUUGUUAAAUAAGCUUUUAGAAUGAAUAAAUUGAGGAAAUGAGUGGUGAUUUAUUUAUAAUAGAGCAUUUGUGAUAGCUUUUAACUAUGCACAAAAAUCAUUUGGUAUAUGUAGAUAGAGUAACAUGCUUGUGCUGAAAGUAGAUAUUACAUUGAAAACUUUUUGUCUGCUAUAGUUUGCUAUAUAUAUAACCUUUACCAAAGAGAAUAAUUGAGUUUAUUUAUAAAUAGCUUAUGAGUAUUUUUUCUUUCGAACAAAAUAAUUUUAUUUCUGUUAAUUGUUGUUUCUCUAAUGGCUGGAUAUUGGCAGCUAAUUUUUUUUUUUCUUUUCCAUGUAUUCAUAUGCAGAUUUGAUCAAUAUGUUUGAAGUGUUUAUUCCUCAACUUCACUUGUAUCCUAACCCAUACAGUCUAUUGAAUGGAGAAGCUGCUGGUGUGAUAACGCAAUUAUACUACCCAUAUUCAAAGAGUGAAAGGCAGUCAUCCUUCUCAAUUUAGCUUCUAGAUUUAUUAAAUUUAGCCACAAAUAGUAGGCAUUUGAUUGGAUGGUAGAAAUUUUUAUGUAUUGAAUUUGGAUUAUUUAGUUAUGAGAGUAGGAUAUCUCAUAUUUUGGUUAUUGAAGUUUUGGAAUUUGUAAUAUAUACUAAUAAUAUUUAAAUGUGAAAUGAAAGAUUUUGUGAUAUAAAUCAAUUUCUUUUUGUUAUUUUGUGGUGCCUUUUAAUUUUACCAAUAAAUCAAUAGGCAAUGAUCCAAUUCAAUUUAUUAUUUUUUUAAAAUAAAUUAACUAGUAAUACCAUGGUAACAGUAAUCAUAGACACUAAUAAAAUAUUAAUAACUACUAACACUAUGGUGUCAUAAUAUCGGUGGUACUGUAGUAAUACUAAUCACUGACACCACUUACAAGUGUCACUAUUUUUGACUCCCAGAUUACUGACACAAUUAACAAGUGUCAGUGAAAGUAAUUUUUGACACUAUUCUAAAGUCAGUAAAGACUAUUUUUCUAAUAAUGUCAAUUUGGAAACUAACAUACUUAAUUUAGAAAUUAACUGUAUAAAUUUUCAAUCUUCAAAAUAUGGGGGCAUGAAAAACUCAAUAGUACAAAAUACUAGUUCAGCCUAAGAAAGCAAAUCUUGUAUAAAAGCAUUUAGUCUGUUAGGCCCCUUUUCCUGAACUGCAUGCAUAAUCACUUGUUUCAUUGUAUAAGGUUCUGAAUUCAUAAGACUUGAUGAAGAGACAACAAAAGUCAGACCACAUAGCAUGAAAAUCAAAUAAACUUCAAUUAAAAAACUAAAAAAAUGCAGCAAAAAUAUUCAUGCCAAAAUUACAAUUAGGAAAAGACAGGAAAACUAACUCCAAUUCUUCUUGCUUGAUCCUCCAGUUCUUGCAGAUAGGCAGCCCCCACCCACAAAAUUCUAUUUCUGCUCAGCCUACUUAAAUAAAAACCUACACGGAAUUAUGGAAAUAUCAGGUCAUAAAAUGAUUCAUAAGAUUAUAUCCACAGUAGCAGCAACAAGGCUUCAUUGAAACAGAACUCCAAUAGAGAUUGCAAUGCAAGAUAGUGUUUGGAUUGUAUUAAUUUUCAUACCUCAUAUUUGACUAAUAAACUAGUUCAAGCAUUUCAACAAAUAACUCAAAGAACUAUGGGGUAGGGGUGGGCAAAUUAUCCGACCCGACCAGAUCCGAUCCGACCCGAUUCGAAAAAAUUCAGGUUCGGAUUGGAUCGGGUGGUCAACAAAACCCGAUCGGGUGAAAUUGUCUCAACCCGAUCGGAUCAUGAUCGAAUCGGGUGAAACCCAAUCUGAUCCGAAAACCCGAUCGGGUUGAGACAAAAAAAAAAAACUUGGGCAAAAAUUAUAGAUUUACACUUACAGAAUCACACAGACACACACAUGACACACUCACAUCUCACACGAAUACAGGCACUGAAUUAGUAACUCACUCUCACAGAAACAGAAUACAGAUCACAGUACAGAGUACAAACUCACGGAUUUACAGUAAUUCACAAUUCAAUUCAGUAAUUCACAUUUCACAAAGUAUUCACCGCAACAAAACAAUUCAGGAAUUCACUCCAAACUAUUCACCGCAACAAAAGUUACAAAACAAUUCAGUAAUUCACCAAGAAAACAACACAAACGAAGCAAAGUAACAAGUAACAACUCACAGUCACAAACCCUCACUCACGGUAUCACUAUCACAAUUCACAAACCCUCACUGUCACACACAAAUCACUGAAACCAGCAGCCGUCAAGCACAAGCAGGCAGCAGCCAAACCCACAGUCCCACACUCAUUCAUGCCUCACGGAGUCACGGCCUUCGUCGCUCACCACCACACGCAGCAAACACACACGCACAGUUCACGGAGCUAGCUUCAACCGACCACCACACGCAGCCAACAACCACUUCCGAGAACGACCCCAACCGAAGCCGAAGCUUAUUCGCGAAGAUCGUGACCCGAUCUACAGAUCUGCUGCAACCAAGCGCCGGAUCCAUGCCUUGAAUCCUCCACUCCACCAUAACUCAGUCUGAUUGAAGAUCCACCCAGCAAGCUGCCUCCAAUCCACUCGAGUCUCCACCAUUGGCAUCCACGGGUCACGGCUGUUGAGUGUUGACAUCCAGCCACCACACCCAUUCAUGGUCACGCCUCACGGGUCACGGAUCUAGCCUCCAGUCUCAAAAGGUCUCUGACUCUCUUCACUCUCUGUUUUGGAAUUGGAAGUUGGAAAACUUGGAAGUUUGGAAUUGGAACUUGAAGGCUUAAAGCCCGAAUCAGCAAGACAGCAAAUCCAACUUUUAAAGUUAUUUAAGAGAUGGUAUUAGUAUAUAUUAUAUAAUUAUAUAUGCAUUAAUGAUUAAUUAUAAUUUUUAUUUGUUAUAUGUUAUAUGAGAAAUGUUAAUUGUAACUUUGUAUGUUAAUUAUAUAUAAUUAUAUAUUGUUAAAUUUUAUCAAUAAAAUGAAAAUAAUUUGGCAUUAAUUUUCUGUUAUUAAUUAAUAAUUGAUUUUUUGUAUGAAUAGUAAUGUUAGAUUAAAAAUUAAAAUUAAAUAUUAUGUUACAAUAUAAAUUAUAAUUAUAUAUGUCAUAUGAUAUGUGUAUUUGUACAAUAGUUUCAACUUCAACAAAAUUAAUGUGGAUUCCAGUCCACUGAUUGAGUUCUGCCAUUUGGUAGAGGGUUUUUUUUUUUGUGAUUUAUUAUAUUUUAAUAUUAGAUUUAAUGGGUUUUAUCUUUUACUAUAAGACAUUAAGAUUUAUUAUUGUGCUACAUAGCAAGUCGUUAAGGUUUUCUUUGAAUUUUGAACAAACAUGACCAUAGGAUAAGAUUAAAAUUUGUAAAAAAAUAAUUCAUUUUUUUAUUGUGAAAAACUUUUGGACAGGAGAAAUUCUAGCGUGAUGUUUUGGGUCUUCAUAAUCUAAUAUGAAACCACUAACAAAUAAUAUUUUAACAUAUGUACAUAAUUUCUAAAUUUAUAAGUUAUUUAAUUAAAAGUCAUACAAUUUCUUUUUCCUCCCUUUCACUCUCUUCCCUCUAAUUAAAGAUAAUUAAUGGAGUAACUCAAUUAAAGUUACGUUUAAUCCCCAAUUGCCAAAUUGCCAAAUUAAUUAAUUAUAACCUGAAUUGACCCGAAUUGAUCCGAAUAACCCGAAUUUAAUCCGAACCCGAAUUAACCCGAAUCCGAUCCGAUUACACCCGACCCGAAUUAACCCGAAUUCAUCCGAAUGACCCGAAUUAACCCGCAUCCAAUCCGAUCCGAACUCCACCCGACUUUUUAACCCGAUCCAAUCCGAUCCGAAUUAAAUUCGGAUAGGAUCGGAUCGGGUUAUAAGUUCGGGUGGAGUUCAGAUCGAUUUUUAUCCAACCCGACCAACCCGAAACCCGAUCGGAUUGAUCCGAAUCCGACCCGAACUCGAUUUUUCCCACCCCUACUAUGGGGUUUGAUAAGACAUAGCUCCACUCUUUUGAGAAUUACCAUAUCUAUAUAGGUUAAGCAUUAUAAUUUUGUUUCACAUGAACUCGAAGAUCCAAAUUCAUCAUUACCUAAAAAUAAAAGAGCACAAAUAAAAACCAAAUGAAGCAUAAAGAAAGUAAAGGAGAAGAAAUUAAUAUCAAUAUUCUGGCACAUGUAAUUAACAAAUGUAAUUACCCUCAGAAUAUGGCAUUACGCAUCUCCAAGAGAACUGUUCUAUGAAUUUUGUAUAUCUCGAAAUGUUCUAUGAAUUUUUUGAGGAUAAAGCUCCCUUUUAGAAAUGAGGAUCGCCUGUAGGCAUGACCCCACAAUCGAGUCAGGACGAUUGAAGUUAUAGUUCAUCCCUCUGAUAAAGAUGGAGAUAAAGUUAUAAAACUGCAUGAGAACAUAAAAGCAAGUGAUUAGCAGCAGUCACGGUAGUCAAGAAAAGGAAAGAUAACUAAGAUAAAGAUGAAGCUUUUAGAGGAACAUGUCCAUUGUAAUGGAGCUUUAAAUCAUUUAAUUCAUGCUUUAAUCAUAUAAUACAAUAUACAAACAUCAUUUAAUCAUGUUACAGAUAAAUUUUGCAAAUCCACAAUAAUACACAUGCCUUCAACAUGGAACGUGUCCCUUCUCACUUAAGGGAUUCCACAGCUUCGUUGAUGUUAAAAUUAGAGCAUAGUGCGAGUUAAAUUACCAGCACCCAUAGCCUCUGUCAUAUUAGUACUAUAGAUCUCGGAGUUUUCCUUCUUAACUAAAGAGUUAUUAAAUGUCUCCUUACUAAACGUGGAACCAGUAAUUGCCUGAAAAUAAAUUUCAUCAGCACAUUUCCACAAGUGAAUGUUGUGACAUAAAAUAAAGGAGUGAGUUGUAAAGUAGAUUCCUUUGUGAUAAGGUUUAGUGUGAGUGUGAUAUAAAGUAAAGGAGUGAGUUGUAAAGUAGAUUCCUUUGUGAUAAGGUUUAAUAAUGUCUACAGUAUGUAAUAGUGGUUCCCUUGUGCCUAUAAAAGGGAACCCUUGGUUUGUUGAUAGGCACCGAGUCUUGGAGUGCAAUAUUGUAUUAUAAAUCUCUCAUUGUAUUUGUAUUCGUAUGUAUUAUGUACCAUCCUUAGAGAUAAGGAUAAGAGUGUGAGUGUGACAUAAAGUAAAGGAGUGAGUUGUAAAGUAGAUUCCUUUGUGAUAAGGUUUAGUGUGAGUGUGACAUUAAGUAAAGGAGUGAGUUGUAAAGUAGAUUCCUUUGUGAUAAGGUUUAAUAAUGUCUACAGUAUGUAAUAGUGGUUCCCUUGUGCCUAUAAAAGGGAACCCUUGGUUUGUUGAUAGGCAUCGAGUCUUGGAGUGCAAUAUUGUAUUGUAAAUCUCUCAUUCUUCUUAAUGAAAGUAACCUUCCUCUGUUUGCUUUAAAACAAAUUUUUUGGUAUCAGAGCCAUAUUUCCCAAAAGGAAACCCCUGGGUGUGCAACAAUACUAUGCUCUGUGGUUGCCGAAAUACUUCGAAUCCUCCACAUCAGAGAGUUGUUGGAUACUAGUCUGCCUGUCUAAACUUUCCAUACUAAAACACUACAGAGUAAAUUCUGUAAGGUGUGGCGCCCCCUUGAGAAGGCCAAGAAGUACCGUGUUUUAGGGCUUAUCACCCCAAGGAAAACCCUCUGAUUUCUUUUAGCCAUGGAAACCCAAAACAGUAACAGAUCCAGUAACCAACCAAUUUCUGACCAACCACCUACUUCGGCCAUCAGAGUACCAACUGAUAGUUCACCCUCUGUAAACUUUCAUUAUGAAACCCAAGAGGAUGAAAAUAGUGAGAGAGCGGUUCAGUCCUUCAGACUUGAUCUGUUAGAUCCUUACAGAUACUACCAUAUUAGCCCUACUCUUAACCACCUAAGAGCCAUAAUCCCCAUAAGACAACCUAAGCUAAAAACCAUCUACAAAUCCUCUGAAAUCACUGUCCAGUCAAUCUCCUCAAGCUUAAAAGAAACAUACCUUCCCAUAAUCUCUUCCAGCGAGAUUACAAGGUAUAAACUUCAGGGAUACAAGGGACUACACCUUGGAGCAAUCCAGAUAGGAAUACAACCCUUAUUCCUAGUUGGAAAAGAUAUCACAUGUUUCAUUGCCAUUUUAGACACCAGAUGGCAAACUUUUGAAAAGGCUUUAAUUACUGCUGUUGAAGCAGGACUCAACCAAGGCCAUGUUGUUCUCCAAGUUGAGCCAAAUUUUACCCUUGAUAUACACAAGUCAUCCCUCACAGAUGCCAUUAAGGUAUUAAUUCAGGUCAAUGGUCUAACCAUGAAACCUGAUGAAUCUGCCUUGGCAAUCCACCACACUAUGACCUAUAAAGUCCAAACCCAUCUGUUCUCUAUGAGUAGCUCUGGCAGGCCUAUUACCAGAUUUCUUGCUGGUGAUGGCAGAGUCUUUCAACCCAGGACUUAUAGGCAAAACCAACUCAUUUUUCCACCACAAUGGAUUAAUGAGUAUGAGAAAAACAACAGGCCUCAACAAAUCCAUGAGGUCCCAAAGAUAAGCAGGCUACAAGAAGGAAGAGUAUCAGUCUCUUUCCCCACAGAGACUAAAGCUCUCUAUCCAUGUGAAAAAUGCCAGCUUAAAGGAAAGCAUCCCUCCUUGUGCACACAUAUGCCAAGAAGAACUACCUCCUGCAGAAUCAUGGGUCCAGUAAACAUGAUUACCACUCCGGAUCUUGAUAAUGAGUUCAUAAAAGAUAUCCCCGAAGGAAUGUAUGCUGCUAAAUGGGUAAUACAGAAAACUAACCCAACAGAGUUCGGCCCAAUUGAGAAGGCAAUCAACUAGUCAAACAUCAAUGCUGUGGAACAAAACCAAGCCUUGGGAGACAUCAUGGUCACUCAACAGCAGAUUCUUGCUGACUUAGCUGUAAUAAGAAAACAGCUAAAGAAAAACAAAAAACAGCAUAAAAUGUCCACCCAACAGUUCUCUCAACUACAUGAAAGUGCCUCCAGGUCAGUCAACAUGAUUGUGAUGACCGGAGCAGCAGACGAAGAUGAAAUGAGAAGGACAAGGGAGAGUUAUCAACGACCAAAGGUGUCCAGGCACUGGAAAAGCAAGCCUACAAAACCAGGGCACAUCUGGGAGGAAAAUGCAUCUGGGAAUUGCCAGAAAGCAUUUUGGAGAAGCUAUGCUCCUCCUCCUCAAUACCCAUGGCCCCAGAAGGCUACUGGGUGGGAUGAGGAAACAGAUACUGAUGAUAGCUCAAGCAUCUCUUCUACGGAGAACCCUCCAAUUCCUAUUCUAAUGCAGAGAGCUAAUCCUACAAAUCCAUUUUAUGUGGAUACACGUACCAGAUUUGCAGCUUCAACAACAACACUUGGUCAAACCUCUGAUCCUACAAGGCAAACUCAAAACCCAUCAGGGACAACACAAUUCACUGCCCCUGAAUUCACAGAACCAGCAGCUAUAGAAGCCUCCUCCAAUCCGGCUGAUGCACCUACUGAUCGUGCCCCGCAUAUAGAUGAAGUCAAUCAAGGAGAAGAAUGGGAAACCCGAGUACAACUCGGACAUUCUACAACCGGAAAGAUGUUCUAGAACAUUGAUGGAAUGAAGCCUAAAGAAAGGCUGGCUUAUUUUGAGAAAAUGGUAGCAUGGUAUGAAGGAGAAUGUCAAAGAGCCCCCCAGUUGAGCAGAAGAUCAGCCGCAUUACGGCUGGUAGCAGGAUUUGUUGGAUCGCUAAGACGAUGGUGGGGACGAAAGCUUAUUGGUGAGCAACGACAAUUCAUUCUCAGCAGAGAAGAUCCUUGUGGAAGCCUAGUUGAAAAUCUAUCCUUGGAUUUUCUAGGCCAUUUCACAAGAGAAGAAGAGGUUGCUGAAAAGUAAUUUCUCCAAAACAAGUGUUGUGAUGUUCGGAAAAUGGAAGAGUACUACCUGGAGCAAGAAAGGUUGUACUACAUCUUUGACAAACAAUCCGAUACCAUACACAGGACAUUUGUGCUAAACAUGCCAGGCCCAGUUGCAGAAAUGAUGGAGGCCAAAUUCAAAGCUGAUGCAAUUACUGAUUUAGCACAGCUCAGCCUUGCCCAGCUCUACCAGAUUGCAAUGGAGCUUAUUCAAAGCCACUGCAGAUCUCAAGAUUUACGAAGACACAUGAAGCAGAUUGAGAAAUCCUCUCUGCAAAAAUUCUGUAAUGAGGAACCAAACAAAUUUGGUUGCCAACAUACAGACAAAAUGUGCUCUUGUAAUCCUGGCAGACAAAACAAAGCAAAACGCCCCUGGAAACCAUACAAAGGGAAAAAAUACCGUUUCAUCAAAAAAUGGAAACACAAGAAAGGCUCUGGCAGAUGUUUCAUCUGUGGCAAGAAAGGCCACUAUGCUAAACAAUGUAAAUCCAAAAAGAAACUCCCAGCCAAACUCAUCCAGCUGAUCUAGCAAGAUGAUUUUGAUGACGACAUUUAUACCUGGUCCGAUAGCCCCUUUGGUGCUGUCUAUACUCUUAAUGAAUAUCCUCUUUCUGAUUCUGAGGAUACUGCUUCUACAACGGAUGGUGAUUCCCCCGAUGAUGAUGAUGAUGACACUGUUCUCACUAUUCGAGAACCUCUACAAGUUACUUCUGCCAUACAACGGUCUUCCCACUUCCGACCACACAUCAAAGUCAUCCUCAAUCCCUCUGAAGAUAGCCAGGUAGCUCUUACUGCUCUCAUUGACACAGGAGCUAUGUGCUCAUUUAUCCGAGAAGCCUGUGUUCCCCGAUAAUUCGAUGUUCCUACUAAGGUUUCUUUCGGAUCCGCCAGUGGCAGGGAUUUCUACAGCAAAAAGGUUACUCGUCCUAUCGAGAUCCAACCUUUUAUGAUCCAGCAUGGAUUAUUUGCCUUUGACUAUUCCGGCGAAGAUAUCCUCCUUGGCACUGACUUUCUCCGUCUGGUUGCCCCUUUUGCCUUCUUUCCUGAAGAAUUCUCUUACACCAUUCGCAAUCCAGUCAAUGGUUCUCAGCAUACUUUUCAAGUUCCUUGGGUUGAAAAGCAAUCCAUUUUUGGAGAGGGUGGAAAACUAACAAACUACCCAAUCCAUAAAUAUGAAACCCAAAUUAAGGAACUCCUUGAAUGCUGUGCCGAAGUACCAAACCAGUUCUGGGCUAGAGAACAAUACUUUGUGUCUCUACCAUAUAAAGAUGGAUGGACCAUGCCUCACUAGACAGCCUCUCAUCCAGGCAUGCCCCAUGACGAAGAAUUGUGCAAAUCAGAGAUCCAGGCCCUUAUGGAUCUAAAGCUUAUCAGGCCCUCUAAGUCUCAUUGGGCCAGCCCAGGAUUUUAUGUCAAUAAGCAUUCAGAAAAAAUACGUGGAAAGAAGCGAUUGGUGAUAGACUACCGAAAGCUAAAUGAUUGCUUGCAAGACAUAAGGUACCCGAUUCCACGGAGGACGCAUCUUUUAAAACGCAUUGCUGGAGCAAAGGUGUUCUCAAAGUUUGACAUGAAGUCAGGCUUUUGGCAAAUUGGAAUCAAGGAAGAAGACAGACACAAGACAGCAUUUGUGGUCCCCCAUGGGCAUUAUGAAUAGAACGUGAUGCCUUUCGGCCUAAAGAAUGCACCGUCAGAAUUCCAAAAUAGAAUGGAUGAGGUGUACAAAUCCAUUUCAGAAUUCUGCCUUAUCUACAUCGAUGAUGCCCUUAUCUUCAGCAACAGUGAGGAAGAACAUGUUGAACACCUGUCUCAAUUCAAAGCUCUUACCUAUAAACAUGGGUUGGCUUUGUCAGAACCAAAGAUGAAGAUAGGACUUGAUGAGGUAGACUUUUUGGGACUACACAUCAAACAGGGAUUCAUCAUUCCUCAGCCACAUAUUGCUGAAAAAAUAUCCCAGUUCCCAGACCAGCUGUCAACCGGAAAGCAAAUCCAACAAUUCCUCGGGAUAAUCAAUUAUGCAGCAGACCAUGUGCAGAACUUGUCAAAGAUGACGAGUCAGAUAUCAAAGCACUUAAAGAAAGGGUGCCCCACAAUGGUCGGAAGAAGCGACAAAGGCUGUGACAGACUUAAAGCAAAAGUGCCAGUCACUUCCACCAUUAAAGAUACCUGACAAAGGACAGCUCAUCUUACAGACAGAUGCUAGUGACCAUUAUUGGGGAGCACUAUUGAUAGAGGAAUCCGAGGGAAACAAGAGAGUCUGUGGCUAUAAAUCUGGCCAGUUCAACGACACUCAAAGCCACUACCCAUCCUCAAAGAAAGAAGUCUUAGCAGUCACUAAAGGGAUCAAGAAGUUUCAAUUCUUUCUCUCUCUAACCCCCUUUGUGAUUGAAACAGAUUACAAGUACCUCCUGGGAUUGAUCAGAAGAAAAUAAGGAGAAAUCCCAGAUCCACAACUAGCAAGGUGGUCCGAAUCUCUCUCGAGAUUUAAGUUCGAAGUCAGACACAUCAAAGGAGAAUCCAAUACUGUAGCGGAUUUCCUUUCUAGACCAAUCACCAUGAUCACAAGAAGAAGCCUCCCGAGACGAUGGGAAGAAGGCAGCUCCAGUGCUCAUGAAAACAUAGCACACUUUCUCAAAUAUCUCAAUACUUUUAUUGCAUGGCUUCCUUCUGAAGUACAGGAAGACAUCUUUGAGAAGAUCAUCUCUCACAGGAGAGAUCCGGAAGAUCAGGCUCUGACAUGGCGGGUAUGGCAGCUCAUGGCCAUGCAAGAACACAGACCUGCCCAUAACAAGAAGUGCCAAAGAGCCUUCGAUCCGCAUCCAAACCCGGACCAGAUGCAUGAAACUAUCUUCAAGGUUGGUUGCACUUUUCACUAUGUGAUAGAUGAGAACUCCAAUUGGGGUCAUUAUGUCAUUUGCGACAUAACCCCUCAAGCUUACUGUUGAGUGUUAGAAAAUGCAUAUUUAUAAAGGAGAAAACCAUCAUUUUACAUUUCAAGUCUUACUUACAACCCUUACUUUUAUGUAUUUAACCUUCUUGUGAUGUAAUUACGUGUGUGUUAUUUUAAUUAAGUAUUUUAUGUAUUUUAGGGGCAUUAUAGUCAUUUCACAAUAAAGGAGAGAUCAGACGGCAAAACGGACAUCACUUUUGAACUCAGGACGGUCGAAAACCUUAGGAGGAGCAUAAAAGGAAAAAUGGCACUAUUCACAUGUACGGUACUAUUCACGUAUACGGUACUGUCUACGUUACUGUUCACGACACUGUUUACAUAGAUGGAUCGAUGACGUGGCAUUGACCGAUGAUGUGGCAUUGACUGAUGAGGUGUCACGAUCCUGUUGGACUAAACUUCUUAUGUACUGUUGAUGGUGACGUGGCAGCAUAUCAGUGGACGAAAAAUCUCGCGUACGGUGCAUGCAUCACACAGAAUUAUUUUCAACCAAACCGCAUUACUGUUCAUCUGGGUCAAACCGUGUUACUAUUCAUCCACGUGGUCAAACCGUGGACUGUUGACUGAUGACGUGGCGCAAUCCUGAGCGUCCAAACUGUUUUUAAUCCGAUGGCCAUGAUUUACUCCAUGUAUCUAUAAAAAGGGGGCCUCUCCCCCCUAAUUUGAUAUCUAUGAAUCCAUUUUUGGGAUCCAUUUUCUGUAAUUCUCUCUCCAUCUUGUAUUUUCUAUGUAUUUUAAUAAAUUCUCAUUUUGCCCCUAGUUCAAUUAUGAGUAGCUAAUUUUCUUUCAAGCUUGGGUUGAAGGUGAAGUCUCAACAUGUGUCAUGGGCUUAAUUUGGUAAAUUUAUUUUCUCUUCCCCUCUAGUUUUUGUGGAUGUUUUGACUUCUCAUCGACAAAUAAUAAUAAUCUUGUCUAGAUACCGCCUUGGUUACACCGGCUCUCUAGUAUAAGGUUAUUAUUAUUUGGCACGAUAAGCCCUUAGCACCAUAUUGAUUAGAGCAUGGUUCAUGAGGUGUGGAUUCCCCCUCAUGAUUUAAUUGGCAUUAAUACGGAUUAUUUAGCCCAUGAUGCAUGUUGAUACGGAUCCAGAUACCCAAGUACGUCAUUUCAAUACAUUUCUCUUCAAUUUAUUCUUGCCAUUUCAAUUCCAAUUUCAGCAUUUAUUCUCGCCAUUUUAAUUUAAGUUUUAGCAUAUUCCAAAUCAUUUCCACUACAGAUCCAAUCAACCAUUUGCAAAAUUAAUUCUAUACACAAUUAAAAUCCACCUCCUCGUGGGAUCGACACUCGUCACCAUUGAUCUAUACUACAAUAGAUUCGUGCACUUGCGAGUACAUUAAAAUUUGCACAACAAGUUUUUGGCGCCGUUGCCGGGGAGGUAAGUAAUUUUAAUUCAUAGAUUUAAUUUUUGUGAAUAAUUUCAUUUAAUUGUUUUCUUGUAUUUUUUUUUGUUCUUUAAAAAAAAAAAGUAAAUCUACAUUUAAAGGUUAAUAUUUCUUUUCUUUUUCUCUUCUUUAAAAUUCUGUAAUUUAAUUUUCAAUUUAUUUUUUCUUUGUAAUUCUUGUUUAUUUUAUUAAUUUAAUUUUUAGUUAAUUUAUUUCACGAAUUUAUUUUUAUGUAUUUUUAUAGUAAGGUUGUAAUAGCGCAAUAAGGUUAGUAUCGUAAUUUCUCCCUCUUAUUUAUUUUUAUUUGUUUUGUUCCCAUCUUUAUUUUUAUUUUUUAUUUUAUUUUGCAUGCGUGGUCGUAGGUCAUUAUUACCUAAUCUUGAACCUAUAGACCUUGAAUUAGAAAAAACACUUCGCACACACAAACACGUUAAAAACAAAAUGGACCAGCAGCUCCAGCUCCACAAAUUCCUCAAGCCUCUCAGCCCCCAUUUAGAUCAUUCAAUCAGAACCAGAACUACUCUCAACCCAAACCAUAGGAGGAUUCAUUCCAGAAUCUCAAGAAUCUUACUCACUCCACGAUUGAGCAACAGAAUCGCACCAUUGAUGGACUACGAAAUGAGUUGAGAGCGGGCUUCAACUCACAAGCCCAAUCAGUUUCAAGCCUCGAGAAGAUGGUGGGACAACUUGCUUCUUCAGUUCAGACCUUGGCAAUUACUGUUGAGAAAGGUAAAUUUCCAAGUCAACCAGUGCCUAAUCCUAAAGGAGUACAUGAAGCAAGUACCAGUUCACCACAACAGCAUAGAGAGGUCAAAGCAGUCAUGACCUUGCAAAAAGGAAAGGAAGUCGACAACAAAGUGGAGAUGCCGGUGACAAAAGAAAAUCAAAUUGUACUUGUGAAUGUUGAGGACUCACCACCGGAGGAAAAAGAAGAAACCAACCCACGAGAAUAUGUUCCUAAAGCUCCAUUUCCUCAGAGGUUAGCGAAAGGAAAGAAGGGAAAAUCCACAGGUGAGAUUCUCGAAAUCUUCAAACAGGUAAGUGUUAACAUCCCUUUACUUGAUGCUAUUAAACAAGUUCCAUCUUAUGCCAAGUUUCUUAAAGACCUUUGUACUAAAAAGAGAAACAUGCAUGUUCAAAAGAAGGCAUUUUUAACAGAAAACGUUAGUUCUAUACUCCAACAUAAAAUUCCUUUAAAAUGUAAAGACCCAGGCUCCCCCACUAUUUCAUGUAGUAUAGGGAACCACACAAUUGAGAAUGCUUUGUUGGAUUUAGGAGCUAGUGUAAAUUUGUUGCCUUAUUCAGUAUUUGUGAAACUUGGACUGGGAGAAUUACACCCAACUCCAGUGGUGUUACAGCUUGCAGAUCGGUCCACGAAAAUACCUCGUGGUAUUGUGGAGGACGUGCUGAUCCAGGUAGACAAGUUUUAUUUUCCUGUUGAUUUCAUUGUAAUUGACACUCAACCAAUACAGGAUUCAAGGAAGCACAUCCCCAUUAUUCUAGGCCGACCUUUCUUGGCAACUGCGGAUGCUCACAUUCAAUGCAGGAUUGGAAAUAUGCAGUUGUCCUUUGGCAACAUGACUAUGGAGCUGAACAUCUUCAACAUUGCCAAACAACCUCACAAUACAGAUGAUGGAAUUGUUGAUGUGGAUUUAAUUGAAGCAUUAGUUGACGACACUUUUAUUUCAAACCUUAGUGAUGAUCCUUUACAAACAUGUUUAACUCACUUUGGUUUGGAUUUUGAUAUUGACAGAUCAGUCGAUGAUGUCAACGCCCUACUUGACUCAGCACCAUCCAUGGACACUAAUAAAUGGAAGUCAAGAGUUGAACAACUAGCACCAUCAGAGAAGAAACUCAUCCCAUCAUCAGAAUCACCACCGAAACUCGAGCUCAAACCAUUGCCCAACACUUUGGAAUAUGCAUUUUUGGGGGAAGAAAGCACACUACCAGUAAUCAUCUCAUCAUCCCUAAAUGACGAACAAAAAGGUAAGUUGUUGGAUGUUUUAAAAGAGCACAAAGGAGCAUUAGGAUGGACCAUAGCAGACAUAAAAGGUAUAAACCCUGCAGAUUGCAUGCAUUACAUUCACCUUGAUGAAAAUGCUAAAUCUACUAGGGAAAUGCAACGUCGGUUAAAUCCUAAUAUGAAAGAAGUUGUUAGAGCUGAAGUCCUUAAGCUAUUAGACGCAUGUAUCAUUUACCCAAUUUCUGAUAGUUCAUGGGUCAGUCUUGUACAAGUUGUCCCCAAAAAGUCAGGAGUCACAGUAGUUACCAAUGCUGAUAAUGAAUUGAUACCAACUAGAGUAACUACAGGAUGGCGUGUAUGCAUUGAUUAUAGAAAGUUGAAUUCUGUCACACGUAAUGACCAUUUUCCUUUACCAUUUAUUGAUCAAAUGCUUGAUAGAUUAGCAGGCCAUGAAUUUUAUUGCUUUCUAGAUGGCUACUCAGGAUAUAAUCAGAUUCCCAUAGCACCAAAAGAUCAGGAGAAAACUACUUUCACUUGCCCUUUUAGCACUUUUGCAUAUAGGAGAAUGCCAUUUGGAUUAUGUAAUGCACCUGCUACAUUCCAACGAUGCAUGUUGAGCAUUUUUUCUGAUAUGGUUGAACGAUUCCUUGAAGUCUUUAUGGAUGAUUUUUCUGUCUUUGGUGAUUCAUUUGAUCAAUGUUUACAUCAUCUAACGCUAGUUCUGCAGAGAUGUACCGAGAAGAACUUAGUCUUGAAUUGGGAGAAGUGCCAUUUUAUGGUAAAACAAGGUAUUGUUCUCGGUCACAUCAUAUCAAGCAAAGGUAUUGAGGUUGACAAAGCCAAGGUGGAUCUCAUUUCUAAUCUUCCUCCACCCAAAACAGUCAGAGAAGUAAGAUCUUUCCUUGGGCAUGCUGGUUUCUAUAGACGUUUCAUUAAAGAUUUUAGCAAAGUUUCUAGACCCUUAUGCAAUCUACUUGCUAAGGAUGUACCUUUUAUCUUUAAUGAUUCAUAUCUUGUGGCAUUUGAAAAAUUAAAGCAGUUGUUGACAUUAUCACCCAUCAUUCAGGCCCCAAACUGGAGCUUACCAUUUGAGCUCAUGUGUGAUGCAUCUGAUUAUGCAGUAGGAGCAGUAUUAGGACAAAGAGUUGAUCGAAUUCCCCAUGUUAUUUACUAUGUUAGUAUGACAUUGAAUGAUGCACAGUUGAACUAUUCAACUACUGAAAAAGAAAUGCUAGCAGUAGUGUUUGCAUUAGAGAAAUUUCGAUCUUAUCUCAUUGGUUGUAAAAUAAUUAUAUUCACAGAUCAUGCUGCUCUUAAAUAUCUUCUCACAAAGAAAGAUGCAAAAGCUAGACUAAUUCGUUGGGUGUUACUUUUGCAGGAAUUUGACUUGGAAUUCAAAGAUAAGAAAGGCACAGAGAAUGUUGUAGCUGACCAUCUCUCUCGCCUCCAUUUUGAUACAAUUAUGGAACCAUUACCAUUGAAUGAGUCAUUUCCAGAUGAACAAUUAAUGAAUGUGGAAGUAUUACCUUGGUAUGCUGAUAUAGUUAAUUAUCUUGUUAUAGGUAAACUUCCAGAGCAUUGGACCAAGCAAGACAAGGCUAAAUUCUUUGCGGAAAUAAAGAAUUUCUUUUGGGAUGACCCGUAUUUGUUCAAGUAUUGUGCAGAUCAAAUUGUUAGGCGAUGUGUCCCAGAAAGUGAUAUUCAAAAUAUCCUUUCAUUCUGCCAUGAACAAGCGUGUGGAGGCCAUUUUAGUGCUAAGAAAACAACUACAAAAGUUUUACAAUGUGGUUUCUAUUGGCCAACUAUAUUUCGAGAUGCUUACACUUUCUGUUCUUCAUGUGAUAGGUGUCAACGGAUGGGGAGCAUUACACGAAGAAACAUGAUGCCACUAAAUCCAAUUUUAGUGGUUGAGAUUUUUGACGUAUGGGGUAUCGACUUCAUAGGACCCUUUCCCCCUUCUUUUGGCCAUCAAUACAUAUUGGUUGGUGUUGACUACGUAUCGAAAUGGGUAGAAGCAAUUCCAUGUAGAACCAAUGAUCACAAGGUGGUGAUAGGAUUUUUGAAAAGCAACAUUGUUUCACGCUUUGGAUUCCCUCGAGCAAUAAUCAGUGAUGGUGGUGCCCACUUUUGUAACAAAGCAUUCAAAGCUCUUUUGACAAAAUAUUCAAUCACUCACAAAGUGGCGACCCCGUAUCAUCCGCAAACCAGUGGCCAAGUUGAAAUCUCCAAUCGAGAAAUAAAGCACAUAUUAGAAAAGACGGUGAGGCCGGACAGAAAAGAUUGGUCAUUAAGACUUGAUGAUGCCUUAUGGGCAUAUAGAAUGGCUUUCAAGACCCCGAUUGGGAUGUCACCCUACAGGCUAGUGUAUGGAAAAGCUUGCCACCUACCUGUGGAACUCGAGCAUCGUGCAUAUUGGGCCAUCAAGAAAUUCAACUUUGACAUGCAGCAAGCCAGCUCAGAAAGAAGAUUACAACUGGCAGAACUUGAAGAAAUUCGCAAUGAUGCAUACGAAAAUGCCAAGAUUUACAAGCAACGAAUGAAAGUCUUUCAUGACAAGCACAUUAUGAGAAAAUCGUUCACUCCAGGUCAGAAAGUGCUUUUAUUCAAUUCUCGUUUGCACUUAUUCCCAGGUAAGUUACGCUCUCGAUGGUCUGGUCCCUUUAUUGUUCAUACUGUUUUUCCACAUGGGGCAAUUGAAAUUAAGGACCCAAAGAACGGUGUCACGUUUAAAGUUAAUGAUCAAAGAUUAAAGCCAUAUCUUGAGUACCAACCACAUGGAGAAGACACCGAAAUAAAUUUGAGUGACCCACCAGAUUUGAAUUGAUUUUUUCUUUUUGUUGAUUUGAUUUUUCUUUCUUUCUUUUUAUUAUUCUUUUGCUAAUUGAAAUUAUUUUUGCAUAAGUGUGUUUGUUUUACCAUUAAGUUUUUUUUUUCUUAUCAUUGUUAAUCAUGAGUACCAUACUUAGACCGUUCCUCCUGAACAUUCUUAAACCACUUCAACGUGUCAAAACUCAUCUCAAAAAGCAGAUUCAAUUUUGUAAAACACAACGCAUUUGGGCUCUACAACCACCAGAGUUAGUAGCCUAUGUUGAGGGUUUAGAACGCCAACUCAGAGACAUUGAGAGAAGUGUUUACGACAUCCAGUUGGAGCUUGAGGUAAAUUCAAUAAGAGGACGAUUUUAAUUUUCUUUGUGUGUUUUGAUUUGUUUUUUCUGUUUGUGUGCUUUAGUUUGUUACCCCGGUGAAAUGGCAGAUAACGGUACUCCGUGACAAUCAAGUCGGUUACUUCAGUUUCCCACAAUAACUGACAUUCUGAGGCGAAAGUAUGGACAGAAACGAGAUUCUAGCGAAGCUUCACAAGCGAUUCCCUUCACUUCCUCAGAAUGCCCUCCUUACAAUCUAUAAAGCUCGGUCCGAACGCAUGCGAUUACUCAUGAAGAAUAACAUACCUGCUGACAUCCGUUGGUUAAUCGAGGCUAAAGUACGAUCGGCAGGUGAGUUACCUCCAAAAUUUAUUGCAUUCAUGCCUGGUUGUGGUAAAGGAAAUUAUGCAAGAAAACGACGAGCUCGAAGAAUUUCUGUUGCUUGUCAUAAGUGUGCCAAAAUGAGUUGCGAUAGAAACCCAUGUUCUUUAGGAAUGGUGUCUGAUAACAGGGAAGAUAAGAUUCAAUUCAUUAGGGAUGGCUUGAAUAAGGAGUCAUUGGAUGAUAUCCUUUUGUCUCUUGAAACGCAUCCCAGUGGAUAUGUGCAAGGAGCGAUUCUCCGGUUAUGGCCAUUAUUCCAGAAAGAGCAUGCAUGAUAUAGUCUCGGGAAUCUGACUAUAAACGACCCUGUUUGUCAGUUUAUAAGAAAACUGGAUGGGAAGCCGAUCCUCAACCCAUAGAGGGCGUUCAAGCCGUUUCUGGACGUAAAACCAGAGGAAGAUGUGAGCCACAGUUGCAACUACGUGUAAAUAUCCUUUUACUUUACUGUUAUUUUAUUUCAUUUCACUGUUGUUUUAUUGUUUGCAUUAUUGUCUUUAAUAAUUUUGUUAUUGUUUGCUUUUUCCUUUUUACUGUUUCCUUUUUGACUCGCGAGCCACGUGCUUUACGCGUUAUUUGACACUGACAUGUUACCUCAUUCACAGCUAUGAUCCAUUGUCACCAAGAUUUUUAAAUAUAACUUUUUGUUACGAACUCACAAAUUGUUUUUUAGAAGUAUCACAAUGGCAGCUACUCCCAAUAGACAAUUCAAGAACAUUUGUGUGCUUUCUGGAUUUACCUAUGGCAAACAUAAAGAGUUCGUGGAGGCAGCCAUAGAUCUUGGUCGAAGCAUAGCAGCGAGAAAAUUACACUUGGUGUAUGGAGGAGGUAACCGAGGGUUAUCAAAAAUGGUCUCAGAAGCAGCUUUUAUCAGAUGAAGUCAAGUGUUAGGCAUCAUCCCAAGAAUCCUAAAACCAUUGGGCAGUUCGUCUGACUCAUCAACUGGAGAAGAGUUAGUCGUCUCAGGUAUGCAAGAAAGAAUAACUGAAAUGCUUAAUCAUGCUGAUGCUUUUAUUUUCCUUCCAGGAGAUCUUACAACACUAGAGGCACUUAUCACACUAGCAUCUUGGGCCCAUCUGCACAUCCACCAAAAACCCAUCGGUUUGUUAAAUGUCAAUAACUUUUAUGAUGGCUUUAUCGCAUUUCUUAACCAUGCAAUAAAAAACUAUUUCAUUCCUUCUAAUGUGAAAAAACUCUUUAUUUGUGCUCACACUGCUAAUGAGCUACUUGAUAUAUUACAAGCUUAUAAACCGGAGCCAGACCCCUGGACCUUUGUGUUGGAGCGACCAAAUAAUGAUGGUAACAGUAGCCGCAGUAAGAAGUACAAAUUAGAUUUAACUCUCCGCCUGUAAAUAUUUUCUUCUGUGUUGCACCACCCAGGUGAUGUCUUCUAAACUCUACUUCUUUCCUUUAAAACAUUGAGGACAAUGUUUCGUUCUGGUUGGGGGGAGGGAAUAGUCGACAAUUGUGGAAUCUUGGUUAAGUUUUUACUGAUUUUUUGUUGUAGAAACUAACUGUUGCUAACGUUUUGUGUUGAAGAUGGCUGAAUAUGGAGUGUAGUUACUCUAGAAACGCAUCUUCAUCGUUUAAAAAAAAAACAAAAAAAAAAUCGUUUUCUUCCUCUUUCUCCUUUAUAAAUAUAUAUUUUCAAAUUUUUGAGUCGAAGAUGGCUGAAUAUGGAGUGUAGUACCUCUAGAAACGCAUCUUCUUAGUUAAAAAAAAAAAUUUAAUUUUCUACAUCAUUUUCACAUUUCUGCAUGCAUAUUUUCCUUUCAUGUUUAGAAUAGGUUGGGGGGUAGAAUGUUGUUUAAAAAAAAAAUUUGUGUUAUUUGUUUUAACAUUGGAUGACAUGAUUAAUUUCAAAUUUUAGUAUUUGUAUUAUCUUUGGCCUUAAGUGAUGUUACGCUAUGUUUGCUACUUUACAUGUUGAUAUCGGAGACAAAUAUGAGUUGCUUGAAGGAAUGAACAUGUCAUAAAUAAGUGCCAAGUGAGUUGUUGAACCUAUCAUUUUCUUAGAGAGUAACCCUUUUGCCCAUUCUCUAUACAGCUUAGCAGUUUAUUAUUUUAUACACGAUCUCUAGAUUUCUUUUAAGUUAACCCUUUAAAAAAAAUAUGGUAAAAUUAAAAAAAAGAAAAAAGAAAAAAAUGUGUGUUGCUACAUUGGGAGGCCCAUCUAACUAGUAGAUAUGGAUAAUUAUUUAGAGCCCUAAAAGACGAUGAAAAGGCCAUCUUUGAUCCGUUUGAGCCUUUCUAGCCAUCCAUUUUAUUAAAUAUCCAUAGUUACCCCUUUUGAGCCUUUAAAAAAAAAAAAAAAAAAAGAACAAAAACCUUUUCUUUGUCAACUUAUCAUCUUGACCCACUCCGAUUUGGAAUAUUACCCAAUGUCUUUUAAGUUCCAUCACCUAUUUAUGUUUGAGAAAAUGUAAAUAAUUAUGUUGUUCAGUGAAGUUAUGCCAAAUAAAAGCAAAAAGAAAAAAAAAACAAAAACAAAAGUUGUUUCAAAAGAAUAAAAAUAACAAUAAUAGGUGAAAUCCACCUUGCAACUUUAAAAAAAAAAAAAAAAAUUCUGCAUUUUUCUCAAACAUACACUUUGUUUUCCUUAUUUCCUUUCUUUGUUAGCCAUAUCCCUAGCCUACGUUACGUCCUAAUAAAAGUCCUUCUUGAUUUUAGGGAACUAUAGUUUGAAGUAGAAGCUAGUUAUAUGGGCUAAAAAGAUGUAGUGAUGCAUAAUUAAAAAAAAAAGAAAGAUAAAUAAAGUGGGUUGACUAACAUUUUAUUUGACUUGAGAUCGUAUUAUUUCUAAGCUGAGGGCAUAUUUAUUUCAUCUUGGUGAGAGCAUGUGAUAUCAUUUCUUUAUUAUUUUCUCUCUCAAUUACCAUUCAUUGGAGUGACUAUGUUUAUUGGGUUUUAAUUUCUUUGUGAGAGUGUCACUACUUCCAGUGAGAUUUUGGGGUUUGACAUGUCAUUCUUGAAAGUAGCUAUAACAAAGUCUACUGGGCUAAUUCAUGUGGAUGGUUGAUGUGGGUGUGAUGUUGCUUUAGACUGGAGAUAAUGCUUAUACUUUUAUUUGAUUGCUAUAAUUAAUCUGAUUGAAUAAACACGAGUGUUUCUUAAAAAAAAAAAAAAUCAUUUUGAAUUUGAAUUUUGUUUUCGCAUUAUUUGCUAGGGACUAGCAAUAAGCUGGUUGGGGGGUGUGUUGAGUGUUAGAAAAUGCAUAUUUAUAAAGGAGAAAAUCGUCAUUUUACAUUUCAAGUCUUACUAACAACCCUUACUUUUAUGUAUUUAACCUUCUUGUGAUGUAAUUACGUGUGUGUUAUUUUAAUUAUGUAUUUUAGGGGUAUUAUAGUCAUUUCACAAUAAAGGAGAGAUCAGACGGCAAAACGGACAUCACUUUUGAACUCAGGACGGUCGAAAACCUUAGGAGGAGCAUAAAAGGAAAAAUGGCACUACUCACAUGUACGGUACUAUUCACGUAUACGGUACUGUCUACGUUACUGUUCACGACACUGUUUACAUAGAUGGAUCGAUGACGUGGCAUUGACUGAUGAUGUGGCAUUGACUGAUGAGGUGUCACGAUCCUGUUGGACUAAACUUCUUAUGUACUGUUGAUGGUGACGUGGCAGCAUAUCAGUGGACGAAAAAUCUCGCGUACGGUGCAUGCAUCACACAGGAUUAUUUUCAACCAAACCGCGUUACUGUUCAUCUGGGUCAAACCGUGUUACUAUUCAUCCACGUGGUCAAACCGUGGACUGUUGACUGAUGACGUGGCGCAAUCCUGAGCGUCCAAACUGUUUUUAAUCCGAUGGCCAUGAUUUACUCCAUGUAUCUAUAAAAAGGGGGCCUCCCCCCCCUAAUUUGAUAUCUCUGAAUCUAUUUUUGGGAUCCAUUUUCUGUAAUUCUCUCUCCAUCUUGUAUUUUCUACGUAUUUUAAUAAAUUCCCAUUUUGCCCCUAGUUCAAUUAUGAGUAGCUAAUUUUCUUUCAAGCUUGGGUUGAAAGUGAAGUCUCAACAUGUGUCAUGGGCUUAAUUUGGUAAAUUUAUUUUCUCUUCCCCUCUAGUUUUUGUGGAUGUUUUGACUUCUCGUCGACAAAUAAUAAUAAUCUUGUCUAGAUACCGCCUUGGUUACACCGGCUCUCUAGUAUAAGGUUAUUAUUAUUUGGCACGAUAAGCCCUUAGCACCAUAUUGAUUAGAGCGUGGUUCAUGAGGUGUGGAUUCCCCCCUCAUGAUUUAAUUGGCAUUAAUACGGAUUAUUUAGCCCAUGAUGCAUGUUGAUACGGAUCCAGAUACCCAAGUACGUCAUUUCAAUACAUUUCUCUUCAAUUUAUUCUUGCCAUUUCAAUUCCAAUUUCAGCAUUUAUUCUCGCCAUUUUAAUUUAAGUUUUAGCAUAUUCCAAAUCAUUUCCACCACAGAUCCAAUCAACCAUUUGUAAAAUUAAUUCUAUACACAAUUAAAAUCCACCUCCUCGUGGGAUCGACACUCGUCACCAUUGAUCUAUACUACAAUAGAUUCGUGCACUUGCGAGUACAUUAAAAUUUGCACAACACUUACUACAUCACAUGGUACUGGCUCAACAUAUACCCCGUGGCAAUACUGUUCGAACCAAACCUGAUCCAUACCAGCCGAAGAUACGGUAAAGGAAGAUGGUUCGAUCGAAUGUUCGCCCCCAUCUUUGAAGAUGUCCUCACACUAAAGCUCAUCAACGGUUAUCACAUCACCCACUCUACAAUAGUGAUCGUGAAACUCACAGAUAUUUGGGGACGGUACAAAGAGCCUUUCAUACAGGUAGUCCAACAUGACCACUCCCAUGAAGAAAUCGAUUCCAUGUGGACUGGUUGCUGGAACGCUAGGCAAGCCUUAGCAGAGGUAUACGGGACUGUUCCCAUGUACAACACCCACAGUCCAGUAUCCCCACAAGUCUGCAGUACUCCAGACCUUUACUACAGAGAGGAGAUACGAAAUCUCAAACUACAUGGAGACGAAGACGAAGCAGCCGACAUGCAGCAUAAGUAUAAUGACUACCUUUCCCGACAUGGCAGGCCACAAGACAUCACCUAUCUAGAUACCCCAGAUAUUGACAGAUGGAGGAACGAACUUGAAGAUAUGGCCAACUGGCCAGACCUCCAAGAAUGGCCCCAGCCAGAACUAAACCCACAGCCAGACCCGAUUUGGCCCAAUAUUGGAGAAGACAUGGACGCCGCAUCUGAAGAACGAUGGAACCAUCGGUCAGGACGUAGCACGCCAACUAGUGGCAACUCUGGACUGUAGCGGAAGCUUAGUGGACCCCGCAGUGGAAACAUUGGUGAUAAUAAUAUAGUGUAUUUGUAUUCGUAUGUAUUAUGUACCAUCCUUAGAGAUAAGGAUAAGAGUGUGAGUGUGACAUAAAGUAAAGGAGUGAGUUGUAAAGUAGAUUCCUUUGUGAUAAGGUUUAGUGUGAGUGUGAUAUAAAGUAAAGGAGUGAGUUGUAAAGUAUAUUCCUUUAUGAUAAGGUUUAAUAAUGUCUACAGUAUGUAAUAGUGGUUCCCUUGUGCCUAUAAAAGGGAACCCUUGGUUUGUUGAUAGGGAUCGAGUCUUGGAGUGCAAUAUUGUAUUGUAAAUCUCUCAUUCUUCUUAAUGAAAGUAACCUUCCUCUGUUUGCUCUAAGCAUCUGUUUUUGUAUAUUUGUAUUCGUAUGUAUUAUGUUUGCUCUGUUUGCUCUGUUUGCUCUAAGUAACCUUCCUCUCGCUCUGAUACCAAAAAAUCUGUUUUGCUUUCUUUUGUCGGCCAGGAUUACAAGAGCACAUUUUGUCUGUAUGUUGGCAACCAAAUUUGUUUGGUUCCUCAUUACAGAAUUUUUGCAGAGAGGAUUUCUCAAUCUGCUUCAUGUGUCUUCGUAAAUCUUGAGAUCUGCAGUGGCUUUGAAUAAGCUCCAUUGCAAUCUGGUAGAGCUGGGCAAGGCUGAGCUGUGCUAAAUCAGUAAUUGCAUCAGCUUUGAAUUUGGCCUCCAUCAUUUCUGCAACUAGGCCUGACAUGUUUAGCACAAAUGUCCUGUGUAUGGUAUCGGAUUGUUUGUCAAAGAUGUAGUACAACCUUUCCUGCUCCAGGUAGUACUCUUCCAUUUUCCGAACAUCACAACACUUGUUUUGGAGAAAUUGCUUUUCAGCAACCUCUUCUUCUCUUGUGAAAUGGCCUAGAAAAUCCAAGGAUAGAUUUUCAACUAGGCUUCCAUAAGGAUCUUGUCUGCUGAGAAUGAAUUGUCGUUGCUCACCAGUAAGCUUUCGUCCCCACCAUCGUCUUAGCGAUCCAACAAAUCCUGCUACCAGCCGUAAUGCGGCUGAUCUUCUGCUUAACUGGGGGCUCUUUGACAUUCUCCUUCAUACCAUGCUACCAUUUUCUUAAAAUAAGCCAGCCUUUCUUUAGGCUUCAUUCCAUCAAUGUUCCAGAACAUCUUUCCGGUUGUGGAAUGUCCGAGUUGUACUCGGGUUUCCCAUUCUUCUCCUUGAUUGACUUCAUCUAUAUACGGGGCAUGAUCAGUAGGUGCAUCAGCCGGAUUGGAGGAGGCUUCUGUAGCUGCUGGUUCUGUGAAUUCAGGGGCAGUGAAUUGUGUUGUCCCUGAUGGGUUUUAAGUUUGCCUUGUAGGAUCAGAGGUUUGCCCAGGUGUUGUUGUUGAAGCUGCAAAUCUGGUACGUGUAUCCACAUAAAAUGGAUUUGUAGGAUUAGCUCUCUGCAUUAAAAUAGGAAUUGGAGGGUUCUCCGUAGAAGAGAUGCUUGAGCUAUCAUCAGUAUCUGUUUCCUCAUCCCACCCAGUAGCCUUCUGGGGCCAUGGGUAUUGAGGAGGAGGAGCAUAGCUUCUCCAAAAUGCUUUCUGGCAAUUCCCAGAUGCAUUUUCCUCCCAGAUGUGCCCUGGUUUUGUAGGCUUGCUCUUCCAGUGCCUGGACACCUUUAGUCGUUGACAACUCUCCCUUGUCCUUCUCAUUUCAUCUUCGUCUACUGCUCCGGUCAUCACAAUCAUGUUGACUGACCUGGAGGCACUUUCAUGUAGUUGAGAGAACUGUUGGGUGGACAUUUUAUGCUGUUUUUUAUUUUUCUUUAGCUGUUUUCUGAUUACAGCUAAGUCAGCAAGAAUCUGCUGUUGAGUGACCAUGAUGUCUCCCAAGGCUUGGUUUUGUUCCACAGCAUUGAUGUUUGACCAGUUGAUUGCCUUCUCAAUUGGGCCGAACUCUGUUGGGUUAGUUUUCUGUAUUACCCAUUUGGCAGCAUACAUUCCUCCGGGGAUAUCUUUUAUGAACUCAUUAUCAAGAUCCGGAGUGGUAAUCAUGUUUACUGGACCCAUGAUUCUGCAGGAGGUAGUUCUUCUUGGCAUAUGUGUGCACAAGAAGGGAUGCUUUCCCUCAAGCUGGCAUUUUUCACAUGGAUAGAGAGCUUUAGUCUCUGUGGGGAAAGAGACUGAUACUCUUCCUUCUUGUAGCCUGCUUAUCUUUGGGAUCUCAUGGAUUUGUUGAGGCCUGUUGUUUUUCUCAUACUCAUUAAUCCAUUGUGGUGGAAAAAUGAGUUGGUUUUACCUAUAAGUCCUGGGUUGAAAGACUCUGCCAUCACCAGCAAGAAAUCUGGUAAUAGGCCUGCCAGAGCUACUCAUAGAGAACAGAUGGGUUUGGACUUUAUAGGUCAUAGUGUGGUGGAUUGCCAAGGCAGAUUCAUCAGGUUUCAUGGUUAGACCAUUGACCUGAAUUAAUACCUUAAUGGCAUCUGUGAGGGAUGGCUUGUGUAUAUCAAGGGUAAAAUUUGGCUCAACUUGGAGAACAAGAUGGCCUUGGUUGAGUCCUGCUUCAACAGCAGUAAUUAAAGCCUUUUCAAAAGUUUGCCAUCUGGUGUCGAGAAUGGCAAUAAAACAUGUAAUAUCUUUUCCAGCUAGGAAUAAAGGUUGUAUCCUUAUCUGGAUUGCUCCAAGGUGUAGUCCCUUGUAUCCCUGAAGUUUAUACCUUGUAAUCUCGCUGGAAGAGAUUAUGGGAAGGUAUGUUUCUUUUGAGCUUGAGGAGAUUGACUGGACAGUGAUUUCAGAGGAUUUGUAGAUGGUUUUUAGCUUAGGUUGUCUUAUGGGGAUUAUGGCUCUUAGGUGGUUAAGAGUAGGGCUAAUAUGGUAGUAUCUGUAAGGAUCUAACGGAUCAAGUCUGAAGGACUGAACUGCUCUCUCACUAUUUUCAUCCCCUUGGGUUUCAUAAUGAAAGUUUACAGAGGGUAAACUAUCAGUUGGUACUCUGAUGGCCGAAGUAGAUGGUUGGUCAGAAAUUGGUUGGUUACUGGAUCUGUUACUGUUUUGGGUUUCCAUGGCUAAAAGAAAUCAGAGGGUUUUCCUUGGGGUGAUAAGCCCUAAAACACGGCACUUCUUGGCCUUCUCAAGGGGGCGCCGCACCUUACAAAAUUUACUCUGUACUGUUUUAGUAUGGAAAGUUUAGACAGGCAGACUAGUAUCCAACAACUUUAUGAUGUGGAGGAUCCGAAGUAUUUCGGCAACCACAGAGCAUAGUAUUGUUGCACACCCAGGGGUUUCCUUUUGGGAAAUAUGGCUCUGAUACCAAAAAAUCUGUUUUAGAGCAAACAGAGGAAGGUUACUUUCAUUAAGAGGAAUGAGAGAUUUAAAAUACAAUAUUGCACUCCAAGACUCGAUGCCUAUCAAUAAACCAAGGGUUCCCUUUUAUAGGCACAAGGGAACCACUAUUACAUACUGUAGACAUUAUUAAACCUUAUCACAAAGGAAUCUACUUUACAACUCACUCCUUUACUUUAUAUCACACUCACACUAAACCUUAUCACAAAGGAAUCUACUUUACAACUCACUCCUUUACUUUAUGUCAUACUCACACGCUUAUCCUUAUCUCUAAGGAUGGUAAACAAUACAUAUGAAUACAAAUACACUAUAUUAUUAUUGGUGGCCCAUGCAGGUCUGACUUCUACAGUAUUGGAUACAAAUCUAGAAAGGAAAUCCGCUACAGUAUUGGAUUCUCCUUUGAUGUGUCUGACUUCGAACUUAAAUCUCGAGAGAGAUUCGGACAACCUUGCUAGUUGUGGAUCUGGGAUUUCUCCUUCUUUUCUUCUGAUCAAUCCCAGCAGGUACUUAUAAUCUGUUUCAAUCAUAAAGGGGGUUAGAGAGAGAAAGAAUUGAAACUUCUUGAUCCCUUUGGUGACUGCUAAGACUUCUUUCUUUGAGGAUGGGUAGUGGCUUUGAGCGACACCAGAUGGCAAACUUUUGAAAAGGCUUUAAUUACUGCUGUUGAAGCAGGACUCAACCAAGGCCAUGUUGUUCUCCAAGUUUAGCCAAAUUUUACCCUUGAUAUACACAAGCCAUCCCUCACAGAUGCCAUUAAGGUAUUAAUUCAGGUCAAUGGUCUAACCAUGAAACCUGAUGAAUCUGCCUUGGCAAUCCACUACACUAUGACCUAUAAAGUCCAAACCCAUCUGUUCUCUAUGAGUAGCUCUGGCAGGCCUAUUACCAGAUUUCUUGUUGGUGAUGGUAGAGUCUUUCAACCCAGGACUUAUAGGCAAAACCAACUCAUUUUUCCACCACAAUGGAUUAAUGAGUAUGAGAAAAACAACAGGCCUCAACAAAUCCAUGAAAUCCCAAAGAUAAGCAGGCUACAAGAAGGAAGAGUAUCAGUCUCUUUCCCCACAGAGACUAAAGCUCUCUAUCCAUGUGAAAAAUGCCAGCUUGAAGGAAAGCAUCCCUCCUUGUGCACACAUAUGCCAAGAAGAACUACCUCCUGCAGAAUCAUGGGUCCAGUAAACAUGAUUACCACUUCGGAUCUUGAUAAUAAGUUCAUAAAAGAUAUCCCCGGAGGAAUGUAUGCUGCCAAAUGGGUAAUACAGAAAACUAACCCAACAGAGUUCGGCCCAAUUGAGAAGGCAAUCAACUGGUCAAACAUCAAUGCUGUGGAACAAAACCAAGCCUUGGGAGACAUCAUGGUCACUCAACAGCAGAUUCUUGCUGACUUAGCUGUAAUCAGAAAACAGCUAAAGAAAAACAAAAAACAGCAUAAAAUGUCCACCCAACAGUUCUCUCAACUACAUGAAAGUGCCUCCAGGUCAGUCAACAUGAUUGUGAUGACUGGAGCAGCAGACCAAGAUGAAAUGAGAAGGACAAGGGAGAGUUAUCAACAACCAAAGGUGUCCAGGCACUGGAAGAGCAAGCCUACUAAACCAUGGCACAUCUGGGAGGAAAAUGCAUCUGGGAAUUGCCAGAAAGCAUUUUGGAGAAGCUAUGCUCCUCCUCCUCAAUACCCAUGGCCCCAGAAGGCUACUGGGUGGGACGAGGAAACAGAUACUGAUGAUAGCUCAAGCAUCUCUUCUACGGAGAACCCUCCAAUUCCUAUUCUAAUGCAGAGAGCUAAUCCUACAAAUCCAUUUUAUGUGGAUACACGUACCAGAUUUGCAGCUUCAACAACAACACCUGGCCAAACCUCUGAUCCUACAAGGCAAACUCAAAACCCAUAAGGGACAACACAAUUCACUGCCCCUGAAUUCACAGAACCAGCACCUACAGAAGCCUCCUCCAAUCCGGCUGAUGCACCUACUGAUCGUGCCCCUCAUAUAGAUGAAGUCAAUCAAGGAGAAGAAUGGGAAACCCGAGUACAACUCGGACAUUCCACAACCGGAAAGAUGUUCUGGAACAUUGAUGGAAUGAAGCCUAAAGAAAGGCUGGCUUAUUUUGAGAAAAUGGUAGCAUGGUAUGAAGGAGAAUGUCAAAGAGCCCCCCAGUUGAGCAGAAGAUCAGCCGCAUUACGGCUGGUAGCAGGAUUUGUUGGAUCGCUAAGACGAUGGUGGGGACGAAAGCUUACUGGUGAGCAACGACAAUUCAUUCUCAGCAUAGAAGAUCCUUGUGGAAGCCUAGUUGAAAAUCUAUCCUUGGAUUUUCUAGGCCAUUUCACAAGAGAAGAAGAGGUUGCUGAAAAGCAAUUUCUCCAAAACAAGUGUUGUGAUGUUCGGAAAAUGGAAGAGUACUACCUGGAGCAAGAAAGGUUGUACUACAUCUUUGACAAACAAUCCGAUACCAUACACAGGACAUUUGUGCUAAACAUGCCAGGCCCAGUUGCAGAAAUGAUGGAGGCCAAAUUCAAAGCUGAUGCAAUUACUGAUUUAGCACAGCUCAGCCUUGCCCAGCUCUACCAGAUUGCAAUGGAGUUUAUUCAAAGCCACUGCAGAUCUCAAGAUUUACGAAGACACAUGAAGCAGAUUGAGAAAUCCUCUCUGCAAAAAUUCUGUAAUGAGGAACCAAACAAAUUUGGUUGCCAACAUACAGACAAAACGUGCUCUUGUAAUUCUGGCAGACAAAAGAAAGCAAAACGCCCCUGGAAACCAUACAAAGGGAAAAAAAUACCGUUUCAUCAAAAAAUGGAAACACAAGAAAGGCUCUGGCAGAUGUUUCAUCGGUGGCAAGAAAGGCCACUAUGCUAAACAAUGUAAAUCCAAAAAGAAACUCCCAGCCAAACUCAUCCAGCUGAUCCAGCAAGAUGAUUUUGAUGACGACAUUUAUACCUGGUCCGAUAGCCCCUUUGGUGCUGUCUAUACUCUUGAUGAAUAUCCUCUUUCUGAUUCUGAGGAUACUGCUUCUACAACGGACGGUGAUUCCCCCGAUGAUGAUGAUGAUGACACUGUUCUCACUGUUCGAGAACCUCUACAAGUUACUUCUGCCAUACAACGGUCUUCCCACUUCCGACCACACAUCAAAGUCAUCCUCAAUCCCUCUGAAGAUAGCCAGGUAGCUCUUACUGCUCUCAUUGACAGAGGAGCUAUGUGCUCAUUUAUCCGAGAAGCCUGUGUUCCCCGAUAAUUCUAUGUUCCUACUAAGGUUUCUUUCGGAUCCGCCAGUGGCAGGGAUUUCUACAGCAAAAAGGUUACUCGUCCUAUCGAGAUCCAACCUUUUAUGAUCCAGCAUGGAUUCUUUGCCUUUGACUAUUCCGGCGAAGAUAUCCUCCUUGGCACCGACUUUCUCCGUCUGGUUGCCCCUUUUGCCUUCUUUCCUGAAGGAUUCUCUUACACCAUCCGCAAUCCAGUCGAUGGUUCUCAGCAUACUUUUCAAGUUCCUUGGGUUGAAAAGCAAUACAUUUUUGGAGAGGGUGGAAAACUAACAAACUACCCAAUCCAUAAAUAUGAACCCCAAAUUAAGGAACUCCUUGAAUGCUGUGCCGAAGUACCAAACCAGUUCUGGGCUAGAGAACAAUACUUUGUGUCUCUACCAUAUAAAGAUGGAUGGACCAUGCCUCACCAGACAACCUCUCAUCCAGGCAUGCCCCAUGACGAAGAAUUGUGCAAAUCAGAGAUCCAGGCCCUUAUGGAUCUAAAGCUCAUCAGGCCCUCUAAGUCUCAUUGGGCCAGCCCAGCAUUCUAUGUCAACAAGCAUUCAGAACAAAUACGUGGAAAGAAGCGAUUGGUGAUAGACUACCGAAAGCUAAAUGAUUGCUUGCAAGACAUAAGGUACCCGAUUCCACGGAGGACGCAUCUUUUGAAACGCAUCGCUGGAGCAAAGGUGUUCUCAAAGUUUGACAUGAAGUCAGGCUUUUGGCAAAUUGGAAUCAAGGAAGAAGACAGACACAAGACAGCAUUUGUGGUCCCCCAUGGGCAUUAUGAAUGGAACGUGAUGCCUUUCGGCCUAAAGAAUGCACCGUCAGAAUUCCAAAACAGAAUGGAUGAGGUGUACAAAUCUAUUUCAGAAUUCUGCCUUAUCUACAUCGAUGAUGCCCUUAUCUUCAGCAACAGUGAGGAAGAACAUGCUGAACACCUGUCUCAAUUCAAAGCUCUUACCUAUAAACAUGGGUUGGCUUUGUCAGAACCAAAGAUGAAGAUAUGACUUGAUGAGGUAGACUUUUUGGGACUACACAUCAAAUAGGGAUUCAUCAUUCCUCAGCCACAUAUUGCUGAAAAAAUAUCCCAGUUCCCAGACCAGCUGUCAACCAGAAAGCAAAUCCAACAAUUCCUCGGGAUAAUCAAUUAUGCAGCAGACCAUGUGCAGAACUUGUCAAAGAUGACGAGUCAGAUAUCAAAGCACUUAAAGAAGGGUGCCCCACAAUGGUCGGAAGAAGCGACAAAGGUUGUGACAGACUUAAAGCAAAAGUGCCAGUCACUUCCACCAUUAAAGAUACCUGACAAAGGACAGCUCAUCUUACAGACAGACGCUAGUGACCAUUAUUGGGGAGCACUAUUGAUAGAGGAAUCCGAGGGAAACAGGAGAGUCAGUGGCUAUAAAUCUGGCCAGUUCAACGACGCUCAAAGCCACUACCCAUCCUCAAAGAAAGAAGUCUUAGCAGUCACCAAAGGGAUCAAGAAGUUUCAAUUCUUUCUCUCUCUAACCCCCUUUGUGAUUGAAACAGAUUACAAGUACCUCCUGGGAUUGAUCAAAAGAAAAGAAGGAGAAAUCCCAGAUCCACAACUAGCAAGGUGGUCCGAAUCUCUCUCGAGAUUUAAGUUCGAAGUCAGACACAUCAAAGGAGAAUCCAAUACUGUAGCGGAUUUCCUUCUAGACCAAUCACCAUGAUCACAAGAAGAAGCCUCCCGAGACGAUGGGAAGAAGGCAGCUCCAGUGCUCAUGAAAACAGAGCACACUUUCUCAAAGAUCUCAAUACUUUUAUUGCAUGGCUUCCUUCUGAAGUACAGGAAGACAUCUUUGAGAAGAUCAUCUCUCACAGGAGAGAUCCGGAAGAUCAGGCUCUGACAUGGCGGGUAUGGCAGCUCAUGGCCAUGCAAGAACACAAACCUGCCCAUAACAAGAAGUGCCAAAGAGCCUCCGAUCCGCAUCCAAACCCGGACCAGAUGCAUGAAACUAUCUUCAAGGUUGGUUGCACUUUUCACUAUGUGAUAGAUGAGAACUCCAAUUGGGGUCAUUAUGUCAUUUGCGACAUAACCCCUCAAGCUUACUAUAUCACAUGGUACUGGCUCAACAUAUACCCCGUGGCAAUACUGUUCGAACCAAACCUGAUCCAUACCAGCCGAAGAUACGGUAAAGGAAGAUGGUUCGAUCGAAUGUUCGCCCCCAUCUUUGAAGAUGUCCUCACAUUAAAGCUCAUCAACGGUUAUCACAUCACCCACUCUACAAUAGUGAUCGUGAAACUCACAGAUAUUUGGGGACGGUACAAAGAGCCUUUCAUACAGGUAGUCCAACAUGACCACUCCCAUGAAGAAAUCGAUUCCAUGUGGACUGGUUGCUGGAACGCUAGGCAGGCCUUAGCAGAGGUAUACGGGACUGUUCCCAUGUACAACACCCACAGUCCAGUAUCCCCACAAGUCUGCAGUACUCCAGACCUUUACUACAGAGAGGAGAUACGAAAUCUCAAACUACAUGGAGACGAAGACGAGGCAGCCGACAUGCAGCAUAAGUAUAAUGACUACCUUUCCCGACAUGGCAGGCCACAAGACAUCACCUAUCUGGAUACCCCAGAUAUUGACAGAUGGAGGAACGAACUUGAAGAUAUGGCCAACUGGCUAGACCUCCAAGAAUGGCCCCAGCCAGAACUAAACCCACAGCCAGACCCGAUUUGGUCCAAUAUUGGAGAAGACAUGGACGCCGCAUCUAAAGAACGAUGGAACCAUCGGUCAGGACGUAGCACGCCAACCAGUGGCAACUCUGGACUGUAGCGGAAGCUUAGUGGACCUUGCAGUGGAAGCAUUGGUGAUAAUAAUAUAGUGUAUUUGUAUUCGUAUGUAUUAUGUACCAUCCUUAGAGAUAAAGAUAAGAGUGUGAGUGUGACAUAAAGUAAAGGAGUGAGUUGUAAAGUAGAUUCCUUUGUGAUAAGGUUUAGUGUGAGUGUGAUAUAAAGUAAAGGAGUGAGUUGUAAAGUAAAUUCCUUUGUGAUAAGGUUUAAUAAUGUCUACAGUAUGUAAUAGUGGUUCCCUUGUGCCUAUAAAAGGGAACCCUUGGUUUGUUGAUAGGCAUCGAGUCUUGGAGUGCAAUAAUGUAUUGUAAAUCUCUCAUUCUUCUUAAUGAAAGUAACCUUCCUUUGUUUGCUCUAAAACAGAUUUUUUGAGCCUGCCAGAGCUACUCAUUAAAGAUAUCCCCGGAGGAAAGGCUCUUUGUACCGUCCCCAAAUAUCUGUGAGUUUCACGAUCACUAUUGUAGAGUGGGUGAUGUGAUAACCGUUGAUGAGCUUUAGUGUGAGGACAUCUUCAAAGAUGGGGGCGAACAUUCGAUCGAAUCAUCUUCCUUUACCGUAUCUUCGGCUGGUAUGGAUCAGGUUUGGUUCGAACAGUAUUGUCACGGGGUAUAUGUUGAGCCAGUACCAUGUGAUGUAGUAAGCUUGAGGGGUUAUGUCGCAAAUGACAUAAUGACCCCAAUUGGAGUUCUCAUCUAUCACAUAGUGAAAAGUGCAACCAACCUUGAAGAUAGUUUCAUGCAUCUGGUCCAGGUUUGGAUGCGGAUCGAAGGCUCUUUGGCACUUCUUGUUAUGGGCAGGUCUGUGUUCUUGCAUGGCCAUGAGCUGCCAUACCCGCCAUGUCAGAGUCUGAUCUUCCGGAUCUCUCUUGUGAGAGAUGAUCUUCUCAAAGAUGUCUUCCUGUACUUCAGAAGGAAGCCAUGCAAUAAAAGUAUUGAGAUCUUUGAGAAAGUGUGCUCUGUUUUCAUGAGCACUGGAGCUGCCUUCUUCCCAUCGUGUCGGGAGGCUUCUUCUUGUGAUCAUGGUGAUUGGUCUAGAAAGGAAAUCCGCUACAAUAUUGGAUUCUCCUUUGAUGUGUCUGACUUCGAACUUAAAUCUCGAGAGAGAUUCGGACCACCUUGCUAGUUGUGGAUCUGGGAUUUCUCCUUCUUUUCUUCUGAUCAAUCCCAGGAGGUACUUGUAAUCUGUUUCAAUCACAAAGGGGGUUAGAGAGAGAAAGAAUUGAAACUUCUUGAUCCCUUUGGUGACUGCUAAGACUUCUUUCUUUGAGGAUAGGUAGUGGCUUUGAGCGUCGUUGAACUGGCCAGAUUUAUAGCCACAGACUCUCCUGUUUCCCUCGGAUUCUUCUAUCAAUAGUGCUCCCCAAUAAUGGUCACUAGCAUCUGUCUGUAAGAUGAGCUGUCCUUUGUCAGGUAUCUUUAAUGGUGGAAGUGACUGGCACUUUUGCUUUAAGUCUGUCACAGCCUUUGUCGCUUCUUCCGACCAUUGUGGGGCACCCUUCUUUAAGUGCUUUGAUAUCUGACUCGUCAUCUUUGACAAGUUCUGCACAUGGUCUGCUGCAUAAUUGAUUAUCCCGAGGAAUUGUUGGAUUUGCUUUCUGGUUGACAGCUGGUCUGGGAACUGGGAUAUUUUUUCAGCAAUAUGUGGCUGAGGAAUGAUGAAUCCAUGUUUAAUGUGUAGUCCCAAAAAGUCUACCUCAUCAAGUCCUAUCUUCAUCUUUGGUUCUGACAAAGCCAACCCAUGUUUAUAGGUAAGAGCUUUGAAUUGAGACAGGUGUUCAGCAUGUUCUUCCUCACUGUUGCUGAAGAUAAGGGCAUCAUCGAUGUAGAUAAGGCAGAAUUCUGAAAUGGAUUUGUACACCUCAUCCAUUCUGUUUUGGAAUUCUGACAGUGCAUUCUUUAGGCCGAAAGGCAUCACGUUCCAUUCAUAAUGCCCAUGGGGGACCACAAAUGCUGUCUUGUGUCUGUCUUCUUCCUUGAUUCCAAUUUGCCAAAAGCCUAACUUCAUGUCAAACUUUGAGAACACCUUUGCUCCAGCAAUGCGUUUCAAAAGAUGCGUCCUCCGUGGAAUCGGGUACCUUAUGUCUUGCAAGCAAUAAUUUAGCUUUCGGUAGUCUAUCACCAAUCGCUUCUUUCUACGUAUUUGUUCUAAAUGCUUGUUGACAUAGAAUGCUGGGCUGGCCCAAUGAGACUUAGAGGGCCUGAUGAGCUUUAGAUCCAUAAGGGCCUGGAUCUCUGAUUUGCACAAUUCUUCGUCAUGGGGCAUGCCUGGAUGAGAGGCUGUCUGGUGAGGCAUGGUCCAUCCAUCUUUAUAUGGUAGAGACACAAAGUGUUUCUCUUUUAUAGGCACAAGGGAACCACUAUUACAUAAUGUAGACAUUAUUAAACCUUAUCACAAAGGAAUCCACUUUACAACUCACUCCUUUACUUUAUGUCACACUCACACUAAACCUUAUCACAAAGGAAUCUACUUUACAACUCACUCAUUUACUUUAUGUCACACUCACACUCUUAUCCUUAUCUCUAAGGAUGGUACAUAAUACAUACGAAUACAAAUACACUAUAUUAUUAUCACCAAUGCUUCCACUGCGGGGUCCACUAAGCUUCUGCUACAGUCCAGAGUUGCCACUGGUUGGUGUGCUACAUCCUGACCGAUGGUUCCAUCGUUCUUCAGAUGCGGCGUCCAUAUCUUCUCCACUCUGCCAUCACUAGCAAGAAAUCUGGUAAUAGGCCUGCCAGAGCUACUCAUAGAGAACAGAUGGGUUUGGACUUUAUAGGUCAUAGUGUGGUGGAUUGCCAAGGCAGAUUCAUCAGGUUUCAUGGUUAGACCAUUGACCUGAAUUAAUACCUUAAUGGCAUCUGUGAGGGAUGGCUUGUGUAUGUCAAGGGUAAAAUUUGGCUCAACUUGGAGAACGACAUGGCCUUGGUUGAGUCCUGCUUCAACAGCAGUAAUUAAAGCCUUUUCAAAAGUUUGCCAUUUGGUGUCGAGAAUGGCAAUAAAACAUGUAAUAUCUUUUCCAGCUAGGAAUAAGGGUUGUAUCCCUAUCUGGAUUGCUCCAAGGUGUAGUCCCUUGUAUCCCUGAAGUUUAUACCUUGUAAUCUCGCUAGAAGAGAUUAUGGGAAGGUAUGUUUCUUUUGAGCUUGAGGAGAUUGACUGGACAGUGAUUUCAGAGGAUUUGUAGAUGGUUUUUAGCUUAGGUUGUCUUAUGGGGAUUAUGGCUCUUAGGUGGUUAAGAGUAGGGCUAAUAUGGUAGUAUCUGUAAGGAUCUAACGGAUCAAGUCUGAAGGACUGAACCGCUCUCUCACUAUUUUCAUCCUCUUGGAUUUCAUAAUGAAAGUUUACAGAGGGUGAACUAUCAGUUGGUACUCUGAUGGCCGAAGGUAUAAUCAAGUAACAGAUCCACAUAAAAAUCAAACAACAAACUGAAUCGACAUGUAAUUGACAAAAUUAAUGGCAUAAUCAAACUGCCAUUAUCAGUUGAACUUAAUUUUUAUAUAUACUUGCAUAUUUGGCUCCUCGACAAUACGCGCAUUAAAGUCAGUAAAUAAAUAGAACAGAAUAAACAAGAAUAUUUCAUAUCAUAAAAUAUCUGAAGAUAUUUAUGAAUAAAAAUAUCAGCACUCCUACUGAACAGCAUCACAGUUGAAGCUAAUAUUACUCUUUUAGAAAACAAAAAAAAGAAAAGAAAUGAAUUUGAGAUUAAAAUAUUAUAUAGUUAACUUAACGGUGAUACGUCGAUUCAGAUCAGCAUAAUUCAUCGUUCCCUGCGGUCGUAAAUCAGACGCGAGACUUCAUUUUCAUUACAUGUUAACCAAAAAAAAAAAAACGACAAAGGAUAUUGCGUUUUACCAGAGAAUUGAAAGAAGAAGAAGAAGAAGAAGGCUUCCGUUGAUUGGAUCUGAAGGUUUGCAAAGGCAAAGCUGAGGAUCUGAAAAAUUAACAAAAAAUAAAAAUAAAAAAAUGAAAACUAAUUACGGAGAAUUAAUAAAAAUAAAAAUAAAAAUAACAAUAUUAAAAAAAAAGCGUGAUGGGGACAAAAGUACAGCAGUUCACAUGCAUAACUCUCUCUCUCUCUGACCCAAGGUAACAAGCCAUGAAUGCUAAACUUACUCUGGGACACAGUAACCAUAUGUUCCGAUUACUCUAGUUGAAACAUGUGUAUUAUCACCGACAGGUCCGAGUUUGGCAAGCCCAAAAUCAGAGAAUUUUGGAUUGAAGUCAUUAUCCAGAAAAAUAUUUGCAGACUUCAAAUCCCGUAAAUGACAAAAGGAUUGGCCUUGCAAUGUAGAUACUCAAGGCCCUGAGCAGCACUGACUGUAAUUUUCAUGUGAGUGUUCCAACUCAUUAGCUCUUGAUCAGGUUGAAUGCAAGUAGUUAAUUAAAGUAACAGGCGAAGGUUGGGCUCUUCCUUUGCAGCUGACUCAACAACCUCAGAAGUUGGUUUGGCUUGGACUUCGACUUCGACUUGGAUUACUUUGAUGUGGAUUGAGUUUGGGGAUGAGUGGUAGCCGGAGGAGAGACUAAGGGAAGUUGAGAGAGAGAGCGAUGGAUUUCUAGUUGUCUGUUCUGCUGUUUAGAGUUAUGCGUUUUUUUUAAUCUUUUUAAUAAUUAAAAAAUUUUAGAAGAAAUGCAUACACAGAGAGUGAUGCCUAUGAACUGCUCUACUUUUUUGUCAUUUAAAUGCUUUUUCUUUUUUAAUUUUUAAUAAUACUAAAUGAUUAGAGCACUGAGAGAAGGAGAGAGGUGAAACGGCAAUACAAGCUGUCGUUUCUCUCACUUUUCUCUCAGUGUUCUAGACAACCAGCAGCUCUCAAGAGAGAGAGUGAUAGAGAAAAAAAAUUUAUAUGCAGUUUUCUUUACUUUUGUAAUAAUUUUAUAGUUAUUACUGCAAAGAGAAGACAACCACCGAAGGGCAAUAAUUUUACCAUUAUUAUUAAACUAUGCUUAGAAGAGAUUUGCUCCCAUGAAAAAGACAAAAAGGAGGAAAAAGGAAAGCAUAUUUUCUAUUUUGGGAAAAAGAAUUUUGUACAAACACGAAAGUUAGUGUUUUUUUUGUUUUUUUUUAUUUUAUUUUUAAAGGGGUAGAAAAAUACUAAAAUUUGUGGUUAAAAUUUAAAUGGAGUGAUAAUCUGUGAUCAGUAAUUGAAGCCAAUAAAGAAUAAUUAGCAACAAGAAGUGGGCUUGGUUUGGGAUUAAGUAAUAAUUCUUUUUCAAAAUAAAUUCAAAUAAAUGUAAUAACCCAAUUAUCAUGUAGGGAAAGACAUGAAAAUGAGGUUCAAAAAAUGGGGCUAUAAUAAUGCGAGGUCAAUAACUCUCUAAAAUUAUCGUCAUGAUAUAUUAUCAAUUAGCCAAAUGUAGAGCGCAGCAUGCAUGUGACUCUUAUUAGAGUUUUUUUUUUAAUUAGUCCCAUAAUUAACUGAGAGAUUCCGUGGUCCUGCUUUAAUUUAUUAUUGCUUGGGAAAAUCUAUUAAUUUUAUGUAAUUAUUGGAGUGACAUGCUAUUACCGGAUUACGGCUGUUUCCAAAAAUAUUGGAGCAUUGUUUUCUCCACUUUUUUGAACUUUGCAAUCUAAGGAAAAUAAGAGGACCACAUUUUAUUAUUAUACGAGAAGAAUCGCCUCGAGAGAGAAAAACAAAAGAGAAUGUCUUUUGACAUUUUGAAAUUAAACAAAAGAAAAAAAAAGUUUAAAUAAUGAGAUAUAAAGAAUUAAAUUUAAUUUAAAUCAGCCACAAUUAAUAAAAUGAGUAUUAAGUACCAAAUUUUGAGUCUAAAAACUAAAUAAUUACACUACUUAAGGCAAUCAAAUAAGCCUCUUUUGCUAGUAAAUACCAACAAUCCUUAAGAGUAAUAGUUAAUAGUUAGCCAUGAUUACUAAAAAAAAGAGUAAAUUGGUAAAUAAAAAGUAUUUUCUAAACAUUCAGCCCACUACAUUCAUAAUAAAAGAUGACAAAAUUUUUUUGGUUUGGUUUGGUCAUUCAUAAUAAAAAAUGAGAAAAUCUUUAAAAAUUAAUCAAUAUUUCAAAAAAAUACUGAGAAUUCAGAAAUCAAUACCAAUUUUUUUGGAUGAUUUGGUUUGGUAAUUUAUUAUCUCUAAGAACUUAAAAAUUGGAAGUUUAGAUUUUGGCCCCCUUGAAUUUUCCACUGAGCUCCGCCCCCGCCGAUUACUAUCAAAAGCUGAAGAAUCUUCUAACAGUUUCCCUAGAGAAGAGAGACAGCAAGGUACCAUUAGGCCAUUACAUCAAUGUGCCUUGCUUGUUAAUGGUAGAGCUUUGUGACCCUUCCUGUUUUGUCCAUCUAUUGAACUUUUACGUGUGACUGCACAUGCAAAAUAAAGGCAAAACUCUUCUCUUCUCUGUUCACCUUGCAUAAUGUGUUUAAAAUAGUUAUCUGGUAGUCUUGCACAUUACCCUCAUCAUCAUGUGACAAGAUAGUUUAUCAUAAUAUAAUGUGAACUUGUAACAUAAACUCAAUUUUAAUAAAACACUUAAAAUAUCCGUGAGAGGUCAAUGUUCUUUGAAGGUUUUUUUAUCUUAGGAAAGAUUUUGUUUGUACGUUUAUAUAUAGUAAGUUUUCAAUAGGAAUCUCUAACCAGAUUAAAGAUACAGAUGAACUAAAAUAUUAAAAAUAUAAAUUUCAAUGAAUUAGAGUAUGUAUUUUUUAUAUUUUAACUUGUCUUUAAUUUCACUAUGCUAAAGGAUCCUGAUUGAAAAAUUAUUAUUAUUAUUAUUAUUGUUGUUGUUGUUAUACACACACACGCACAAGGGUUGGACAAGGGUUCAUUCCUCCUCUGUUUGUGUGUGUGUCUCUCUCUCUUAAAUUGGAGGGCUUAUUAAAAAUUUACUAUUUAUUCCAUCACAUUUAAUGUUUUAAAUACUCAAAUUCUUUUCUUUUCUUUUAUAUUAUUUAUUUUAAAUUCUAGAGCUCAUUGUAGUCACAUUUGUGAAAGUAUACUUUUUCUAAUUAAUCUCCACAAAAUAUCUAAAGAAACAAAAUUAUAUGGCUACGAGGAUUUGAACCAAGUCUUCAAAAUUGGUAAAUAGCAUUCUUACCAUUAAAUUACAAGUAUUUUAUUACAUAAAAAAAUGUGCACAAAUUUUUUUAUUUAAUGUUUUCAAAAGGGGUCGUUUGGGACACAUUCAAAAUAAUAAUAAUAAUAAUAAUAAUAAUGGCCCAGGAUUUAUACACCUUAAUUUGCCGCGCAGAUUUUUCAUCAAUUGUUGUUUUCAUUUUUUUUUUCCCUAAAUCUCACAUUCUUGAAAAUGAAGGAGCAAAACUCACACAACAUUGUAGAUGAAGAUGAAGAUAAGGUAUAAAUUAAAUGUAGCAAAUUAUGUUUAAUUCUUGGUUUAUGGUUAUUGUUGACUCUGUAUAUAUGAAAUAUUUACUAGUACAUUAGUAAACAAAAAGAUAAUCCUAAGAUGAUCCUCUCAUGGCUAUUGAGAGCGAGUAAAAUCAGGUGAUUCAAUUUCUCAAUCUUUCUCGACCUUGAAUCCUACUUAUAAAUGCUCAAAAUUUAAGGGACCUAAUUACUGAAACUGUUCACUGACUCUUAUUUAUUUGUUAUUUUUUUUAUCUCUUUUAGUUUUUUCGGAGAAGCUACAAGGAAAAUAAUAGUAUACAAAUCAAACUAAAAUGGAUAUUUGAAUCAUCCUUCUACUAAAGUUAGUGAGUACUGGUUUGUUAUGUAAUGAGAAAUAAAGUUAGUGAAACUAGCAAUCAAUGAAUGAAUACUGAACAUUUGAGAGUAAAAAAUGAAUUAAAAAAUGUGGAAUUAUUUUUGUUUAUCUUUGAAAUUUUUAUUUUAAAUUUUUACGAUCGUUUAUAUAUUUUGAAAUAUUGUAAUAACAUUUCCUACAUAUAUGAAUAAUCAAACGAAUUAGUACCUGGUGUGGGUAAACUUGCAUGUUGUUACUAAUUGGGAUAAUGUCAAUAUGGCUGUUCAUUCUGGUAAAUUCAAUUACCUAUAAUAAUAGGGGAUUGUCUGCCUUCUUUGCCGGCAUGAAAUUAGAAGAUUACCUCAUAGACAAAAUAUUGAGCUGGCAAUUAUUUAACUUGUAUGCAACAGACUUGAAUAUUCUAUCUAUUUGUAAGUAAAUCACAAGAUCAGCUAGCUAGCUAGGUUUCAGGUGGUGAUAAGAAUAUGAUUUAGAUGUUCUGGUUAAAGUUUGUAAACCAUUUACGUCAACAGAUUUUUAGCUAGGCUACUGAGUAAACAAAAUCACAAUAAGCUAAAGUAAUUCAAUUGAAUCCUUUAUUCUUAUCCUCCUAUGAACUCAAAAAGAGAGUAAGUGAUAGGAUGAAUGAACCAUAACUUGUCAAUAAUAAAAAUACAUACAGGGGCGAAGCUAUCAAGAAGGCUAACUCGGGCUGUAGCCCGGGUUAGUUUCUUGAAAAAAAAAAUGAAUUAAUUAUAAAUUUAUUUUUAAAAAAAACUUAUAAUAAAAUAUAAAAAUAUAACGAAUAAUUAUAGUUAAUAUCUAUUUUCUCUAAAUCGAAAAACUCACCCAAAUCUCUAACUAAUUGAUCUAAUUAUCCAAAGUCUAAAUUUCCCAAAACUCAACUGUUCAAGUCAUCAAGUUGCCACCUCAUGAUUGACGGUCAGCCUCUGCUGCACCCGUAUGCUCAUACUGUUUUUGAAUUAGUUAUUAGCUUAUACUUUUGUCAAUUUUUUUGAUAAAAUAAUUAAUAAUUCUCUAAUAUAUUAUUAUCGCACACAAUAUAAUUCAGAUACGAUACUAUAUGAAUUUUUUUUGAAGAAAAUUUCAUCGAUAGUGUUUUUUUUAUUUACAUUGUACUUUUAUAGUUUUAUUAUUAGUUUUUUGCUUGUCUAGUGUAUUUUAAUAAUUUAAUUUGUAUAUAGCUUUUUUUUGAGAAGUAAUUGAAUUUAAAAAAAAUCUAGCCCACCCCAAAAAAUAGUGCUAGCUUCGCCACUGAAUACAUAUUGCAUGGUAACCUUAUUCCCUAUUGAUAAGAAUGAAGUAAUAUUGAUAAAAUAUUCAAAACAAUCGGUUUGAUUGUCUCUAUCUUAGUUAGUGAUUAAGAAAAAUUGAUUGUUAAUCAACAUAAAAAUUGACUGAGUCAAUCUUGGUAAAUCUAUCAUUAUUCUCAAAUUAUAUUAAUUAUAUUAUUUUCCUUUUCAUAUUUCAAAUACUUGUAUAAAUUGAAUUUUUGUGCUCAUGAAUUAACAAGAAUGAAAUAUAUAUUGUUCUUGAAAAGUUCUCACUUAUAGUAAUAUGGUGGAUUCUGUGUACAAAAGGAAGGAGUUAUACUUGUAGCACUAUUUUGCCCAUUAGAAGGUGCAGUGGUAGCAAUCCUCAAAAUCUUUUUUUUUGUUUUCUAAUAACAUUUGAUAUUAUAAUUUCUAUAAUUUUUUACAACCACCAAGUUACUUAUUACAGCAUAGUACAAGGAGGGAUAUCUGUGUGCUUGUUAUUGCUCUAUUAUGUUUGUUUACCUAAACAAAGAAACAAUACUCAAACUUCAAACUCAACUGCAUACUUAGCUUAGGUAAAUUAAUCAAGUCAUGAUGAUUCUUUUCAGCGAAGAAGAUGUAUCAAUCAAGACUUAGAUAUUUCGUAUCAAGCAUAAAUUAUUUUUUAAUUUUAGUUCUAAGAUAUGCUACAUUGGUCCUAUUUAGUUGUUUUUUAUACACAAAUAAAACGAUAAUAAGUUGAUAAUAUAUAACAAUGUCUUAGAUACUAAGUAGCCAUGAUUUUUUUUUUUUAUAACUCUAUAGUGGGCACCCAUUAAAAUGUUGAUUGUUGUACACUCUUUGCUGCUAUAGUAAAUUUGCAGUUAAAAGAUAGAUUAUUUUUUUUUAAUAAAGGAGAUUCUUAUUAUUAUAGGAUACAAUUCAAAGGAAAUUAAAACAAAUUAAAUUUUGUGAAAUUUUUUUUUCUUACAAGACCUUGACCAAUACCAAUAGCAAGGAUUAAAAAUUGAUAUUUAAAUUUGUUAAUAGAGUAAAUUAAAGUAUUUAAACAUUAUCAUUACCACGCGUACACAUGCCAUGUCGGCACUUAGCAAGGUAUGUGAUCACGUCGGAGACCGUUUUUCUUUUUCUUUUUCUUUUUCUGGAGAGAAUGUCAGGGUCAUCAAAUAAAUGUGAUUUCACAAUAAUUUACUUAUUGCAUGCCAAAAAGCAAAUUAAAGUACUAAUACAUUUUUUUUUGGUGAUAAGCAAGUACUAAUAAUUGAUUGAUAAUAUAUAAUGGGAUUGAUAAAAAAGUCUGGACUGGGGCUCGGCUUGCAUCAUAAAGAUACAGACAUUGGUAAAAAAAUUUAAAGAGUUAGAACUAUUGACACCCCUAUGUAAUCUUUAUAAAACUCUUCUCCUAUUUUAAUUAUAUUAAACGACAAAAAAAAUCUAGUUAUACCAUUAUAUUUCUCUUUUCAACUCUUUACACCAUACAACUACAUCAAAGUCUUUUACAAUUUUGAUUUCCUCACAAACAACUUUUUCUUGAGAAAUUUACAAAUUUAUUUUUAAUUUAGAAAAAUAAAUAAUUUUAAAAAAUAAAUAAUAGUUAUUUGAGUCCACUUUAAUUUACAAAACUUUCUAAACUUUCUAAUAAUAAGUUUUCUAAACUUAUUUUUAAUUUACAAAACUUUCUAAACUUAUUUUUAAUUUUAAAAAAUAAAUAAUGGUUAUUUGAGUCCACUUUAAUUCUACUUAAUUCGUACAUGUAUUUGAUUUUUUUUUUAGUAAAAUAUGUAUGAUUUAAUAAUUUAAAAAUUUAUAAAAACAAUAUUUGUAAUUAAAGUUAUUUGGAAAAAACUGAAUUGUUUUUCUUUUUAAAUAAAAAAAUUAAAAAAAAAAUAGAAAAUGAUAUUUUGGGAAUUAAAGUAGGUUUUGGUAUAAAAGGGGUUUGAAAAGAAAAUUACAGGGUGCUAAUAGUCCCACUCAAUUUUAAAAUCGGCUGUAAAUAAGCCUAAUUAAGGGUUCGUAGAAAAAUUCUGAAUUUGGCCCAAACUUUAUGAUUUAUAAAUAAAAAAAAUUAAUUUAUAAUUUAUAUAGUUUAUAACCAUUAUUUAAGAUUGAUUAUAUUAUAUUGCUAGUACUUUGUGUACUGUACUAUUACUUUUUUAGGAUUAGAUAAUCAUUUUUAAUUUAAGUUUUUUUUUUUACUUUUAACUUUAUUAAAUAUUCGUUUAAAAAAUUAAUGAAAAUUUGGGUCAGUCCGUCCAAGUUUGGAGGGCUUUUAGAAGGUCUAAACCUGUUAUCAAUAACAUUUGCUUGAGUUUGAACUUAAGAAAAUGCAGCUCAAGGUCGCAAUUUAUCAUCCCAAAUAUUUAAAGUUAAAAAACGAGGUGAUGUCUUUCCGAGGCCACCUAAUCGCCACAAUUAAAUUGCCUUCUUAGUACUGCCUUCAUUACCUGUUUACCACCAUGUUCGUUUUGGAAUCACUUCACCACUUUGUCUCCACCCAGGUGGUGUUGAUUUUAUGAAUUGAUGUAUAAAUAUAUGCAUAGGGGCGUUUUUUCGUGUUCCUAAAAUACCUUAUAAUACAUGAUACAUCAAAUUCUAAAAUUAUUUCAAUAGAGUAAUUUUAAAAUAAUUUUCUUAUGUUUUGUUAGAACCUCUAUAAAUUAAUAUUCGAUAAAUUAAUAAUCUCUAUUAUAUAAUAAGUUAUUACCGUCUUGUCUUGGGCCAAUGGACUAAAUCAAUAAUUACGAUAAAUUAAUAACAUAAUAUUUUUCUUAAAAAAUCUUAUAAAACUUUGUGGUCUUGUUUAAAUCAUAAAUUAAUAAUUUGCUAAAAUUACAAAUGUAGUUGACUAUAAUAUAUUAAUUAAUAAAAUAUGACUCUAUUGUUACUUGCUUAUAUAAAAUAUGACUUUAUUGUUACUUGUUUUUUUUCCUAAAAUUUAAAUUUAGUUAGAUCUCAUCUCUUAUUUUUCUUAUUGUAUCUAGAAGUUCUAAGAUUGACAUCUCGAAUUGUAAAUUUAUAAUAAGAAAUGAAGUGUUAUCGAUGUAUGUUUAUUGAUUGGUAAAAAACUCUAUAAAUUAAUAAAUUAUUAAUUUAUCGAUUAAUUGAUAAAUUACUAAUUCAUUGAUUAUUUAAUUUCUCUUUUAAUUAAUAGAUUUUAAAUGGUCUUAGUCCUAUUAAUUUAUAGACAUUCUACUAAUAUAUAUCAUUCUAGCCUGCAUGUUAAAUUUUAAAUUUGUUUAUAGGGAAACGUCGCCGAUGAUUAAGGCAAGUUCCGAAGUAUUCAAAACCUUUUAAAUUUAUCAACCAUCCACCCAAAAAUUUGCAUUAUAUAUCAAUUUUUAAUAUUGCCAUUUUAUGUGUGUGCGUGUGUGUGCGUGCACAUGUGUGAAACAACAUCAUAUUAAAUGACUAAAUUAUCCUUAUUACAUAAUAAAAUUUAAAGGUAGUUAAUGACAUAAUGAAAAUUUUAUACAUUCUACAAACUUUGGGUGGAUUGUUGAUAAUUUAAAAAAUAUUUGUAUAUUUUCAAACUUUCAUUAAAUGUUAGCGAGAAAAUUAAUAAUUCCUUUAACAAUAGUUAUUGUCCAAAUAUCCACCGACUACCUAACACUUCGUAUUUUUCAAAAAUACACCAAAACUUUUUUCUUUUGCAGUUUUUUAUCUAAAGUCUACAAAAUGUAUCAAUUUUAUACUUUGCUAUUAGUAUUGUUAGAGGAUUUAAUAGAAUAUUGAUAAAUAAUUAUUUUGUCCUUAAUGUAAAAAAAAAAAAAAAAAAAAACCUAUUGGUUGUUAUUUUGGAUAAUUUUGGAAUGUGUUGUUAUUUUGAAUUGGUAGGAAUAAAUUGUAAACUUUAAGUUCCCUAUAACGAGUUUUAUGUCGUUAUUUUUUUAUUGGUAGGAACACACUAUAAUAUUUGAAGUUUCCUGUAACUGGUUUUAUAGUUAUUUUGACUAUAUUUUGAAUAAUUAUGAUUGUAUUUAUUGGUGAUUUAUUGUUGUUGAAGAUUUGUCAUUGUUGUAAAAAAUAUGUUAUAUAGGAUAAAUUAUAUGAACAUGGAUUCUUGAUUUAUGUUGUAAGUGAGGUAUAAAUUAGUAGGCUUGAUGAGUUAGUCGUUAUUGGUCUCAAUAGCUACAAAAUGAAAUUUGUUUUUUAGUCAUUUAGCAAGAAUUAAAUACGUUUUUACAUUUAGAAGUAAAAUAGUUAUUUUAUCAUUAUUUUGUUAAAUCCUCUAACAGUGUUAAUAAAAAAGUAGAAAAGUGUAUUGUAAACUUUAAGUAGAUAGCUGCAGAACAAAAAAUAUUUAGUAAUUUUUUUAUAAAAUGUGAAACAUUAGAUGGUCGAUAGAUAUUUACCCAUAGUUAUUUGAUAAAUGAACCUUAUGUAAUACCAAACAUUUCGCUAUCUUUGUAGCCGUGCACACACACACACAUAUAUUAUUUCUAAUAUUCUUUUAUUAGUACCUAUCUCUUUAGAUUAAAAAAAAAUUCUCUUUCAAUUUUGAUUAUUUAUCCAUUAUAGUAUCGUAUUAGAUAUUAUAUUUGACUGUUAUUAUUAUAAAUUGCCUUAAAAAUAACUCAUUAUUAUAUUAUUCAUAAUAAUGAUCAUGCAGGUAAUAUUUUAAACAUUAUACAAAUGUCUUAGUUUUUUGUAUGAUAAUGAUAGAAGUAAUGCUUUAUGUAUUAAGAAUUAUAUAAACUUGUGUAAUUUAUGGUUAUUCAGUCAUUAAUUUAAGGAUAAAACUGUAACUCUAAAUAAAAACUUGGGGAAAAUAUCAAAUAUCACCAUUUGGCAACUAAAAGGAAAAAAGACUUUUUACCCUUACGGUUUUGAUGCAAAUACUUAUUUCAUCCUUAUUUUUUAAAAAAUAAUUCAUUUCAAUCCUACCACAAUAGUCUAAAACACUUUCCUGCGAACUUACAAUUAGUUUAUUAUAUAAUUUGUUAAUGACAAAAUAAGAUUUUCAAUUAAAUAGAUGCAAAUCAUUUUAAAAUAAAAAUUUUAAAAAUAAUAAAAUAACAUUUAACUAUUUGCAUAAAUUUAAAAUUUAAGAAUAAUUUAAUGAAAUAAAGAUAGCACUAAAGAAUAUGCUCUAUAUAUGUAGACUAGGAAAUAGAACCACGCUUCACGCGGCUUUGAAAAAAUAAUUUAGUAUUAUCAUUUUUUCUUACUUUAUACUUGAUAAAAUUGAUAAAAAAAUAUGAAUUAUUUUUUUUAAGAUGAGGAGGGUUAUAAAAUUAAUGUUAUUUAUGAAAGUUAAUUAUUUAUUUGUUAAUUUUAAAUAUAUAUAUAUAUAUAUAUAUAUAUAUAUAUAUAUAUAUAUAUAUAUAUAUAUAUAUAUAUUAAUGUGUAUAGUUAAGUGUACGGAUCUUAUACCUAUUGUAGUUGUUGAUAAGUUCCAAAUUAUAUUCAACUUGCUAAUCUGUUAGAACUUUUAUAUCUUUUUUUUCCAACCAGCUCCAACGAUCUCAAUAUCACCCACACCACAUAAACUUCCGACAACAUUUGUAAUAUUAUGGAAAAUAACAUAAACAUGUUAAAACAUAAGGAUCAAUAAUUUCUAAUAUACACUUAAAGAUUAACAAACAUUAAUAAUUAAAAAAAUAUAUCAGAGGAUUGUGUUAUCAUUCACACGUAUAUCAACCAAUAAAAGUUAGAAAUGUUGAAUGCAGUAGAAGUAUCCAAUGCGGUCGUCGGAAACCGGGUGCUUUAAACAAUAAAUAAAUAAAUAAAGCUAUUAGCCAGCAACACAAAUAAAGAAGAAACGCAAGAUAAAGAAUAAAAUGAGAGAAUAUAUUAUAGAGUGAUUUUAUUCAUUCCAAUUGUGUGUGUACAAAACAAAAAGAUGAGCUCUCCUUUUAUAGUUACAUAAUCACUCCAUGAAAUUAAUAAAAAAUUAUGGAUCAUAAUUCCUUGUGAGAUAGUGGGAGUUAUAGGGAAGAUAAAAGUUGUUAAUUGGAGAUAGUGGGGAGACUAAGAGAUAUAUGUUAUGAAUAUCUACAUUUAUUUUAAUAAAUUUAUAACACUCCCCCUUGGAUGUUCAUUGCAAAGAAUAUGCCUCAUUAAAACCUUUACAUAAUUGUUAUUGUAUAAUAACAAUCAAAUUAAUUAUGAGAAGAUGAAAAGAUAAAUCUGAAAAAAAAUUUCUCUAUUUAUUAGGUAAUAAAAAAUAUAUAAAGAUGAGAAAUAGUGAUGCCACAUCACCUCUUAUAAUCCCAGCUUUAUAUAUAUACCUAAUAACCAACAAACGGGAAGUGUUUUUCCUUGUGCGGAUCCUAUUUCAAUGGGAACUUGAUGAGUCGAUCCGCCUACACAUCUUGCUUUUACUGCUAUAUCGGGAGUUACUCCACGUAUUGCUUGACGUAAAACAGACAGUGGAUUUUUUUCUGUCUUUUGUUGAAUCUUUUUCAAGGCUCAAUAGAUAAUUUGAUAAGCCAAUGAUUUUUUUCUCAUAAUUCCUUGUGAGAUAGUGGAAGUUAUAGGAAGCUAAAGGUUACUAAUUGGAGAUAGUGAGGAGACUAAGAGAUAUAUGUUAUGAACAUCCACAUUUAUUUUAAUAAAUUUAUAACACUCCCCCUUGGAUGUUCAUUGCAAAGAAUAUGCUUCAUUAAAACCUUUACAUAAUUGUUAUUGUAUAAUAACAAUCAAAUUAAUUAUGAGAAGAUGAAAAGAUAAAUCUAAAAGAAAAUUUCUCUAUUUAUUAGGUAAUAGAAAAUGUACAAAGAUGAGAAAUAGUGAUGCCACAUCACCUCUUGUAGUCCCAGUUUUAUAUAUAUAUAUAUUGUUGAAUUUAAAUAGAAAGAGGAAAAGAUGUAAUCAUUUAUAAUCUAAUAAUUAUUUUUUUUAAUUUCAACCAAUUUAUUAGAUAAUAGAGAAUAUGAGAAGAUGAGAAAUGAUGAUGCCACAUCACCUCUUGUAGUCCCAACUAUAUAUAUAUAUAUAUAUAUAUAUAUAUAUAUAUAUAUAUAUAUAUAUAGAUAUGUUUGUCUGUGUUUUCAUUAAAUUUUGUAAUGAAGUCUACUAAAUUUUUUUAAUAGAUAUGUAUAUGUAAUAACAAAAACAACAAUAAUAAUUUUUUUUCCAAUUAAGGGUUAAUGACCAUAUUAAAGUCAAGAAUAAAUUAAAAGAUAAAAUAAUACACUCUAAUGCAGAGUAUUUUAUUCUGCAGUAGUAUAUUAAAUUUUUAUUUUUAUGCCUUAUCGUGUGUUUUUUUAAGUAAGUAUAAGAGUCUGUAUUUAUUUUUAAUAAAAUAAUAGUACUAUUUAUUUAUUUAUUUUUAACCAUAUUAAAAUUAAAGACAAGCAAAAAGAUAAAAAGAAAAAGAAAAACUCACUCUAGUGCCCAUAAAAUUUAUAUUUUUUAUUUUUUCCUAAAUAUAUAUCUACAUAGUAUUUAGUAUUAUUAUUGUUAAUUUAUUAAUUAUCCUUAAACUUUAAAUUUAUAUAGAAAAUCACAUGUUAUUUUAUUAUAUUUGAUAAUCUUACUUUAAAAUAGUUUGUAUCUCCUUAACUAAAAAUUUUAUUUUUUCUCAAUGAAUUAUGUAAUAAAUUGAUGAUAAAUUAAUUUAACGGUAUUUUAAGUUAUUGUUUGAAAAAUAAGAUAAAAUCAGUUAUUAUUUAAACAAUAAAGAUGAAAUGGACGGACGAGGGAUAAAAGAAUUUUUUCCUGCCGAAAACUUAAAGCAGAGGAAAAAUAAUAAUAAUAAUAAAGGUCACAAUCCAUUUACACACGUGUACUUUUCUUGAAUAGGCAGUUGUAAACUUUUAGUCACUGUUCAGUGACUUUAUCUUCCCAUUAUAAUUUUAUUUUAUUUCUUAAUUUUUUCCUUCUAUUAGUUCGUCAAAGUUGUACGGACGGAUAUUCCGUUGUAACGAGACUCUGUAUUUUUUCUGGGCAACAAAAAAGAAAAUACUAUCGGAUCUGAGAUGGGUUUUGUUUACUAGAUUUUAUGUGAUCAUUUUUUGCAUGUUACCAAUAUUCUUUGGACAAAAAUAAAUUUAAUCGACUAAGAAUAUAGUUUUUUUUUUUUUUAACUUUAAUGCUCCAAAUUUUUACACUAUGAGGAAGAAGCUCGAUACACGUUUUCCAGCUG